GAUGCGAUCGCUUUGGUACCGACAGAUUUUCUACGCAAGAAUUGCAAGAAAAACUAGAGAAAACUUUAUUUAUUCAACGUGCUUCAGUUUAUCACGUUGGUUGAAAUAUAUAGAAAAGAAAAGAAAGACAAUCCUAAAGCUACGUAAACUAAUCAAGGAAUAAUUCUAAUCCUAAUAAUUAAAGAAGACUAACUUAACUAAAAUACUAUAAAAAUAUAAUAACUAGGAAUUAUAAUAAUAAAGAAGCUAUUAAUAAGGAAGCUAUUAUAGAGACCCAUAAGCCACGAUCCUAACUAGUCCAAGUAGCGCCGGUUAGGUCGGAUGGUUCGCAUGCUACGACGUGGCUUAUCAUUCCCUCCCUCUUCAAAUACAACCUUGUCCUCAAGGUUAAGGUGGGGAAACUUUUCGACAAGCACCUCCAAAGCUUCCCAAGUGGCGUCUUCUACUGGCAAGGAAUUCCAUUUAACCAACACCUCUCGCACGCGGCCACCAUUUCCAGCAACAACCCUAGACUCCAGAACUUGUGUGGGCUCAAGAACGGGUUCUCCGUCCACGGUGUAAGGUGGUAAAGUAGCUACUGCAGACUGUUGAUCCCCAAGCUUACGCCGAAGCAAUGAAACGUGAAACACCGGGUGUACGCGAGACUCGCUAGGAAGGUCCAACUUAUACGCCACACGGCCAAUUCUCUCGACAAUGCGAAAUGGACCGUAAAAACGGCUAGCCAACUUAUGGAAAAUCCUCUUGAAAACAGACUGUUGUCGAUAUGGUUGAAGUUUUAAAUACACCCAGUCGCCAAUCUCAAACUGCUCCUCACGUCGAUGUUUAUCAGCCGCUUGCUUCAUUCGAUUCUGAGCGGCUGCCAAGUGAAUUUUCAAUUCCUUAAUAAUCUCAUCUCGUGCCCUCAAGGUUCGAUCAACCUCUGGUACAUUAGCAGUUCCAGCCAUGUAUUGCACCAAUGGUGGUGGAGGUCGCCCAUAAACUGCUUCAAAUGGUGUCAUUCCAAUGGAUUGAUGGAACGAUGUAUUGUACCAGAAUUCAGCCCAUGCUAGGUAUUCUUCCCAUUGUCUUGGUUUGAGGUAAACGAAGCACCUUAAAUAUUGCUCAAGACACCGAUUUACUACUUCGGUUUGGCCGUCGGAUUCGGGAUGGUAAGCCGAACUAGUGCACAAGGCAGUCCCCUGCAAGCGAAAUAGCUCCCGCCAAAAAUUACUCAUAAAAACUUUGUCUCGAUCAGACACAAUUGACGUGGGAAGGCCAUGUAAUUUGACCACUCCUCUCACAAAUGUAGCUGCCACAUCUUUAGCCGUGUAUGGGUGGGUUAAUGUCAUAAAGUGGGCAUAUUUUGAUAAUCGAUCGACUACCACGAAGAUCGUAUCUUUCCCUUGCGAUCUCGGCAAUCCCUCAAUAAAGUCCAUACUUAUAUCGGCCCAUAUGACAACUGGUAUUUGCAAUGGUUCGAGCAGCCCCGCCGGCCGACGAUGAUCAGCUUUAUUUCUUUGGCACGUGUCACACUCGCGCACAAAUUGCCGCACCGCUGAUCGUAGUCCUUGCCAUGAAAACAACUGUGAAAUGCGUUUGAAUGUGCGAAGCUCUCCUGAAUGUCCCGCAAUUGGUGAAGAGUGAAAUUCUGUAAGGAUCUUUUGUCGUAGAGGACCCGCCUCGGGAACCAUUACACGUCCUUUCACCCAUACGCACCCAUUUUUGACUGAAAUCCCGUCUUCACUUGAAGUAUUUUCCCCUUUUUUUUUCAGCUCGUUCAACUUUGGAUCCUCUGCAGUGGCAGCGGCGAUCUCGUCCCACACGGCCCAAGUCGGUAUGGUAAUAGCAGAUAACUCCGACUCGCUGACCAUACCCUCGUCGAUUUUUGGAUUUGCAUGUUCGCGGCGGGAUAAGGCAUCAGCCGCGCUAUUUUGUUUUCCCGGCUUAUAAAUGAUCUCGUAAUCAAAUCCCAAUAACUUAGCUAUCCACUUUUGUUGUUCAGGCGUAGUAAUACGCUGCUCAAGAAGAUAGCGGAGACUUCGGUGAUCAGUGCAUAUUUUGAAUUUACGCCCUAAGAGAUACGGUCGCCAACAUCGAACCGCUUCUAAAAUCGCUAGCAUCUCUUUUUCGUAAGUGGACCAAGCCCUCUUUGUUGCGCUAAUCCCCUUGCUAAUAAAAGCAAUAGGUCUUCCCCCUUGACUCAACACAGCCCCUAUGCCUUCACCGGAAGCGUCCGUCUCAAUGGUAAAUUCCUCCUCAAAGUUUGGUAGGGCUAGAACAGGGGUCUUCGUCAUUGCUUCUUUUAAUUUUUCAAAUGCUAAUUGUGCCUCUUCCCCCCACUUGAAGCCUCCUUUUUUGAGUAAGUUUGUCAGUGGUCGAGCUAUACUCCCAUAGUUGUGUACAAAUUUUCGAUAAUAACCGGUUAACCCUAAGAAUCCACGUAAUGCGCGCACAGUUUUAGGAGAAGGCCAUGAUACCAUAGCUUUAAUUUUUUCUUGAUCAACUCUUACCCCUUCGUGUGAAAUCCAAUGGCCCAAGUAUUCCACUUGCUUUUGGCCAAAACAACAUUUACUGGGUUUUAGAAAAAAAUGUGCAUCCCUCAAUAUUUGCAAAGUGGUCCGCAACUGUUGUAGGUGAUCUUCCCACGAUUUACUAUAAACUAAUAUAUCAUCAAAAAAAACCAAUAUGAAUUUCCGCAAGUGUGGCCGAAAGAUCUCAUUCAUAGCAGCUUGGAAAGUCGAUGGUGCAUUACACAAUCCGAACGGCAUUACUAGAUACUCGUAGUGGCCAUUAUGAACUCGAAAGGCAGUUUUGUGAAUGUCAUCAGGAUGUACCCGGAUUUGAUGAUAGCCCGCACGUAGAUCGAGCUUGCUGUAAUACUUAGCCCCGUGUAGCUCAUCAAGCAUGUCGUCCACGGUUGGUAUAGGAAAUCGAUCUUUAAUAGUUACGUCAUUCAAUCCCCUAUAAUCUGUGCAGAAACGCCACGAACCAUCCUUCUUUUUUACGAGAAGAACCGGCGAUGAAAAAGGACUUGUACUUGGCCGAAUCAGUCCCGACUUAAGCAAUGCGGCUACUUGUUUUUCGAUCUCGUUUUUCUGGAAGUGUGCGUAUCGGUAGGGUCGCACGUUGACGACGGUUGCUUCAUCGUGUAAACGUAUACGGUGGUCAAACUCUCGUUGUGGUGGUAAGGUUUCGGGCUCUGCCUGGAUAUCAAGAAAUUCAGUCAAUAAUUUUUUUAUUUCCACAUUGCCGGUACCAACUACUUCGCUUGUUUCCUCCCUAUCGAACGAUGCCGCUACUCCGAAUAGCUCGCCUCCAGCUUUCCAGUCCCCGAUCAGCGCAUGGAGCUCGCUAAUUUCGAUGUCCUUCUCUUCCCGUCCCUGAAUGUGAUAUUCACGGCCUUGGACUUUAAAUUUCAUUGAUUUUUUUCGAUAAUCUGUUAGCACGGGACUCAGGUCCUCGAGCCAUGGUAAACCCAGUACUACAUCUAGUCCGUCGAUCGGCAAAGGAUAUAAAUUGGCUCGAAAAUCAUAUCCCUGUACAUGCAUUGGGACGAUUUCACACCUUGCCGAACAUUCCAAUUUUUGACCAUUCGCCAUCCGCACCAGAAAAGGCUUAAUCGGUUUAACCUCCAAUCGUAGUCGUUGAGCUAAUUCCGGGUUGAUGAAGUUGAGACUGGACCCGUUAUCCACCAACAUUUCGACCGGUGAAUUCUCAAGCUUUCCACUUACUCUCAUGGCUUUCUUUCCCGACUCUCCUCCAAUCGCAUGCAACGAAAUUUGUUGCGGCUCAUCAAAGUCAACUGCUUCAUCGUCGCCCUGAUCUUCCGCUUCGAUUAUUAAAGCUUGUGCUUUUUUACACUGGUGCCCUCUUACAAACUUCUCAUCACAAUGAUAACAUAGGUUUUGUUCCCUACGACGUUGCAAUUCUUCCCAGGUCAGACGCUUUGCUCCAUCAGCGACCAAUUGACGAGUGUUGGUUGCCGGGUUCGGGUUCACGAAUUUGGAGUUUGUGGAAUUCGUGGUCCUUGUUUGGCCUGCACUUCUUUUCCCGAAUUGCAGCUGCUCGUCCUUGCGUUUUGCUAGCUCCAUAGCAGUCUGUAGAUCCUUAGGUUUGAACAGACGAACGUCCCCCGCAAUAUCUUCACGGAGACCUGCCAUGAAAGCUCCCAUAAGUGCCUCUUCGGGCCAAUCUGGUAGACAAUUCAUGAGCUUCUCGAACUCUCCUAAGAAUUCUUUGAAUCCUCCCUUCUGUCUUAAACGACACAUGGACUCAUUGGGGUCCUCGUAAUUGCCGUGGCCAAAACGCAAUAGUAUCCCUUUCUCGAAUUGCCUCCACGAUAUUUUACGACCUUGAUUCGCCCUUUCGAACCACUGCCACCAUUGAUUGGCAUCUCCUUCUAGAUGAUACGAAGCCAGCACUACUUUACGAUGGCCAUGUAAGUCAUUAGCCAAGAAAAAUUGCUUCGCCCGAUUGAGCCAUACCCUCGGCUCUUCACCAUCAAAUUUUGUAAAAUCCAUUCUAACCUGGUGGUGUCGCCUUCCAUGUUUGCCGUUGUUCGAAGCUCGACUCCUAAUCGAAUUGUUCGACAUGCGGCUAUCUUGGCUGUCGCUGCCCGACGAGUCGUCCGAUGGUGGCGGCGACGACUCGUUUCUUCUCCCCCAUGGGUUUUGUCGAUCUUGCCCUCGUUCAAGCAUCCUUUGCAUCUGUUGCAUAGAAGUCUGGAUCUCUUGCACGGAGCCUUCCAAUCUAUCAACGGAGCCUUCCAAUCUAUCAAAUCUUUCCUUAUUUGUUGCCAUGACCGUAGCGGAGCGUUGAUGUUAUCGCAACCUCGCUCUUGAUACCAAUUGAUGCGAUCGCUUUGGUACCGACAGAUUUUCUACGCAAGAAUUGCAAGAAAAACUAGAGAAAACUUUAUUUAUUCAACGUGCUUCAGUUUAUCACGUUGGUUGAAAUAUAUAGAAAAGAAAAGAAAGACAAUCCUAAAGCUACGUAAACUAAUCAAGGAAUAAUUCUAAUCCUAAUAAUUAAAGAAGACUAACUUAACUAAAAUACUAUAAAAAUAUAAUAACUAGGAAUUAUAAUAAGAAAGAAGCUAUUAAUAAGGAAGCUAUUAUAGAGACCCAUAAGCCACGAUCCUAACUAGUCCAAGUAGCGCCGGUUAGGUCGGAUGGUUCGCAUGCUACGACGUGGCUUAUCAUUUUCUAAGUAGUAAGUACUAAAUAUAUUUAUUUUACAAUGCAUGUAAAAUCUUACGAUGUUACGAUCUAAGUUUCCGAUUUUAUCACCCCUCCACAAUUUCACUUAAAAUCCCGAUUUUGACUACCUUGAUUCACUCUAUUUUCGUCCUCCUCUUCUUCUCAUCCUCUUCCUCUCAACCUUUUUUUUUGCUUCCAAGUUGCCAGUUUUUAUGAUCGCUUGCUCCAUGUAAUUCUCCACUUAUCUUUCAUGAUUUCCUUGCAGAGGAGGUAACAACGCAUGAACGUAUUUUUUUCUACUGCCCUUCGCAGGUUGCAAUUCGAGGUUCCAAAAUCUACCGUCAAGUUACAGGAAAAUUCAAGAGGCAUGCCCGUGACAAGGUGCGUUUACGAUCCCUUCAUUGUUUUAGGGGGUGGGUUUCGGGUUUACGAUUUGUUCGGUCAAACUUUUCCAUGUUAUUGAUAUUUCAAUUUCUCUUUCCGGAUUGGAUUGGUUUUAUUGACGUUUUGUUAAUCACUUUAUGUUUUUCUACCUUUCUGUAUUCCUUUAUUAUUUGUUGGUAGAAUUAAAUUAAGGGCUACUGAUAUUUCACACUAUUUUCUUUUAGAUUUGGCAUUUGCCACAUCAAUACUAUUAUAUUGAUGUUUCUUGUUGGCAUUUAUUUUUUACAGCCGCUUUUAUUCGGACGACUGCAUUCUGAGAUGGAGAUGGGUUCGGCCACGUCUGUUGAUGGCGCCACUCUGAUGAGUAGCUUUGCGCGUCCGACGACUUCGUCAGCCGUUGGAGUUGUUUAUAUUUGUUUGAUUUCUGCCUCUUAUAUUUCUGUUUUUUUAUUACGAUUUAUUUUGGUUCGUUUAGGUUUUCGUAUCUGUUUUGCUUAUUUGAAUUUAACGCCUUUUUGCUAUUUAGAUGUUUGUAGAAAUUGUACUGAGUCCCGGUGAAAAAAAAAUUGGAGGAGCUUGUCCGAGCGCUAGGAGCUGGGAUUCUCAUUAACUUAAUGACUUCAAUGUUUCUGUUACUCUAUGUGCUUUAUUUUUUAUUGAAUCUAUUUUUAUCAGUUUCGAGAUUAGGGAUGUUUAUUGUGCUCAAAAUUUUGAUUAUGAUUUUUUUUCAAAAUAGGGAUGCAGAUGCCAACAGGUUUGCUUUGAUUCAAUUUUUCUCCACAUCACUUUUUUCUUUCCGUUUGUUUUAAUCAGGCCCCAUGCGUCUACAAUUCUUGAAUUCCUAAUACAAUUCCACCUCUACCAACUCAUUUCCAGGAAGAAAUGGAAGUUAAUUAAGGAUAAUAUAUCAAUAAACUGACUUUUAUUAAGUCAGUUAUUAUAUUUUAGUUAUUCCAUGUGUUUCUGAAUUUAUCCAUAAACUGACUUUUAUUAAGUCAGUUAUUAGAUUUCAGUUAUUCUCUAUGUUUAGGAGAUUAGUUUUGUGUUAGUUUAGUAUAAAUAGUUAGUAUUUGUUCAGUUUUUAGGGGAUUGGGGAAUUAGUAACUUGUAUGAAUUUCUGGAGUCUUGUCCUCUCCAUACGGACAACUAUAUAUGGUAUAUUACUGUGUUUAAGAUUUUGAACAUAAUCGGCCAUCGUUAUUUACUAUUCUCUUGGAUUGUUCUCGAUUCCUAUCAAUUCCAUACGUGUUUCUUGAAUCCUUGUUGAAUUUUUUUAGCGGUGCGGGCCAGGAUCAACCACCAACCCUUCCCAACCCACCAACCCACCAAAUUUCAGAUUCCACAGCCCUUCAACUUUCCGCCAUUGCUGCAUGGAUGCAUGUUUAUCGUUUUUUGUGGUUCAUAUAAGAAGUUUAUUAUUUGUUUGUGUCAGACCAAUCAAUCGAAUAUUGAUUAAUACUUAAUCGAUCGAACAUUAUUUGAAAACGGCUCUUCUGCUCAGAAACGAAAUGUUCCAAAUGUUCCUGGAAAUUCUUGCUCGCAUUGGAUUAUUUGUGUCUAUAUGCAUCAGAAUCCCGAUUCAUGGAUCUCUCGGUUCGAGAAAUCAAGAUAAGAGGAUCAAACCAUUUCUUCUGACUCUUUUUCAAAUUCGAUAAAUGUUGGUUGAUCAUAUAUUUCAUUAUAGUUCUAUGAUUCAGAGUAUCCUUUCCUAUUUGAUCCCUUUGAAUUCCUUAUUCGAAGUUGCGAUCGGAUCUAUUCAUUAAAAAGAAUCGAUUCAAUACACUUUACAUUUGUCAUAGGUUGCUGAUUGAGUUUAGGCCUUUUUUAGUUGUGCGGGAUUUUUACAGAAAUUUUGGACUGAUAUACAUUUAUCUUUGGAUGUCUGUAAUUUUAAUACAAUUUGUAUUAAAAUUCAAAGUUGAAAUUUUUGAACCCUUUUUUCUCCUUUCAUUUGAUGUGGAACGCACAAGAGAAUUUCCAAAGGGGAAAAAGAGGCACGAAAAAAACGCGAGUAUUUAUUCUUUUAAGGCAUAUUACGUCUUCCAGUUAGAGAGAUUUGGAAGUUGUAUGCUUUGCAGAAUGGUCCAACAAAUUCCUGCAGUACCCUGUACCCCUUCACUAACUUCGUAUCUAAAAAAGGCCACAACUAUAUUUAUUUCUUUAUUUCAAACUUUAGGCUACUGUUUUCAUAAGUGUACCUAUUAUCGUUAUGAGAGAUCCACUUUGGGGUCAAAUUCGCAAUUUGGGUGGGGUAUGAAUAAAUUGAAUCCUGAAUCAUAAGAUUUAUUUUAUUAAUUGACUCCAACGUGGAUUUCUCUUGCAAUAUCCGAAAAUAUCCGCCACCAACGCAGCAUGCAGCUGUAAUUGCGUGUGACUUGUUUACGAAAAUUCGCAAUACCGAGCUUAAAAUCUUAUUAUUCACCGUUCAAAUUUUACGAUUUAAUUCAUUCAUACCUAUGUCGAUUCAAAUGUUAAAAUAAAUCUUAUACAUCAACAAAUCGAUCAAAUUUUACGAUUUAUGAUUUAAGAAAACUUUAAUUUAUUAUAUUUUUUAUAAUAAACUUGGGAUAAUUACAAUUUUAGUCCCUCUAUUAUAUACCAUUUUUAGUUUUGGGCCUUAAAAUCGGAAAUGCCUUCCAAGUGGGGAUCAAUUUGUAAUUUAUGGAAAUCCAACCUCUUGGCUGAAACAGUUCUGAAAAUUGCAGAAUAACCGCUAUACUUACUCCAUCUUCCUAGCCGCUCUACCCAAAUUGCAAAUUUGACCCUAAAGUGGAUCUCUCUUGCAAUACCCAAAAUAUCCACAACCAACGCAGCAUGCUUCAACUCAUCUUAAGCAAUAAUCGCGUGUAACUCAUUUGCAAAAAUUCGCAAUACCAAGCUUAAAAUCUUAUGAUUUACGAUUCAAAUCUUACGAUUCAAUUCAUUCAUACCUAUGUCGCAUGCUUCGACUCCUCCUGAGUUGUAAUCGCGUGUGACUCAUUUACGAAAAUUCGCAACACCUAACUAAAAAUCUUAUGAUUUACGAUUCAAAUCUUACGAUUUAAUUCAUUCAUAACUAUGUCGAUUCAAAUGUUAAAAUAAAUCCUAAAUAUCAACAAAUCCACAAAAUUUUAUGAUUUACGAUUUAAGAAAAUUUAACUUAUUAUAUUAUUUAUAAUAAACUUGGGAUAAUACAAUUUUGGUCUCUAUAUUAUAUAUCAUUUUUAAUUUUGGUCCUUCAACCGGAAAUGCCGCCCAAGUGGGGGUCAAUUUGUAAUUUCUGGAAAUCCACCUCCCUGCCUGAAAAGUUCUGAAAAUAAAUCUUAAAUAACAACAAAUCGAUCAAAUUUUAGGAUUUACAAUUUAAGAAAACUUUAAUUUAGUAUAUUAAAUAUAGUAAUCUUGAGAUAAUUACAGUUUUGUCCCUAUAUUAUAUACCAUUUUUAGAUUUGAUCCUUCAACCGGAAAUGCCCCAAUUGGGGGUCAAUUUUUAAUUUCUGGAAAUCCAUCUUCCUGGCUGAAACAAUUUUGAAAAUUGCAGAAUCACCCCUAUACUUACUCCAUCUUCCCACCAUGUCACGGCCCGCCAGUUUGGCCCAACCCUUUGCCAGUUCCCCUUGGGUUGGAAGGUUAAGAAGCCCAAGACAUAGCCCAAAUAGGGUUAGGCCCUAGUUGGCUCGAAUGUAUAGAGAUGUAGAGAUUCUUGGAGGAUUCUAGAAAACUUUAUAGAACCCUCCCUUGUAGGUAUUUAUUUUGUAGGAAUAUUAUGGAGUGUUCUAGUGAACAACUCCUAGCAGUUAGAUCAAAUAGAUAUCCACCGUCCAUUAAUGAGGUGGCCUAGUAUAAAUAGGGCUCCUCAUUUGGAAUCAUCUAACAAAAGAUCCAACAAGAAUCCAACAUCCAAGCACUUAAGCAAUAAAAGUACUUCCUUGACAUGCCAAUUCAUUCAUAGCUAAGUCGAUUAAAAAAUUAAAAUAAAUCUUAAAUAUGAACAAAUCGAUCAAAUUUAAUGAUUUACGAUUUCUUAAGACUUUUAUUUAUUAUAUUAUUUACAAUAAACUUGGGAUAAGUACAGUUUUGGUCCCUAUAUUAUAUACCAUUUUUUAUUUUGGUCCUUAAACCGGUAAUGCCCCACAGAUGGGGGUCAAUUUGUAAUUUCUGGAAAUCCACCUCCUUGACAGAAAUAAUUCUGAAAAUUGCAGAAUCACCCCUAUACUUACUCCAUUUUCCCAGCUGCUCCAUGCAAAUUACAAAUUUGACCCCAAAGUGGAUCUCUCUUGCAAUAUUCGAAAUAUCCGCCACUAAUGCAGCAUGCUUCGACUCCUUCUCGGUUGUAAUCACGUGUGACUCAUUUACUAAAAUUCGCGAUACCGAGCCUAAAAUUUUACGAUUUAAGAUUCAAAUCGUACUAUUCUUUCCAUUUAUAACUAAGUCGAUUCAAUUGUUAAAAUAAAUGUUCAAUAUCAACAAAUCGAUCAAAUGUUACGAUUUAAGAAAACUUUUAUUAUAUUAUUUAUAAUAAACUUGUGAAAAUUACAAUUUUGGUUCCUAUAUUAUAUACCAUUUUUAAUUUUGGUCCUUAAACCGGUAAUGCCUAACUUCUAGCUGAUUCUUGCACUACCGCAGUUGUACAAUAUAGAUUGCGAAGUUAACAAAAUACGAAAAUUCCAUUCCGACUUGCACCCCUAUACAAGACCUACCCAAUAUAUCAGAAAACAUGCGCCCAACGAAAAAGGAAAAAAACAAGCGUCAAGAUACAAAUCCACAACAAUAUUCGGUGGCGUCCACUGCAAACAACAGUUAUAUCGCAGUCCCAAUUUAUUCUUUCAUUACUCAAACUACAAUGACGGCACCCAUACAUACAAUUCAGCAUAACUUAUCUCACAACUUAUCGUUAAGAUUAUUACUUUCCGUCCAUACUGGUGCAAUGGUAGUCCCCCUUCAAAUAUCUGCGUAUACAUACAACCCCCGCAUUUUCUAUCCCCUUCCCUGCAAGAUUUCGCUACGUUCAAACUUACUCUUAGGCAGUGGCGGAUCUACCUAUGGUCUAGGGUGUGCAGCUGCACACCCUUGAUUUUACAGAUAAAUUAUACUGUUAUACAUAAUUUAAAUAAAACAUCUAAUGGUUGAGGUGGUAAAGAGCUUUUUCAAGCAUUAAGAGGUCCCAGGUUCGAUUUCUGUUCCUCUCAAAUACUUUUUUUCUCUCAAAAUGGUCCAAACCAUUGAAAUAAUUAAUGGGUUUAUUAGGGAAAACCCCCUUGUUCAUAUUUUCUAAUGAGGUAGAUCCAAUUUUUUUUCUCCUUUUUGAGAUACACCCAAUUUUGCCAACUUGGCAAAAUAUAUUAUAUAAUUUCCCUUUAAUACCCCUGUUUUAUUAUUAAACGGCAUUUAUUUCCUUUAAUACGUGAUUUGAGAUUUGCUGAUAUGUUGCCUAAAAUCACGGAAUAAAUUUACGUGAGAUCAUUGGCCGUUAUAUCAAAUCGUGUACAAUUUUUUUUGAAGAUUCUCUUCAUCGUUCCAGCGGGUUUUAUCGUCAUUGAAGAUUUCUGCACCGUCGUGGAAAUAGGAUCGAUUUUUGAGCGUUUGUUGUUGGACGUUGUUAAGCGGGUAUGAAUGCGUUAUUCGUUUUUAUUUUUGCUCAAUGUCCAUGAUUGUCGUGUACGGUGGUUAGAAAUUUUUAAGAGUUGUGUUGAUACUUGAUUCUAUUAAGUAGAACGUUUUUUAACAAAAUUAUUCCGUCAUAUAUAUAUCGUUUUUUUUGCCGAUGAUGUUUGUUUGGAAGAGGAUUGACAGAGUUAGAAGAGGAUGGUUCACGCAGAUCGUACCAGAGUUGUUUUAUAUGAGCUUCGUAGUUGGUUUAUGCAAUAAUCGGAAUAAUUGUCCGCUUUGGUCGAGUUCAUGUUUUUAUCCCGAUCGAUAGUUGGUUUAUUUGUUUAUAACAGCCGAUUUAAGUGUGCUGGGUAGUACAUUAAAAUAUAGUUCGUAGUCUUUUUUAAUUUAGCGUAUGAAUUUUGCAUUUUAAAUUUAUUUUUGAUGAUAUUAAUGUAUUAUCAUUCAAAUGUAUUUGCAGUCUAUUUAAUUAUUUUUUAGUAUUCUGCAUUUUUAAUUUUGUUUCAUGAUUUUAGGUUUUUUCGAUGGCGAAUUUCGUACGGAUUUUGUUGAGGUUUGGUGGGUUAGUUGCUAUAAAGAGGUGUUUACGAUGUAAUGGCUCGGUAACUUCGGUUAAGUGUUGAACCGUUGUAAUACAGUAGUAUAAUAUUAUGAAUACCGUAUGAUACUACCAUUAUCAUUUUAUUAUACUAUUAUGAGAUUAUUAAUGUACUAGAGUUUUUUAACUCGACAUAUUGGUUUUAUUGUGUUAUGAUGUGUUUUAUGUAUUUUAUCAAAACCCUAGAUUGAAAUUAUGAGAUUAUUAAUGUACUAUUUUAUUGGUUAUGUGGAAUACUUUACGUUGGUGUUGUUCUCAAUGUUCUUGUCAUUUCAGUGGUAUAUUGUUUGUAACACAAUUUCAUAUCAAUACUAUAACCGUAAUAUACUAUCAUAGCAGAUUAAUGUACUAUAUUGAAAUUAUUAAUAUACUAUGUGGUUGAAUAAUACGGGAUCCAUAGUCUAUUAACGAGAUCCAUAGUCGAAUUAGAUCAAUAAGAUAGUCUAUUACAUGAUAUAAGGAAAAUUACCCUAAUUGAUUAGUAUAACAAACAUAUUAUUCACUUUCCAUAUAUAUUAUUAUUUUUUCAUAUAUAUUAUUAUUUACCCUAAUCGUUUUCAUAUAAUAAGGAAAAUUACCCUAAUUGAUUAGUAUUUCAAACAAACAUAUUAUUCAGUUUCCAUAUAUAUUAUUAUUUUUCCAAUAGUCAAUUAAUUAAACCCAUAGUCGAAUUAGAUACAUGGGAUAGUCUAUUAAAAGAUAUGAGAUAGUCUAUUAAUUUAAAAAAAGGUAAAGUAACGGGAUUUGUGGGAUUUGAUUGAGGGUAAUUAUGUAAUUACGAAAAGCUUGGGCUUUUAUCAAAAUGGCAAAUUUAAAUUUGGGUCUACCCCUAUUAUUUGAAUGUUUAAGGGGGUUAUAUCUAAUAGACCCAUAAUUAAUAUUUUUCACCUCUUUUCUCUUUAAAUAUUUCUGAAAUUUUCCUAAAUCCUUUUUUUCUCUCAAAAUGGUCCAAACCAUUGAAAUAGUUAAUAUUUUUCACCUCUUUUCUCUUUAAAUAUUUCUAAAAUUUUGAAAAUCGUAAAUUUUUGGUCCACUAUUUUUUUAAACUGAUUUAAUUUUUUUAUUUUACGCAAUUUCGAACCCCCUUGGCAAAAUUCCUGGAUCCGCCACUGCUCUUAGGUACGUGUUAAGUGUAUAUUUUUACACUUUAUCGUACCUUUUAAUUGGAGCCUUUGGCGUGUUUUAACGAUAAUUGGUGCUUAAAAGGUUGAUUUAUUUUAUUUUAGGUACAAAUUGAAGAAUUGGAAAAGUAUGGGGUAAAAACUGCAAUUUUGGAGAAAUUAUGGGCCGAAAGUGAAGAAAUAAAAAAUAUGAAUAAAUAUAGCCUGGGAUGGCCGUCCCAGAAAUACACUUAAAACUGGGACGGGCGUCUAAGAAGCAGAAGCAGUCUCUGGUUUUGAGAUGGCCGUCCGAGUUUUAGUAUAAAAUUCGGGACGCCCGUCCGAGAUUACGAAAAGGCGCAGUAAAGGAAUCCUAAUUGCACAAGGAAACUACCUUCUUCUCCAAAUUUUCCACCCUAUAAGACCAAGCCAAGCACACAAUUGUGGAUCAAUCUUUUACGCAAUUUCAAGAGCAACAAAGCAAUAACGAAGACGAAGAAUUCGAAGAUUCCAAUCAUAGACUUAUCGUUUAUGAUUAAUUUUAUUUGCGUUUUUACUUUAAUCACGAGUAGCUAAUUUUUUUAUUUCUAGGAUUUUAUUUGGAACCCUAUGUGGGAUUUAUGAACCCAAUUCUAUGAUUUUAUGCAAGUUUUAAUUCUGGAUUAUUUCUUCAACUUGUUUUAUUAAGUUCAUGAAACUGGCCACUUUAUGUGUUUUUAUGUUAUUGUUAAUCGCAUGAAUCGGAAGAUCGGGUUAAUAAUUAGAACUGUGGUAGAAGAGCCUUUGUGGUAUUAACAUAUGAAUAUAGUUAAUCUCUUAGGUAGCCAUUAUUGAGAUUUGUGCUUAAUACUGUGUUCUAGAAUUAAUUGCAUAGGAAUAUAGUAAUUGAAUUUAGAGUAUUAGAAUCGUAAUACACGCUGAAGCGCGUUAUGAUUAAUUUAGCAUCUCAGGUUAAUAAUCCGAGUUAAUUGCUUGCACAAUUGAAGGAAUUAGGGGAAUAAUAAUCACAUAGGGGGAAGAAUAAAAUCCUAGGCUUGUUUACUCUGAUAAAUCUUCGUGUUUAAUUUGCUUUCUUGCUUUGUCGUUUUAAUUUGCUUUAAUUUAGUUUAUUUUAAUUUAGUUAAUUAUCUCCAAAAUCGACUGUGUAGGGUGGGUUUGAUAACAAUUGGUAGAAUUUAGCGUCUAGGAUUAGAUAAUUAAAUAUUCUCUGUGGGUUCGAUAUCCGGACUUAAUUGUCCACUAUAUUACUUGUACGAUACGUGCACUUGCGUGUAGGUAUUACCACCAACAAGUUUUUGGCGCCGUUGCUGGGAAAUAUUUUAAUUAUUUAUUUUAUUCUAGAUCUAAAUUUGAACAAUUUUCACGACUCACCCAUUUAGUUUUUUGUUUUAUUUUAUUUUUCUUUUUAGGUACUGUGUAUGUGCAGAAAACUCGAUCUUGCUAGAGAACCGUUUGAUCCGGAAAUCGAACGUACUUUUCGAGCAGCUAGGAGACGCCAACGCGCAAUCAAUACAAUGGAGGACGAAGAACGCGGAAACACAGAGGGUAAUUUACUCAAUGCCAAUGGAAACCAAGUCCAAGACCCACCCCCUCAUCUUCCAUUACAGCCAGCAGCUAGGCCACGGGCACUUCAAGAUUACGUAAUCCAACUCUCGACAGAUUCCGCCCGAGCAUCCAAUAUCCACCAAUUGAGGCACACAAUUUUGAGAUCAAGCAAGGCCUCUUGACGAUGCUCCAAAAUAAUGGGCUAUUUAGUGGAUUGGCGGGUGAAGAUCCCCAUCUUCAUAUUGUCAAUUUUCUAGAUACCUGUAAUUCCCACCGUCAAAACGACGUUUCCCAAGAGGCGCUUCAAUUAAUUCUCUUCAAGCACUCCUUACAAGGAACAACUUGCCAGUGGUUGAUGUCCCAAGCCCCCCACUCUAUCUCUUCGUGGCCUCAACUCCUCAACCUUUUCAUGAAAGUUUAUAGCUCACCCGAGAAGGACGAGAGAAUCCGACGAGAAAUUCAUAAUUUUGUCCAAGAGCAAGGCGAGCAAUUAUACGAGGCAUGGAAGAGAUUUAAGACCCUUUUGGGGAAGUGUCCAACACAUGGAGUCGAACAAUGGCGGCAAAUCCACAUUUUCUAUCAAGGGAUUAACGCGAAUGCACGAACCGUCUUAGAUGCAUCCACCGGAGGUAACUUUAUGAGUCAAUCGAUACCGGAUGCUUUUAUUAUGUUGGAUCAAAUUGCACAAAAUCGGUUUGCCAAGUCAAGCGAAAGGACGGUUAACGGAGCCAAGAAAAUUCCCGGAGUGUUGGAGUUAGAUGCAAUUACGGCCCUUUAAGCUCAAGUGACCCAAAUUGCUCAACAAAAUCAACUCAUUCUGCAGCACAUCAAAGCAAGUCCACCACCACAACAAGUCCAAGCAAUUGAUUCUCCAUGUUGUGAAAUUUGCGGUGGAAAUCAUUACACGCUCCAAUGCCAACAAGAUAUGGAGUUGCUCAACUACGUCAACAAUGCGCCUCGCCAAUUGCAAAAUCAAGGGUGCAGAUCACAAGGGCAAUAUGGAGGAAAUCCACAAGGCCAAGGGUAUCAAAGACCUCAAGGUCAAUUCCAAAAUCAAGCCCAUCCUCCACAAAGCUAUCAAGGCAACAAUCCACCGGCCCAAAAAUCAAACAUGGAUGAGAUAUUGGCCCAAUUCAUGACCGCUACCCAAGCCUCGCUGCAGAAUUUGGAGAAUCAAUUUGCUCAAUUCGUUGUGAAUCAAAAGAAUCGUCCGGCGGGAGCAUUGCCAUCGAAUAAGGAAGAUCCUCGAAAGCAAAAGUUCGAGACGUGCCAAGCUAUCGAUGUCAAGAUCGAAAAAAGGGAAGAAAUUCAAAUAAAGCCGCAAGUCACUGUAGCUGAAUGGGUGGAACCAAUCCCAUAUCCACAACGAUUGCUAACGAAAAAGAUCGAGGUCGAGACGUGCCGAGCAGUCACCUUGAAGAACGGUAAGCAAUAGGAGGAAGCCCCACGAAAAGAGAAGAGAAACACGGUAAUUGAGAAGCCAAAAGUCAUUGAGGAAAAAGAAUCAACUCAUGAAGAGCCACCAUGAACGGUGCCUUCACAAGUCCCUCCAAUUCCUUAUCCUCAAAAGUUUAUAAAGAAGAAGCUCGAUGCCGAAUAUCAAAGAUUUUUGGACAAGUUGAAGGAAAUUCGCAUAAAUAUUCCUUUCAUUGAAGCACUUCAAAAGAUGCCAAAGUGGUUGAAGUUCCUCAAGGACCUUGUGAAGAAAAGUAAGAAAUUGCAAGGGAACGAGAUGAUUCAACUUACAGAGCAAAUUAGUGCAAUUCUUACUCGGCCCCUUCAACAAAAACUCGGCGAUCUAGGUAAGGUUACUAUUCCUUGUACUAUAGGAGGUAAAAAUUUUAGAUCCCUCAUUGAUUUAGGCGCUUGCAUUAAUCUUAUGCCUUAUGCCACUUUUAAAAAUCUUGGGUUAGGAGAAAUUGAACCGACGGCUAUAACUCUUCAAUUAGCCGAUAGAUCUUUAGUUUACCCAAAAGUUAUUUUAGAGAAUGUGCUAGUGAAAGUUAAUAAAUUUAUCUUCCCUGUUGAUUUCGCUAUACUUGAUAUGGAUGAGGAUAGGGAGAUCGAUACCUAUUAUCGUUGGGAGACAGUUUUUAGCCACGUCGAAGACGCUAAUUGAUUGUGCUAGUGGUGAUCUUACAAUGACUGUUCAUGAUCAAACAAUAAAACUCAAUGUUUUUAGUGCUAAUAAAAAUCCAUGUGAUAAUAAUGAUUGUUUUGCUAUUGAGCUUAUGGAUUUUACAACUCAUGAAAAUUUUGAUAUUUUGAACUUGGACAAUGGGAAAGUAUCUUUGAGUGCAGGAGAUGAUGGCGGAAACGGGAAUCGGAAGGAGCAAGUUUACUUUGUGGACUCAAUUUCAACUCCUCCGAGAGAAAGUCAUAAGAUUUGGGGUCUUAACGACGAUGAAAGUGCAAGGAAGAUGUUGCCACCCAAAGACUCGAGCAAGCCACGAGGGAAGGAUGAGUCAAGGAAUUGUGGUCGUAAGGAGAAAGUCAAAAGGAAAUUGCACAAAAGACAAUUGGUGUUAUUGUGCAAAUCCCGUCUUUGGUUAUUUCCAAGGAAGCGCAAAUCAAAGUGGUCGGUACCAUUUAUUGUCCAAGAGAUUCUUCCUUACGAAGUUAUCAAAAUAAAGGAGCGAGAUUCAAAUCAUACGUUCAACGUGAAGCGGAGCCGGCUCAAACUAUAUUGGGAAGCGAGUGAAGAUUGCCAAGUGACUUCGGUCGCUUUUGCUUGAAAAUAAAGAAGCAACGUCCGGCUGAAGACUUUAAACUUAACGCUUCUCGAGAGGCAACCCGAGCUUUAUUGUUUUUCGUAGAUUUCUUUAAUUUUUUGUUUCGUUUUUAUUGUCAUAGGCAUGCAUUCUAAUUAAUUUAUUGGAAUUUUAAUUUUUAGGGUCGAAAACAUGGUCAGGGAGUCCAGACGGCCGUCCGAAAUUGCAAGCAAAAUCCAAGACGGCCGUCUGGGAAACAGAAGGCCACAAACUGCAGCUCUGCCUGUGGGACAGCCGUCCGAAAAAAUAGCACAAAAGUGGGACGGCCGUCCCACUACCAGUAAGGGCAAAAAAAAUUAAAAAAAAAAAUUGUAUUUCUUUCCCGCCAAUUCUCAUACCCCGAUCACAUCGACUCCGACUAAAUCAGGUGUUUUAUAUCCUUAACUUUGUGCUAAUUUCGUUGAGGGCAACGGAAAUUUUAAGUUUGGGGGUGAAAAACAUGUUUUUGUGCUUAUUUGUUUUAGUUUGCAUGCAGUAGGUUUUAUUUAUUUUUAUUGCUUUCAUCGUUUUCUUUUCCGGAAUAUAAAAAAAGAAUGAUUUAUGAUGAUGUGAGAUGAUCAAUGUUUGAUGAUGAGAUUGCUUGUUUUGUGUGAUAAGGAUUAGAUGUUUGUUUAGCUUUCGAUUCAACGGAACUUAGAUGCGAAUUAUUGCUAGGAAGCACACUUUGUGCAUUGCUUUGGUUGAAUGUUUUGUAUUAUAAAUUUGGAAUUAAUUUGUGCUAGAUCAUGCUAUAUUCGGUUUUAGAACUCACCUUAGGAAAUUUAUGAAACGAAGUAUUAAGUAGUCAGUGAUUUGGGAUAUGAUUUGGGCCUUCUUUGAACCGUUUGAGCCUUUCAAGCCGACAUUUUUAUCGAAAUUAUCCUUAGAACCUUGAUUUGAGCCUCGGAGAAAAGGUGUUCUUUCUUUUAGCCAAUGUGUAUGUAGCAACAAAUUCUUAUCUGCGAAUUUAACAAACAAGAAAAUACUUGCACAAAGAUAAUUUAUUGAAUUAAAAUAAAAUAUUGCGGGUUACAAACUCUAAUUUAAUCCUCUGAUUAUUCUCUCAAGAAAAAUAUAUGAUUGACUUUGAAUUUCGGAGACGAGUCGUUGACUUGAUCUUCUCCGGAUUUGAUUUGGAUUUGAAUAACGUCUUCCGAGGGUCUUGCGACUUGAAUCUCGGAUCGAACGCUGAACUUUGACGGAUUUUGACUUGAAGAUCUUGGAGUUCUUGAUGGAUUUGGCCCUUCAAUAUUCCUUCGAUCUUGAUUUGAUGUUAAUAACGUUAAUUCGAGGGUUUAGCACCGUAACCUUGAAUUAAACGCUUUAACGCCUUGAUUUGAUGAAGAACACCUUCGAUUUGAUGAACUCCUUCGAUUUGAUGAAGAACGCCUUGAAUUUGAUGAAGAACGACUUGAAUAUUGUAGAGAGAAUUUUCUCCUACGGUUUUUUAUUCUUCUUGAGUUGUGUUUUGAAUUGUGUAGAGAGGGUGCAUAUUUAUAGUGGUAGAAUAAGAGUCCUACUUAAAGUCUACUUGAUGACGUGGCGCGAUUUGAUUGGCUCUCUUUAAAUUGAUAUUUAUCUCUUAUAACUUGGAAGAGAAGAAAUAAUCUUAUUGGCCAAUAAUUAUUUGAUAAUUAUCUCCAUAACUUAUUUUGUAAGAUAAAUUAUAAUUUAAUUCAGACACAAUUUAAUUGGCUAAUUUAAUUAACCAAUUAAUUAAUUUUAUGCGUCUACAAAUGCCCCCUCGAGACUUGUUCACGGACAAUGCAUCUUGGAGUGAAUGAGUCUCGAUAAUUGCUCAACUUCAAUUGCAGCUUGAUCUAGCAAAGCGCAUAUAUCUUUAAAAUCAUGACUGAACUUAGAGAGAUUCUAAGUUGCUACGUACCCUAUAAAGGGAUCAAGUCAUAACGUAGUUCAAAAUAUAUCCUUUUGAGGGAUGUCGUGCACAGUUUAUACUCAUGUGGACAAGGAGAAACAUGCAGUUUAAGCUCGUACUGAAGGAGCAUUUGAUUUGAAUUUGUAGAUAGUUUAUGCUCGUAUCAAGGAGCCUUGACUUGAUUUCGAUAUAUAGAUAGUUUAUGCUCGUAUCGAGGAGCCUUGACUUGAUUUGGAUAUAUAGAUAGUUUAUGCUCGUAUCGAGGAGCCUUGACUUGAUUUGGAUAUGUAGAUAGUUUAUGCUCGUAUCAAGGAGCCUUGACUUGAUUUGGAUAUGUAGAUAGUUUAUGCUCGUAUCAAGGAGCCUUGAUUUGACUUGGAUAUGUAGAUAGUUUAUGCUCGUAUCAAGGAGCCUUGACUUGACUUGGAUAUAUAGAUAGUUUAUGCUCGUAUCAAGGAGCCUUGACUUGAUUGGGAUAUAUAGAUAGUUUAUGCUCGUGUCAAGGAGCCUUGAUUUGAUUUGGAUAUAUAGAUAGUUUAUGCUCGUAUCAAGGAGCUUUGAUUUGAUUUGAACUUAUAGACAUUUUAAACUCGUGUUAAUGAGUAUUUCACUUGAUUUGGACACGUAGACCUUUUAAACUCGUGUCAAGGAGUAUUUCACUUGAUUUGGACAUGUAGACCUUUUAAACUCGUGUCAAGGAGUACUUCAUUUGAUUCGGACAUGUAGACCUUUUAAACUCGUGUCAAGGAGUGCUUCGUUUGAUUCGGACUUGUCAUAUUGCAUAGGGUGUUGGUUCCUCAAAAGACUUGUCCCCAUCCUCAUGAUCUUCUUGUUCUUCUUCAAUAUGUUCUUCAUUGAGCUGGUACGGCUUUUGGAAUGGUGGUUCUUCAAUUUGAUUUGCAAGUAUGCUCAACUCCAUAUCAUGUGCUCGAGUGGCCAACUCUUCAAAACUUUUAGGUUGAAUUACUUGAAGGAUAUAUCGGAGUCCCCAUUGCAUUCCUUGGAUGCACAGUUCAAUAGCUGAUGUCUCAGACAGUCGAUCCUUGCAAUUAAGACUCAAAUUUCUCCAACAGUUGAUGUAGUCGAUGACAGGUUCCUUCAUCCACUGGCGGGAAUUGGUGAGCUCAAUCAUGCUGACUGUUCUUCGAGUGCUGUAAAAGCGGUUGAGAAAUUCUUCCUCUAAGUGCUUCCAACUAUCGAUGGAGUUUGCCCCCAAAUCAAUGUACCAAUCAAACGCAUUGUCUUUGAGCAAUCGGACGAAUUGCUUGACGAGGUGAUCUCUGUACGUCCCGGCAUCAUUGCAAGUCUCGACGAAGUGUGCCACAUGUUGCUUGGGGUUGCCUUUGCCGUCAAAUUGUUGAAACUUUGGAGGUAUAUAGCCCAUUGGCAUCCUUAGAUCAUCAAUCCUUUGCGUGUAUGGCUUGACAUAGGUUGAUGGAGACUUCGAGCUUCCUUCCAACUUGUCUUUGAUGGUUCCACUGAUCAGCGUUAUCACUUGAUCUACAUGAAUCAUCCCUUCUGGAGAAACUUGAAGUUCUUGAGCUGGAGCCUUCUCGUUUUCAACUGGUUGUUGCUUUGUGGAUGUCUCGACUUCGUCUUGAACUUCUAUCUGAUUCUCCAGAGCUUGACUAGCAUCGGAUUUGUCCAUCUUGUUGAUCAACUCGGCAAUUUGAGAAUCUCGUUGUUGAACAUGCUUUGUGAGUCCCUCAAUUUCCUUUGUCAAACUUGCAAUUUGCUCCUCCAUGGUUGUAGCGUUUGUUGUCAUGACGGAUGCCACCUCUGAGUAGCUUGAUGUUGAACGAGGCGUGGGCUGUGAAAUCUUUUGUUUUGAACCUUCCACGUCUGCGCUUGUGUUGACAAGAGGUGGUAAGCCUUUCUGAAUGGUUUGAGGCGUCGAGUUAGUCUCGGAGGAUGCUUGCAGCUGCAACACUUCGAGGAUCUUCGAGAGAGAGAAGAGAUGAGAGGUAGAGAUGUCCCCACCGGGCGUGCCAAAAUUUGUAGCAACAAAUUCUUAUCUGCGAAUUUAACAAACAAGAAAAUACUUGCACAAAGAUAAUUUAUUGAAUUAAAAUAAAAUAUUGCGGGUUACAAACUCUAAUUUAAUCCUCUGAUUAUUCUCUCAAGAAAAAUAUAUGAUUGACUUUGAAUUUCGGAGACGAGUCGUUGACUUGAUCUUCUCCGGAUUUGAUUUGGAUUUGAAUAACGUCUUCCGAGGGUCUUGCGACUUGAAUCUCGGAUCGAACGCUGAACUUUGACGGAUUUUGACUUGAAGAUCUUGGAGUUCUUGAUGGAUUUGGCCCUUCAAUCUUCCUUCGAUCUUGAUUUGAUGUUAAUAACGUUAAUUCGAGGGUUUAGCACCGUAAUCUUGAAUUAAACGCUUUAACGCCUUGAUUUGAUGAACACCUUCGAUUUGAUGAACUCCUUCGAUUUGAUGAAGAACGCCUUGAAUUUGAUGAAGAACGACUUGAAUAUUGUAGAGAGAAUUUUCUCCUACGGUUUUUUAUUCUUCUUGAGUUGUGUUUUGAAUUGUGUAGAGAGGGUGCCUAUUUAUAGUGGUAGAAUAAGAGUCCUACUUAAAGUCUACUUGAUGACGUGGCGCGAUUUGAUUGGCUCUCUUUAAAUUGAUAUUUAUCUCUUAUAACUUGGAAGAGAAGAAAUAAUCUUAUUGGCCAAUAAUUAUUUGAUAAUUAUCUCCAUAACUUAUUUUGUAAGAUAAAUUAUAAUUUAAUUCAGACACAAUUUAAUUGGCUAAUUUAAUUAACCAAUUAAUUAAUUUUAUGCGUCUACAGUGUAUAAGGUAGAAAAGUGGAGAUUCUUGAAAAAAUUACCCCUUGGAGUUUGGUCGAAAUGUUUUAUAAGGUCCUUCUUCUUCUUCGAAAAAAAAGAAGACAAAAAAGAAAAAAAAGAAGAAGAAGAAAAGACUAGAAGGGAGAAGUAAGGACUAGUUGUUGAAUUAUUUUGAAAGCUCGAUCCAUUAGCUUAAGAGCAAAAGUGGAGACUUUUGAACUCUUAAGAAUCGAGUUUAUUAAAGUCCUUAGAUGUGAAUUCAUUGUUUCAAACGCCUAUCUUUCAAAUUUUGGCGAAAUCACCUCAAUUCGAGAAAAAUAGCCACAUAUACCCAUAUUUCGUACCUCGAACCAAAGAGCCUAACAAUUGAAAGCCACAAAGCCCCAAUGAUCCCAAUAGCUUAAUGUUCAAUAUUAGUAGGGUAGAAUAAUUUGGUGAGUAUUUGGAGUCAAACAUAUGCAUGUAAAUAUAAAUUCUUUCUAUCUUUAAUUUGCAAAUAUUGGAUGCUUGAAGCAAUUGUAUGAUUUGUGGUUUUUGGUAAUGGUGAGUGACUAAGUGCUGUUGAAUUUUGAGCUUGCGAAUGCCUAAGAAUUGUCAUUAUAAUUACAAGUUCUGAAAACGUGAAGUUGAUCAUUGAUCUAUGUAAUGAGAUGUAGUAGUUGAGCUAUAUGCUUAUUGGUAGAUUUUGCUUGAGGACAAGCAAAAGUCAAGUUUAGGGGUGUGUUAAGUGUAUAUUUUUACACUUUAUCAUACCUUUUAAUUGGAGAUUUUGGUGUGUUUUAACGAUAAUUGGUGCUUAAAAAGUUUGAUUCAUUGUAUUUUAGGUACAAAUUGAAGAAUUGGAAAAGUAUGGGGUAAAAACUGCAAUUUUGGAGAAAAUAUGGGCCGAAAGUGAAGAAAUCAAAAAUAUGAAGAAAUACAGCCUGGGACGGCCGUCUGAGAAGCAGAAGCAGUCUCUGGUUUUGAGACGGCCGUCCGAGAUUACGAAAAAGCGCAGUAAAGGAAUCAUAAUUGCACAAGGAAUCUACCUUCUUCUCCAAAUUUUCCACCCUAUAUAAGACCAAGCCAAGCACACAACUGGGGAUCAAUCUUUUACGCAAUUUCAAGAGCAACGAAGCAAUAACGAAGAAUUCGAAGAUUCCAAGCAUAGACUUAUCGUUUAUGAUUAAUUUUAUUUGCGUUUUUACUUUAAUCAUGAGUAGCUAAUUUUCUUAUUUCUAGGAUUUUAUUUGGAACCCUAUGUGGGAUUUAUGAACCCAAUUUUAUGAUUUUAUGCAAGUUUUAAUUCCGGAUUAUUUCUUCUACUUGUUUUAUUAAGUUCAUGAAACUGGCCACUUUAUGUGCUUUUAUGUUAUUGUUAAUCGCAUGAAUCGGAAGAUCUGGUUAAUAAUUAGAACUGUGGUAGAAGAGCCUUUGUGGCAUUAACAUAAGAAUAUAGUUAAUCUCUUAGAUAGUCAUUAUUGAGAUUUGUGCUUAAUGUUGUGUUCUAGAAUUAAUUGCAUAGGAAUAUAGUAAUUGAAUCUAGAGUAUUAGAAUCGUAAUACACGCGGAAGUGGGUUAUAAUUAAUUUAGCAUCUCAGGUUAAUAAUUCGGGUUAAUUGCUUACAUAAUUGAAGGAAUUGGGGGAAUAAUAAUCACAUAGGGGGGAGAAUAAAAUCCUAGGUUGGUUCACUCUGAUAAAUCUUCGUGUUUAAUUUGCUUUCUUGCUUUGUCGUUUUAAUUUGCUUUAAUUUAGUUUAUUUUAAUUUAGUUAAUUCUCUCUCUAAAGUCGACUGUGUAGGGUGGGUUUGAUAACAAUUGGUAGAAUUUAGCAUCUAGUAUUAGAUAAUUAAAUAUUCUCUGUGGGUUCGAUAUCCGAACUUAAUUGUCCACUAUAUUACUUGUAUACUAUGUUACUUGUAUGAUAUGUGCACUUGCGUGUAGGUAUUACCACCAACAGUACGCUGCUAUACCCCUUAUUCCAUGUUUAUUUUGCACAAUUUCUUACAACAACCAGCUGCUUAUGUUUCCUUUAAAUUUGUACGUUUGUGUUUUAUUACGGACAAGUUCUUAUUACUUAACUAACAAGCUCAAUGAUUGGAGAUUUUUUUUUAUACCAUUUCUUCGCUAAAUAAGCUUAAAUUAUUACAAGCAAAUUCAAUCGAUAGUUGUGAAGAGGCCAUGCCCGUCAUUAUCGCAACAACGUUAAUCGCUUCACCAUGCUACAGUACUUAUUUCAUUGGGGAAACUACAGAUAAAUCCCUAAUCCAAAACUCAAAUCACAGAUCAGUCUCUAGGUAGUUUCUUCAAGCAAAUCAGUCCCUAUUCACGCGUCUGACAUGCAGAUCAGUCCCUAAUGUAAAUUUAAUAUAUUUUAUUAUAUUAUCUCUCUUCUUUUUCACUCUCACCCUUUUCUCUCUCCUCAUUUUCUCUCUCUUCAUUUUCUCUCUCUUCAUCUUCUCUUUCUUUCUUCUCUUUCUUCAUUUCUAUCUGCUCUUUUUCUUCUCUAUUUCUUCUCUCUUUCUCUCCUCUGGUUUCCUCUUUUUUCCGACGAAAGAGGGUUCGCACCGAUGGCUGGUAGAUCUCCAUAUUUUUUUGUACUACUGAAAUGCAUUUCUUUAUGGUUGUUAAUUAUUGUGAUACAUAGUAUAAAAUAUGGCACGCAAUAGUACCAUGCUAAUAUAAAUAUGGUAUGGACGUAUGGUACUUACAAUACGUAAUCGUUAUACGUAUAGUAUGCGUGAUAGGUAAAUUUGGUACUGUUGGUAGGAAAACAUAAUAUAAUGGGGAAGAUAGUACGUAACCUUCAUCUGAAUAGUAUGGGUGAUAGCUAAAUUCGGUACUGUUGGUGGGAAAACAUAGUAUCAUAUAAUGGGGAAGACAGUACGUAACCAUUAUUCGGAUAGUAUAGGUGAUAGGUAAACUUGGUACUAUUUGUGGGAAAACUUAGUAUUAUAUAAUGGAGAAGAUAGUAUGGAACCAGUGCAUUGUUAUGAUAUUUUCAUGUACAUUGUUAUUUGGAUUCCACUCUAUUGUAAUCCAUUUUUUAAAUCUUUUUAAACUAAAAGCGGCGAUCAAUCGAUGGAAACCGAGGGUAAUCCGCUUAGAAAUUCAAUUGAUGCAUAGAGACAUUGCAUCCGUGGGGAGAAUCAGUUUUUUAAAGAUCCUGAUGAUUUUAGGCAUAUGCUGAAAAACUAUUAUAUUGCUAAUAAUCGAUCAUUUAAGUAAAUGAAAAAUGAUCAACAAAAGAUCAUAGCAGUAUGCAUUGACGAAAACUGCAAAUGGAGGGUUUAUGCAUUAUUGUACAAGUCAGAUAAGUUAUUUAGCAUUCGUAAAUGCAAUCUUGAGCACACUUGUGGUGAUGCUACUCUUCGAGUAGCACCACUCAAAUGAGUGGGUUAAAAUACAAAAAAGGGAAAUGCAAGUGUCUUGAUUGUGGGAAGAAAACAAUAAUCAUGGUUUCAGAAACUAUUUUGAAUCCCGGAAGGUUAUUUUACUGUUGCCCACACCAUGGCUACUCCCAUUGGUGUGAACCAUUUGAAGUUGGGCAAACUUUUUCCAACUCAAAUCGUGAAGAAAAUGAAGCUACAAGUGCGUCGAUGAACCAAGUCCAUCAAGAAAGUGAAGUGAAGAAUUGCAAUUCUGAAGGUGGAGUAGUUCAUAGUUUAAUAGUGUUGAAUCUAGUAAUAUUUGCAGUCUACAUGUAUGUAAAACCUAUGUACCGUUGUUUAAUUAGUGAACAUAAGAGUACAAUGUAUAAGCUGGUAAAGUUAGGGUUAUUCGUGAAUAUAUUACGCUUUGUUCACCAAAUAAGUACAAUGUAUAAGCUGGUAAAGUUCGGUUUAUUCGUGAAUAUAGUACGCUUUGUUCACCAAAUAAGUACAAUGUAUAAGCUGGUAAAGUUCAGGUUAUUCGUGAAUAUAGUACGCUUUAUUCACCAAAUAAGUACAAUGUAUAAGCUGGUAAAGUUUGGGUUAUUCGUGAAUAUAGUACGCUUUAUUCACCAAAUAAGUACAAUAUAUAAGCUGGUAAAGUUUGGGUUAUUCGUCAAUAUAGUACGCUUUGUUCAUCAAGUAAGUACAAUGAAUACACAUGUGAAGUACAAGUGAUUCGUGACUAUAGUACGCUUUGUUCACUGAUGAAGUAUAUGUUUGCCAUUCAUAUAGUAUUGUUACACUCUAUAUAUUAUUGUGGGGCUAAUGCAUCCAUAUGAUCGCAUUUUAAGACACAACUCUUCAUUUUAAGACUAUUAAGAAUGAAUGGAGACAAUGUGGGAGUCGAUCAAUAUCGAUUAUGGUAACAAUUGAGGAAAAUAUUAGUUUUACACUUGAGCAUUGUAGACUUGUAUGAAUAUAUUGUAUAGUAUAUGAGUAUCAUGUAUGAAAUUCAACAUAUUUAUGGGAUCUUGUAUUCCAAACGCAACAAUAAUGCUCACCUACCUUAAAAUAAUCAUCUAAAACAUAAUUUAUGCAUCUCCCGUACUUAUUGAUCAUUAAAGCGUCAAUGAAAUUGGUACAAUUCAAUUCAUCAAAAAAUAUGGUACGCUUUGUUCAUCAAGUAAGUACAAUGAAUACACAUGUGAAGUACAAGUGAUUCGUGACUAUAGUACGCUUUGUUCACUGAUAAAGUAUAUGUUUGCCAUUCAUAUAGUAUUGUUACACUCUAUAUAUUAUUGCGGGGCCAAUGCAUCCAUAUGAUCGCAUUUUAAGGCAUACCUCUUCAUUUUAAGACUAUUAAGAAUGAAUGGAGACAAUGUGGGAGUCGAUCAAUAUCGAUUAUGGUAACAAUUGAGGAAAAUACUAGUUUUACACUUGAGCAUUGUAGACUUGUAUGAAUAUAUUGUAUAGUAUAUGAGUAUCAUGUAUGAAAUUCAACAUAUUUAUGGGAUCUUGUAUUCCAAACGCAACAAUAAUGCUCACCUACCUUAAAAUAAUCAUCUAAAACAUAAUUUAUUCAUCUCCCGUACUUAUUGAUCAUUAAAGCGUCAAUGAAAUUGGUACAAUUCAAUUCAUCAAAAAAUAUGGUACGCUUUGUUCAUCAAGUAAGUACAAUGAAUACACAUGUGAAGUACAAGUGAUUCGUGACUAUAGUACGCUUUGUUCACUGAUAAAGUAUAUGUUUGCCAUUCAUAUAGUACUGUUACAAUCUAUAUAUUAUUGUGGGGCCAAUGCAUCCAUAUGAUCGCAUUUUAAAGGCAUAACUCUUCAUUUUAAGACUAUUAAGAAUGAAUAGACACAAUUCUUCAGUUUAUGGUAAGUUUUUCGUGAAUACACAUGUGGAGUACGCUUUGUUCAUCAAGUAAGUACAAGUCUAGUGUUAACAAGGUAUCUUCGAAUAGACUAGAAAGUAUUUGUUGCUCAUUUUUAUGGUACGCUUAUAUUCUUUAUACAAACUAAUUAAUCGCAAAAUAAAGUACCAUGUGUUCAAAAGGUAAGUACAUUUCAUAGAAACAUAUAGUACAAUGGAUACAAUGGAAAAGUACGAAGCGAGCUAAUCAAUAGUAUUAUUAGCUCUACAACAAAAGGACAGAUUGUUUAUGGCACAAAAACACAUUCAUCUGUUCAUUAAUUACAAAAAAACACAAAAACCCCAAAACACUUCCAAGCGUAUAGUAUUUCCCCCAAACCAGAAGGCCCGAUCUUUUACAUUGUACGCUUGCAUGAGAGACACAACCCUAUGGAAGCUGUGGUUUAUUUUACGCAUGUCCAUGUAGUGAUAGAAGGGAUUUUUCUUCAGUAAUUCAUAAUGUUGUUUCUUCAUCACUUUUUUCACACCUUCCAUGGUUGUUUGAAAAGCGAUCGGUGAGCACCUGCAACCUAUUGAUAGCUUGCUGCAAUCUUCUUUUACAUCAAUUCCUGCAAUUACAUACACAUAAAACUACAAUUAUAACAAAUACAACGUACUAUAAUGUUCCACAUGUCAAUACCAUCCAAAGUUACUAGUAAUACCAUUCAAAGGCACUAGUAAUCCUAUUAUGGCAUAUGACUUAUACUACAGGACCAUCAAACAUUAGACUUCUAGUACCACAUGUCAAUACCAUCCAAAGUCCUUAGUAAUACCAUUCAAAGGCACUAGUAAUACUAUUGUGGCAUAUGACACAUACUACAGAACCAUCAAAGAUUAUACUUCCAGUACCCUGUGUUAAUACCGUCUGAAGUCAAGAGCAAUACCAUUAUUACAUAUGACAUAUCCCUUGUUGGGACUAAAUGCUUUCGGGACAGUACCUCGAGUACCCUGUGUCAAUACCAUCUAAAUGCACUAUUAAUACCAUUACUGCGCAUGACACAUACCCAGUACGAAAACUACAAUAAGCCUCUUUCCCAUAUCCUAUAUGAAACCCUUGUUAGGACUCAAAAUGCUUUGGGGACAUGCUAAUGUCACCGAAGAAUAAUACCCAUGAGGAAACUGUUACAAAAUCAUGAAAUUCGACAACAAAUAAAUGAUCUUUGCAAACCCAAACAACAGAAAAACAGAUAUUGGAACCGAUUUAAUGAUUAGGGAAAACACCGAAUAAAGUCGAGGCAUAAUACCCAUGAGAGGAUAUGUUCAAAAUCAUGCAAUUCUACAACAAAUAAACCUUUUUGCAAGCUUAAGCAACACCCAAAUGGGUCUGUUUCCAAGAAAAUGAAAGAAAAAAAAAAUCAAACCUUGUUGUUUACCCUGCUUCACCAUUGUCGAGAAAUGGGUUUGUUUAUUUUUAUUUUUCCUUUCGUUUUAUAAUUUUUCUGCGUUUUGUUGAUUCUUCGUGCUUCGUUGUUUCCUUCUUCUUUGUUGUUUCCUUCUUCUUUGUUGUUUCUUUGUUCUUCGUUUCUUCUCUGUUUAGCUUCUUUCUUGUUGUUUGAUUUUUGAAAUGUAACGGGCAAAGAGCGUGUAACACAAACGGCGCGUUGGAGGUUGGAAAUAAGUUAUGUAAAAUUAGUAUAAAGUAAAGGGUAUUUUAGUAUUUGCACAUUUUAUUAGGGACUGAACUGCAUGUUAGGCGCGUGAGUAGGGACUGAAUUGCUUGGGGAAACUACCUAGGGACUGAUCUGUGAGUUGAGUUUUGGAUUAGGGAUUUAUCUGUAGUUUCCCCUAUUUCAUUCCCUACUCCUUUUUAUCUACACCUAUGCACCUAUGCACCGUACAUGUACAUAAUCUCGUUCCCAGUUAUUCAACAAAUUACAUUCAAAAUUUUAUAGCAUUUAUUUAUUUAAAUUUCAUAAAAAACAAAUUCCGACACUACCCGGUUUAAUAUUCACAAAAUAAGAGGCUUCCCACGAGCACAUUUUUUUGCCUUACUUCUCUUUGCAGCUAGCGCAGUAGUCUCAACACCAUCCACGACAAUAGUAGUGAACCCUCGUCUUCCACAUGUUGAAGUCCUAAAAACAAACAAUCAAAAUGUUUGAUUGUUUGUUGAUUAAAAUACAAACAAUUAUGUAUAUACCUAUGUCAAAAUGUUUGAAUAAAUUCCGUCAGUGGAAUAAACUGCAUAUGGACAAUUUUUUUGUCGACCACUGCCUUGCUUGAACAUGAAAUAUGAACCAUUUUUCAUCACCUAUUCCUUCACUUUCAAGUAAUAAUUGUAGGCACCAGGAUAGUAUAAAAAUGAUUAAUCCCGAAUUUAGAUUUUAGUGAUUUUUUGAAGACUUGAAAAUAAUAAUUUUAUUUUAGUAGAGAAAGUAAUAAGACUAGUGUUUUGUGGAUGGAAAAAUUACUUCUCUUUUUGUUUUUUUUGUCUUAUUUACAAUCAUCUAACACUCCAUAUUUAUAGUGAGGAGUACAUUAAUCUUCUAAUAAAUUACAAGAUGACUCUUAAACUAACAACUCUUCUAACUCUAAUUUAAUACAUAGGAAAAUCAAAAGACAAUUGUCUAGAUACAUCUAGACAAUGGUGCUUCAAAUUCACAUUUAUUCUAACAUUCAAUCCCCCACUUAUUCCAACUUGAAUGUGCACUUCUUCCAAUAUUGAAUUGCCACUAAUUCCAAUAUUGAAUUCACAUUAAGUCCAUUUAUUCCAACAUUGCCUCCCGUAAAUUGAAUUUGCUUUUCACUCCCAAACCUUCCACAUUUUUUCUAAAAAACAUGACCUCCAAGUGGCUUAGUGAAAAUAUCGGCAAGUUGUUCUUCACUUUUGCAAUACUCAAGAUUGAGUUCACCCUCAUGAACAAGUUCCCUUAAGAAAUGGAAACGAAGUCGAAUGUGCUUUGUUCUUCCAUGAAGAACUGGAUCUUUCGAGAUAGAAAUAGCCGAGUUAUUAUCACAAAAGAGAAUUGUAGGCCCAUCUUGCUUGAAACUCAAGGUUUCGAUAAUUCCUCUCAACCACAUAAUUUGACAUCCGGCGGAAGAAGCCGUGAUGUACUCCGUUUCGGUUGUAGAAAGGGCCACGAUUGGUUUUUUUUCGAACUCCAAGAAAUUGCUCCACUUUCAAGAUUAAAAAUAUAACUGGAAGUACUUUUAUAAUCAUCCACACUUCCACAAAGAUCACUAUCUGUAAAGCCAACAAGUUUAACAGAAAUAUUUUUUUUCAUAAAAAAUACCAUAAUCAAUGGUUUCCUUUGACAUAUCAAAAAAUUCUUUUCGCCGCCUCCCAAUGAUUCGAAUGUGGCUUCUCCAUAAACCUGCUAAUCAAACUUACACCAAACAUGAUAUUGAGACGAGUGACUAUAAGAUACAUCAAAUUUCCAAUUAAGCUUCGAAACAUGGUUGUGGUCACCAAUUUUCCUUCACCUUCUUUUCUUAAUUUUAAGUCCGUGAUGCAAGGAGUUGACACCGGAUUUGAGUUCUCCAUUUUGAUCUUUUUCAAAAUUUCUUUUGCAUAUUUUUCUUGAGAAAUAAAAAUUCCUCCUUUUGAUUGUUCCACAUUAAUUCCAAGAAAAUGAUGCAAUUUACCUAGAUCGGUCAUUUCAAACUCCUUCAUCAUAGAAGCUUUGAACCCUGCCAACAUCUCAAAAUCAUACCCGUGAAGAUUAAAUCAUCAACUUAAAGACUCACCACCAUAAAACCGCCGUUAGAAUUCCUUUUGAUGUAAAGAGUAUGCUCAAAAGGACAACGAUCAAAACCAAAUUUAAUGAAAUAAUCAUUAAUUCGAUCACACCAUGUACGGGGUGAUUCCUUCAAGCCAUAGAGAGCUUUCUUGAGUUUGUACACUUUUUCUUGCUCGCCUUUUUAAAUGAAUCCGGGAGGUUGCUCAAGAUAAAUUUAUUCUUGAAGAAAUCCGGUCAAGAAUGGUGAUUUGGCAUCAAUUUGAUACAACGUCCAACCAUUUUAAGCCGCAAGAGAGAUAAUUAAGCAAAUGGUAUCAAGUCCUGAGACGGAAGCAAAUACCUCAUUGAAGUCUUCUCCUUCUUUUUGCUUGCAUCCUUUUGCAACAAGUCUCGCCUUGUAUUUGUUAAUGGAACCAUCAAGAUUGGUUUUUGUUUUGAAUACCCAUUUCACACCAAUAGGAGAUUUGUGUGAAGGUAAAGGUGUGAGCUCCCAAGUUUCAUUUUUGUCAAUCGCCUUGAUCUCUUCUUUCAUCGUUUGAUUCCACUUUUCUUCUUUUGAGGGUUCUUCAAAUGAGAUUGGAUCCUCUCCGACAAAGAAUGCAAAGAAAAUAGGAUAUGUUGAAUUUACCUCCUCCGUUUCAUCAUAGAUUUCUCCAGGGCCGGUCCCAGGGUCUCGGAGGCCCGAGGCGAGAAACGAAAACGAGGUCCUCUUAAUUACCAACUUUGUUUUCACUUAUAAACUCAUUCCUCAACCACAAUUCCAAACUUCAUAUUCAGCAUAUUUUUGCAAGAUAAUUUAUUUAAAUCUAAAAGCUCCGUUUGUGAUUUUUUUUAAUAUCCCAACUCAAAAAUUUCUAUUGCUCAUUGUGUCGAUAGAUACUCAACCUAUGAAUUUCAAAUAUACAAUAUAAUACAAAAGAGCCAAAUUAUUAAACACAAAAUAUAAGCACAACAAGUGAAAAAAAAAGUGUAGGAUUAGAAAUGAAAGAAUCAAGAUAAUGAUAGAUAAACUUAAUAAAUUCUUAGCUAGGAAAUUUGGAGAUUAAAAAAUAAAAUUAAAAAGAAAAAAAGAGGGAAAGAGGGAAAGAGGGAAAUUAAAAAAUAAAAUUAAAAAGAAAAAAUAAAGAGGGAAAUUAAAAAAUAAAAUUAAAACGAAAAAAAAGAGGGAAAUUAAAAAGAAAAAAAAAGAGGGAAAUUAAAAAUAAAAUUAAAAAAAAGAAAAAGAAUAAACAAAACAAAGAGAGAGCACUUAAUUAAUUCACAGCUGGGAAAUUGGGGAGAUUAAAAAAUAAAAUAAAAAAGAAAAAAAAGAGGGAAAGAGGCAAAUUAAAAAGAAAAAAAAAGAGGGAAAUUAAAAAUAAAAUUAAAAAAAGAAAAAGAAUAAACAAACAAAAAAAACAGAGAGGAAACAACAGCUUUUAUAGAAGAAAAAGCCAAGGAAUCGAACACGCGUCAUAUAGAAACAUAUGAGAACUACUUAGCCAACUAUGUUAGAAGGAAUUUCUUAUAAGAUGUUGUAGCUCAAUAUAUAUAUAAACAUUUUACAAAAUUGGAGGCCCUAAAAGUUUUCGAUUUUUCGGAGGCCCAAGGCGACGGCCUUGCUCGCCUUGGGCAUGGGCCGGCCCUGGAUUUCUCUCAAACUCCUCAUUUUUCUUGGCGGGGUGAUGGUGAAUUUUGUGGAGACUCAUUUUCACCAUCAUUUGGUUGCAAAAAGAUAUUUUAUUUUUAAAUUUUCAGCUAUGGGAUCUAGAACGAAUCUGUUCAGUUAGAAAGUCAAUUUAGGAAUACAGGAAGCAACAUCUUGGGAAUACUUAAUCCAGCCAAAGUCGUUUAUGCAGUGUCCUCAUAAUUUUCAUCAAUUGACGGUGAGGUAUGAAGUUUUCUUACAAGAAGAGUGUAAACACUCUUGGGGGAGUGGGAUCUAGGUUGUCUCUGCACACAUAAAUAGACAAAUUGAACCAACCUAGAUCCCAUGUACUUGUGGAUAUUAAUAUUGGUAAGAAACUUGUAUAUCUAAAUAAGGAAAAUGGUCGUAAUCGAUCACCGACUGAUAUAUAUUUUUGACUUGUUUGGUAUUUUUGAUUGAUAUUCUCGAUUGAUUUACAAUUACCCUUUGAAUGGUUCUUAUAUUAAACUUGUAUUUUCCAAUGAAACAGAGAGACAUCUUAUACAUGGAAGACACUCUCAAAACUUUAUCGUUGGCUAUGAGCCGCAUGCAUGAUAAAGAACAAGUAAAGGUUAUUCUAUAGGCAUGGAUAUGAAUUUCCUCAUUUCUCAUUUAACCAAUUUGCACUCUUUUUUUUGUUUGAGGAAAGAGGUCUCUUCUAUUUCAUUUCACGAUUUAUAGUUUGUUUGGAACCUUAAUUUCAGGAUUAAUUUUACUCUUCUUCAUUUAUUUCUUUGGCUCAAUUUUCUGUUUUUCGUAAAGGCCAGGCCACCUGAAUGAAGGCGCGUGCGAUGCGAAAUAGGCAAUGGCGGAAAUGUGUGGCCUCUAAACUGACUGGAUCAAAGGAAAGGCACUCGAGAACUCAUUAAAGGUUUUUUUUUUAAUUCGCGUUUUUUGUUCAAUUUUAAGCACAUUAACAGUAAAUUUUUAAGAACACAAGGCAUGAAGAAUAAUUGGCAGCAUAUGCUUUCUUUCAUUGUGAUGGCUAUGCAAACUCCCGAGUUUAUGGUUGAUCAGUUCUUCCAGCCGAAAGAGCACAGCUACACUAAACCCUAAUUGGUAAAAGAAUUUUUUUUUGUUUUACUAAUUUCUCUUUGCAUCUUAGGCGACAUCUUGAACUUAAUUCAAAAUGCCUAAACCUUUGGUUGGAGGAGUUUUUAUAUGGCAUACUUGUGCAUCUUUUAUGUUGCAAACUCUGUUCUAUAUCAUCAAAUAUGAUCAACAGAUAGUUGGAAGUUUUAGGCAACAACUACCAAGGUUAGUUGAGGACUCAUACAGGCCCGUUCAUGAGAAUUUGGAGGCUCUAGGGGAGGUUUAAAGAACAAUUGUAAACAGGGGCCCUCAUUUGAUAAACCAUUUUUUUUUAUUAGUGGGUGUUCGAAAGUGAAUGUAUUAAAAAAAUAUAAAUCAUAUUUUUUAAAAAUGAUGAAAUAAAAGAUUAUGGGGGUUCGGGGGCGGUGCCCCCGAAAUAUCUUUUGAAAUGUAUUAAUAUAAAGUACCUAAAAAUAUGGAAAAAAAUUCAAAAUUAACAAUAUGAUUUGUUUGUUCACUUCCUCCCAUGACGUAUAAUCUUUAUAGCAAAUAGACUUCGUAAAUAUUUAUAAACUUGAAUACACUAAUGAAUAUUGGUUCUUAUUUUAGAAUAAAAAUAAGUAAUUAAGAUUUUAUAAAAUUAAUAUAUAGGGGCUCCAAAGUUAAGAAAAUUGCAAAAAUAUCUACUAAUCAUUUAGCUUAAAUUUAUUUUAGAAUUGAUGUCACAAAAUAUUAUAUAUAAUAAUUUUUAAAAAAUAAGUACUAAUAUAUAGUGUAAAUAAAAUAUUUGGGGGCCCCAAAUUUUCGUAAAAAUUCGGGGGCCCUAGACGACCGCCUACUUCGCCUCCCCUCAGAACCGAUCCUGGACUCAUACAUAACUUUUAAUAAAAUUUUUGCGUGCUCUAUUGUUUCAUCAUGCAUAUAUACUGGUUUUUGUUUUAAUGAUUUUUGUCCCAAAAAACAGAAAAGGGGGUACAAAUAUUAUGUAAUAGAUGGAAGAAGAGUUAACUUAUACUAUCAUAGCUUCAACUUAACAAGUUUCAAUACAAUUGUGGUUUUUGGUUACUUUUCCAAUUAAUUGGAGGCUGUUCCAACCUUUUCAUCCUUCUUUGCUUGGUCGACGGAUUUUCUUCUCUUUUUUUCUUUUUCGAUCCACAAUUGUCCCUCUGUGUAUCCCUUCUAAUUGUUUUCUGCAGUAAUUUGUGUCUCAAAAUUUAGAUGCAGGGUCAGUAAAAUUGAAGGCGCCACGCCACCUCCAACUCACAGCUGGUAUCCCUCCCGGCUCGAAUUUUCAUCUUUCAACAAAAUCCGAAUUGUCCAAUAUUUAUUAGUUUACAGAUUAUGGCUCGCAUUAAUACAGUCACAACUUAACUGGGGUAUUUGUUUGGCAAUCUAUAUGUUAUUUUGGGGUUUAAAAAACGUAUAUAGAAAAUCUGAAUGUGAAUGCAGCAAUGUGAAACAAACAAGAAUUGUAAUAUAAAGUCUUAAUAUUCUAUUGCACAUAGUACGUUUUUACAACUUUAAUGAUUUUAUUUUCUUUCAAAAAUUAUUUUCUUGAAUAAUAUGCAUGUAAUAUCAUUAUAUGAAAUUAUUACACGAAUGUUAAGUGGCACAUGAAUUCAUCAUAUAAUGCACAAUGCAUAUAGCAUGACAGAAGCCACGCUCAUCAAAACCAAAACGUUGUUCAUGACCAACCAUGGCCGAGAUGAAAAUCGAAGUUUUCAACACAAGCAUACAUUUUUUUACGAGACAUAUUGAAACGAUGAAGUUGAAAAUUUGUUUAUCCACAACCUCGCAAAACAAUGCAGAAACGGUAAUUUUGUAUUUCAAAUGUCUAAUUUGUGUGCAAUAUUCCAAUCAGAAGGGACGUACUGGUUUCAAGUUUAGUUAUCAUAUGUGUUUGCAAACAUUGGACAAAAUUGAGACUCAUUUCAAAAUAUUUCAAUGGCUACUCUCAUUGCCUGGUACCGGUGUACACGACCGUCGAUGUUUGAUCUUUCUUGAUAAAGAUUGCCUUCAUCCCCAUUUAUUAUUAAGUACUAUUCUAUAUAUAUUACAAAUGAACACGAACACAAAACUAAUAUAUUUUAUUGGGUUUGCAGACUAAGAGCAACUCCAAUUGGUGGCACUAAAUGGAUUAUCAAACAUUCAAUUGAUGUUUGAAACAAUGCUUUAAUACUUCCCAAAAAUUCUUGUGUGCCAACUCAUAAGUAUCAAAUACAUUAUUAUAUGAAUAAAAUUGAAUUAAAAACAAAUUAAUACAUAUAUUAUUCCCUAUUAUAUAGGAAUUUGUUGAGACUUUAAUUUUUGCCCUGUUGAAAUUGUGCUUCCUAAGAGCAACUCCAAUGGGGAAUCAAAUGGAGUAUCAUAUGAUAAAACUUCCAUUUUGAUUCCUAAAACUUAAAAUUUCUUCUCCAACGGAAGCAUCAAAGAGGUAGUUUUUUUGAUACUUUAUAUCCUAGAGGUGCAAAAAUGCAUCCAAAAAAAACCAAGUAUCAAAUAUUCCUAGACAUUAGGAACUGCAAUUUCAACGUAAAAAAAUAAAUUUUCUAACGAAUUCCUAUGGAAUAGGGACCAAAUAAAUCUUUUGAUUUAUGUUUAAUACAUAUUUAAAAAUUAAAUAAUUUAUUUGAUUCCUACGAGUUGGAGCAUAUAAGUUUUUUCGAAGUACCAAAGUAUUAUUUCAAGCAUCAAUUAAGGGUUUAGAUGCCUCGUUUUAAUACCUACCACUGGAGUUGCUCUAAAAUUAGUAAUAUUUGAUUCUUUUCUUUUUGAGCUGUAUUUUUGCAACUCCGUGAGGUGAAGUAUCAAAAAAACUACUAAUUUGAUGCCUCCAUUAGAAUUAGAUUUUUGUGUUUUGAAGCAUUAAAAUGGUAGUUUUAUCAUUUGAUAAUCCAUUUAAUUCCUCUUUUUGAGUUGGUAUAGUGUAUUUAUUGUUUUGGCAUAUUGUCCGAUCGGCGAACCAAAGUGGGAAGAAUUGCAAAUGGAUGGGGCGGUGAAGCUGUACUAAAAGGUCAAUCUAUAAUAUUUUAUCUUUAUUUGUCAACACACUACUUUAGCAAUAGUAUUAUUUGUAAUGUACAUGGUAAUAUUUGAAGUUGGUUUCGAAAGGAAUGCUACAAUAGUAAAUUAGGACUUAAUGUUUGAACAUCGCAUGCUAUGUGUAAUGAAAAUAGUAAUAUUAUAAAGCUACAGUCGAUUUUGAAGGGAAUAUUUGUGAAAUAUUAGAGUUAUUUUUUGUCUUUUUUUACAGUAGGUUUUUCAAGAGGCUUCUAGAGUAGGAUUAUGUUUUAAUUUAUUCUUAAAUUUUCAAGGUCAUUAAUUAAAGUAAUUAAUUAGGAAGCUAGAGCAUUCUAUAUAGUAUUAUAGUUGUAUAUAUUGGUGUGUUAUCAAGCUUUUGUAAUUAUCGAGAAAUAGAAACUAUUUCCAGCAAAUUAUCUCUUCAAUUUUCAGCUUUCUUCUUUGGGGCUAUUCGACAAAACCCUCUCUAUAAAAUUUCCUACUAUGAUAGCCCCAAAUUGAAAUCCAAUAUAAGUCAUAAACCCAUAUGAUGCAGAUUGUCUAAAUUACUCCUAUUUAAUGAUAUUUGGAUUUCUUAAUUACUAAUAUAUUUUUAAUUUAUAUGUUAUUUACAUUUUCAGUUUUUUAUUUUAAUUUUUUUUUUCUUAUUAGUUUUUUUUUUCAUUUUUAUUUAAAAAAACAAUAUUUUUUCGUUCAAAUAAUUGGUUUUUUCACCAACCUGUUUUGAAAAUUGAAAUCCAGUACAAACUUUUCAAAAUCCACUAUUUAAUUUAAUAUAUUUUUUAAUUGUAAUUCAGAUUAUUUUUUCUAUUUUUUUUUAAUAAGUUAACCACCAACAAACGAAAUUGACAAAACACUCGUCCAAAUCCAAUAUAAAUUUAUCUAAAACCACUAUAAAGUUAACGUAAAAUUCACUAAUCAUAAUCCACUACAAACUUAUCGAAAACCACUAUGAAGUUAGCGUGAAAUCCACUAAAUGUAAUCCACUACAAACUUAUUAAUCCACUACGAAGUAAUCGACUCGAAAUCCACUAAAAAAUUACGUAAUCCACAACGAAGUAAUUAACGCGAAAUCCACUAAAAAAUUACGUAAUCCACUACGAAGUAAUUAACUUGAAAUCCAUUAAAAAAAUACAUAAUCCACUACAAAGUAAUUAACUCGAAAUCCACUAAAAAAUUACAUAAUCCACUACGAAGUGAUUAACUCGAGACCCACCACAAAAUUACGAAAUAAUUAACAUAAUGCACUAUUGAAACAACUACUAAAAUAUCGAAAUCCGCUAAAAUAUUAGGGAGACCAAGACUAUUAGCCGACAAAUGAAAAGAAAAGUCACGAACACAUUCACUCAUGUAUGAAAUCCCCUGCACUAACACUAACACAUCUUGAAAAAUAAUAGUUUUCUUCACUAGAGUCAAGCAACCAGAUUCAUACGACCACAAUUCCUCAACUAUGGUCUUGUUAUAAAAAGAUAGUCAUUUACAUGUUAUUAACUUUCUCAUUUUGAAACUGACCUCCGUGCAACGCACGAGUGAAGUACUAAUAUUUUCACAAAUAUUGUUUAAAAAAUUGAAAUAUUUAAACAAAAGUUAACUGAAAUAUUGUUUAAAAACAGGAAUAUUCGUAGUGAAAUAUAUUAUUUCAAAACAAAAUAAAAAUCUAAUUGCAAUAGGUGGAUAAGAGAACUUCGUUCCAAUUUUCACUUCUACUUAAUGAUGUAAAACUCGAUAUAUUGUUUCAAAAUAUUUUCAGGCAUGGUGUUUAAAAAUUUGAACUAUUGUCUAAAAAAUCGAAUUAUUGUUUCAAAAUUGGGAUAGUUGGAAUUCUAAUGAAAAAUAUUGUGGUAAAAUGAAAUAAAAAUCCAAUCAGAAUAAACCGAAUAAGAAUCGUCAUUCCAAUUAUUACCCUUACUUAAUGAUGUAAAACUUUUGCAUAACAAGAUAAUAGUAAAACUAUAUUUUAUUCCCUACACAUUACCAUUAAAACAUUUUCCAUCCUCAAAGUUUUUCAUCUACAAAAUAUGUCCUCGAACUUGCCACCUUUUAUUAAUGGCUGCAUCUAUUUGCAAUCUCAAAAUUUCUAAGAGUUACUUGAUGUAAGACCAAAAUAUAAAUAAAUUUACUAAGAACAAGACUAAAAAUUACAAAUAUAACUCCAAUAUUUAUUUUGAUAUUAUUCAUUCAAAUUAGACCUGAUUACUAUUGCAAGACCAGAAAAAGAGAAAAAAAAAUUGAAAAACGAGAGGGAAUGCUCUAGUUGAGAAGAAAAGAAUUGCCGCCGCCCAUCCACCGCCGAAGAAUUGCGGCCGCCCAACCGCGGGUGCUGGAAAAGGAAGAGAAGAAGAAGAUGGAGGAAGGAGGAAGGAGGAGGAGAAGAAGAAGAAGAGCAUGAAGAAGAAGAAGACGAGGAAGAGGAAGAAGAAGAACAAGAAGAAGAAUAUGAAGAAGAAGAAGAUGAAGAUUAAGAAGAAAAUGAAGAAAAAGAAGAAAAUUCGACCUGUACAUGUUGAUUUUUUGGUGAAAAUUUGAUAUUUUAGAUGUUGAUUUUUUGGCAAAAAAUCUAGAUGUUGAUUUUUUGGCGAAAAAUCAACAUGUAGAUGUCGAUUUUUGUCAAUAAAAUUGACACAUCUAGAGUUGAUGUCGAGUUUUUGCUAAAAAAAACAACAUUUAAAUGUCGAAUUUUGUGACAAAAAUCGACAUGUAUAUGUCGAAUUUUGACUGCGCGAAUUGUUUCUUUGAAAACUUAAAAAUCGAUCACCUAACUAUAAAAAUAUAUUCAAUCAUAGUUUGUUUUCUAUUUUUUCUAUAGAAUUCUCAAUAUUGAUGUCUCGUGACUCCAUAAUGCUAUCAAUUGCAUGUUUUAGUAAGAUUUGAUGGUUUUGGAUGUUGAUGAUUUUUGGGGAAGAUGAAGAAUUUUCUUUUUAAGAAUUUGUGUGAAAUGGGUUUCUGAGGAAGAUGAAAUGAGUUUUGAUUGUGUGGUGUUGCACAAAAAAAAUUGUGGAAUUUUGUAAUUGUGGAAGGGUAUAAUAGUCUUUUAGUAAUUCAAUUGGUAAAAAAAUAAAUUUGGUCUUCCCCUAAGUAUUUUUUGCGAUUGCAUAUAGGCGCCGCCUUUAACAAUUUAUGUUCGGCCGUCGACUUCGUGGGUCAACUUGGAUGGAAAUAUCACGUGUGGCGCACGUGAUGUCGAUCUGAUUGUUAAAAGUCGAUAUGGCUUACACCCUAGUUGACUUGGCUGAAAAACAUAGUAUGAAGUGACAUAUGGCAGUCAAAUACCGACCUGAAACACGUUUCAGAUGAGUUGAUCUAAACUUAAUUCACAAAUUUUUAACUCAAAUCCCUACCUUCCAAUUCUCACUUCUCAAUUCACUCUUCAUCCCGUAAACCCUAGCUAUCAAAUUCCAAAAUAUUUUUCCAUCGCAUAAACUCACUCCCAAGUUUCCUAUUAAACCUCCAUUCCUCUUCGGAAUCAUACGAAUUUCGAAGGCAUAAACCCAUAAAAAUUCAAAACUAAGUCUCACAUUGCAACAGUUAUUCGAUCGAAGGUGCCGGGCAUGGAGUCUUGCUUCGGGCGCUUUCAGGAGAAUAAAAUGUCCAUAAUUUGAUCUACUACUCAUAUUGCACACUACAACAUACAAUUUGAUAUGAAAUCAAAAACACCUCCUCCCAAAUUACCAAAACUGAAGUUCAAUAAUAUCAACUUUGAAGAAACUUAAUAUAUUGUUUCAAAAAUUGAUUUUUUUUUGAAAAUCGGUAUAUUUGGAAUUCAAAUGAAAAAUGUUGUUUUAAAAUAAAAAUAAAAAUCCGAUCGGAAAGCCGAAUAAGAAUAUUUGUUCCAAUUUUACCCCUACUUAAUUAUGAAACUUUUGCAUAACAAGAUAAUCAACACACUAACUGCAUUGAGUAGGGGUGAAAGUAAAGGGUUUUUUUUAUCCUCCUGUUGCGAUUGACUUUUAUUUUAAUUUAUUUUAAAACAAUAUUUUUCAUUCGAAUUCCAAUAGUUAAACAAUAUUUCGAUUUAAAUUUCUCAAAGUAUUUUGACAAAACAUAUCGAUUUUUUUUUUAAACUUACGUGAUUGUGAUUUUCAAUGAAAUUUUAAUUAUAAAAAAUAAUUGUGAUAAUUUUAUUUUAACAAAACGCAGUGCGUGUUGUGAAAAAUCCAUUUUAUUGUAUCGUUGGAAAUAGAAGGCAUGUGAGGGCACGUGCCAUUUUCCAUCCAACUUAACUGAACAUAUAAACGGCGGAGCAAUUCUGUUAAAAAAUGGCAUGAUUGAGUACUACUAUUGUAACUCCAAAAUCUUUAGGGACAAUUUUGAAAAAGUGAAUAAAGUUUGAGGAUGGAAAUUGUAUUUUUCCCUCUUGUAAUUCAUGCUUUUUAGUGUACUAGCGUCUGGGGAUUUACUUUAAAUUUAAGAAAAUAAGUUUUGAAACAAACUAAGAAACCUGUUAUUGAUUAUAUUUUACUGGGGGUUAAUUACAGUUUGCGUGCAUGUACUUUAACACUAAAACGAUUUUGGUCUCCAAAAUCUCACGCCCACGAAAUUAGUCCCUAAACUCACCACUUUUGCACGAUUUUGGUUUGACUGUCAAGGUUUACGGUUAAGUUAGACGGAUUUGUCACGUGUGGCGCACGUGACGUCCAUUUGACUAUUAGUUGUCCAACUGGACAACACCCAGUCCACCUCAUGGUUCCCUCCUCUCUAUCUAACCCAAUUUCCCAAUCCCUACCAAAAUUAGAUCCACAAUUUUUCCAUCACUCUCUGAAGCUCCCAAUUUCACAGUCCCGUAAGCACUGGGCAAACAAAAUACCAAAUUUAUGUAUUGCUCUCUCAGUUCGUAAACCCAUAUCAAAAUUAUCAAAAUCGAAAAUUUUCGUAUUGCUCUCUCAACGGGGGUUUAUGCUACAUUAAACACAUUGAGGUGAAAUCAACACUGCAUCUAGAAAAAUUACCAAAAGUGAAAAUUGUUCAAAGAUAAAAAUGUUGAGUAAACAUACCAAAAUCAAAAAUUGUUUUGCGAUUGUGACGGUUUAACUCCACAAACAUUAAAAAACUUGCGAAGACGAUUAUGCUAUAUCCGAAUUUCACCUUAAUUGAAAGAUUCGAAAUGGGAAUUUAGAGGUUGGGUUUACACGUUCAUUGGGGAUAUGGAGAAUUAGGGAUUUCAAAAUACAAAUAGGGGAGGAGAUUGACGUGUCGCUCCACAUCACAUUUCAUCGGUAAGUAGACAUUGGGGUUGUCCAGCUGGACAACUUAUAGCCAAAUGGACGUCACGUGAGCCGUACGUGACAAAUUCGUUUAAAUGAACCAUAAAACUUGACGGUUGAACCAAAAUCGUGCAAAAGUGGCGAGUUUAGGGACUAAUUUUGUGGUCGUGACAUUUUGGGGGCGAAAAUUGUUUUAGUGAUAAAAUAUAGGUACGAAAACUGUAACUAUCCCAUUUUAGUGAUUAUCAUCUAUUCUCUGUUAGAAUAUAAUGAAGAACAAAUGUGAAACCAUGAACAGUGUGUUGAAUAAUGAAGAAGUAUAUAACAUUUUUUUGAAAAGCUCUAUGAUAUACAAUAAAGAGGGAGAUCUGCCGUUGCUUAAUACCAAUUAAAGAAUAACUAAUCAAAAAGUUAAACGUAAUAGUUUGACAAGCAAGAAUUUAGACGAUUACUUAACACUUAGAUUUGAAUAAUAAAUAACUUUAUUUUGGUAAAUAUUAUGGAUACUUACAUUUUUUGUCCCCAUACUUAACCUAGCACCUAAAACGAUUUUACUUCUCGAACAAAUUUGACCACAAUAUCAGUCAUUAAUUAAACAUGUAACUUUUUUAUACUCUUUGUCUAUGCCGUCAACUUUCUUGGUUAUAAUUUGUGGAAUUGUCACGUAAGGGACGCCUGAUAUAUAUAAGGAAUAUAUAAUAACCAUUUUGGUCCUUAUAUUAUACUCCUCUUCGAUUUUAAUCUAAAAUUGAGAUCGCGGUUUUAGUCCUUAAUCUUGCCAAAAAAAAUUACAGUUUUCUUUUGCGGUCUUACGUUUUGUGUUAAAUUCAACAAAAUAAGUUUUGUGUUUUGGACGUGUCACCAAACCCCAUACAUUUCUUACCUCUAGCAUCUGUUUUUACCGACAUUCAAUUAAUCCAUAAUUUUGUCGGAAGUUCCCGUCAAUCCUAAAUCGUCUGUCCAAAUUCCUAAUUUCACACAAGGGGAACUAAGUUAUAACAGUUUGCACUGGAAAAAAAAUGUUCGAUCAAGUUGCCCAAAAAGGAUGUAGCAUCUUUUGUAGCAGCAUUAAUAAGCCUUAACGAGUGAUUCAUGUGUUCACGUGGGUCGAAGAUUUGAAAUUAGAAAUUUGCGAAAAAUAAUUUAGGGAUUUAAGGAAAAGUUUUGAAAAAAAUUAUAGAUUAAAUGAUUUUUUGGCAAAGUUAAAAAUGUAGAUAAGAAAUGGGGUUGAAUUGGGUGACACAUUACAAAAUAAGUAAGUUUUUAUGUCCAAUUUAACCAUUGUCGGUGCUAAGAAAGUACAGCAACAUGUGUUCAUAUAGACUAUAAUCGAGCUAAUGUUGAGCAAUUUGCAUGCAAUAUAUAGAUAAGAAAAAUUAGAAAUUAGUAAAUAUAUAUGACAUGUUCAAUAGCAAAAAAUGGAACACCGAAAAUGUAAAAAAUCCACCAAUUGCAAUCAUAAUCUAUAUAUGUAUUUUAAAAAUAAAAUUUAAUACACAUACGUGUGCUGUAAAAAAAUGAGAAAAGUUAGUGGUGGAAAGGAAAUUAAAAAAUAAAAAAAAAAAAAAAAAAAAAAAAGAGAAAAUAAUUAAAAAGAAAAAACAAACGUGAAAAAAAAUUCAAAGUUGAUCGUGUUUAGUGGGGAAGGGAAAAAAUAAGAAAAAAGAAAAAAAAAUAAUUAAAAAAAAACGUGUCCUAUAAAAAGAAAUUUAGUGCUCGAAGAGAACAAAAAAAUAAUUAAAAAUAAAAAAUGUAAAAAAAAAAUUGGCCGUGUUUAGUGGGGAGGAAAAAAAAAGAAAAAGAAAACAAUUAAAAAAAACCGAAACGGGUUCUAUACAAAAGGAGGAAAACACAAAUAAUUUUGAAUGUGCUAUAGAAAAGGAAAACGAAACAAAUAUUUCACAAAAAUAUCUAAAUAAAAAAACAGCUUUUAAGAUCUUGGGGCAACCUUUCCUUUAUAUAUAAAUAUUUCAUUUUAUGCUUUUCUUUGGGACUUUCUUUUUACGGUUGGAAAAUUGCUAUUUACGGUUCAUAACAAAAAAAACCCCUCUCUCUCUAGAAAAAGAACCUCUCAAAAGCUUUAGAAGGGAAUUUGCUUAAAAAUCAUUCUUAUUGGUGUGAUAUACGAACACAAAUGAGCUCAUCGGAUGAAGAUCGGGAUACCCGACAUAACAAGGUAAAAAUUUCGUCUUUUCGAUCGAAAAAACUGAGCAAAACGCGUAAAAGCCCAACUUGGGCGCCCAUUCAUGCGCCCAAGUUGGGCGUGCAGUUGGCUGCUCCACGCCCAUUUUGGGCGCCCAGCAGCCAACUGCACGCCCAACUUGGGCGUGCACUACAUGAAUGGACGCCCAACUCGGCGUCCAGUUCAAUUUUUUUUUUUUGAUAAAUUUUCUUACGUUUUUUUCAUGACAAUACGUCUAUAAUUGGAGUUGAUCAUACCGAUUAUUUUACAACAACUCAAUUGUUUGACUCGAGGGACGAGAUAGUGGCUUGGACGAGGUCCGUUGCAAGAGGUCUUUUUGUGAAGUUAGUUAAAAAAAGUGGCCCCAAAACAAAAAAAGUGUGUCUGACUUGUGAUCUGUUUGGGGAGAAACGAGAAACACCAUCAACUAACCUAGAGGCGCCCUCGAGAAGGAUUGGUAGCAAAAAACUAAACUGUGGUUUUCAAAUUGUCGGGGAGUGGCGGUUGGACGAUAGAUGGGGGCUCAGAAUAAUAUAUGGGAAACAUAGUCAUUUUCCGAUAUACAUGUCUGGGCAUGGGAUGAGUGCAUUGAAUUCGAAGCGGAGGUGAAGAUUAUUAGGGAUUUGUCACAAAUUCAUGUGCCGCCCAAGAAGAUUUUGGCUAACUUGAGAGAAAAUGGCUUGGGUCUCGAUGCUUAUUCGAAACACAUAUACAAUAAAAAGGCGAAAUUGAGAGACAAGCUAGGGGUGACCGUACAAUGAUGCAACAUUUGAUUGGGUUGCUUGAGGAGCAUAACUAUUACAAGUGGUUCCGUACUGAUGAAAAAAUACAUGAAGUUAUUGAUUUGAUGUGGACUCACCCUCUAUCUGUCGAAUUGUUAAGUAAGUUUACGUACGUUAUACUACUUGAUAGUACUUACAAAACCAAUCAGUACAAAUUGCCUUUGUUGGAGAUUGUUGGUGUUACUCCUGUCGGAAAAAAAAUUACUGUUGGAGUGGCAUUUUUGCGCCAUGAAAAUGAAGACCAUUAUACAUGGGUGUUGCAAAGGCUGAAGAGACUUUUCCCCCCACAUACUCUACCUAGUGCAAUCGUGACUGAUCGAGAGUUAGGGCUCUUAAAGGCGAUAGAGAAUGUAUUUCCGACCGUGGCUCAUCUCUUAUGUCUUUGGCACAUUAACAUGAAUGUGGGGCGUCGUGCUACAAGAUGUUUCAGUAAUAGUAGGCGUCGAGGGGUUUCUUUUGUACUUGGUCUGUGGCAAACUUUGGUAACAUCAGUGUGUGAAGAAGAUUUCGGCCAGAAUUACAGAGCUUUGGUGGACGAGUACGCGGAUCAUCCACAGUUGAUUGAGUACCUCCAAUACACUUGGCUGAUAUACAAAGAGAAAUUUGUAAAAGCAUGGACGGAUCUAGUUUUUCAUAUGGGCAAUACAUCGACAAGCAGGUAUUUAUUUAUAAGUGGUUAAAUACAUAUACUUAACUUACUGUCAUGUUGUUUACUGAAACGUAACCUACUUUAAUCAUAUUAGGGUGGAGAGCAACCAUAGAGCAUUGAAGAGGUGGUUGGAUGCGUCCACAGGUGGCUUUGACACAUUUUGAGCACAAUAUCACACACAGAUCGAAGAUCAACUUAACGAGAUUCUGGCCGAAUUUGCGAAGUCAAAGAGGAUUCGGGCCCAGACGAUUAAUGUGUCCGUAUUUAAAAUAUUGUCCAUUGGAACAGUAACACAUUCCGCACAUAAAAUGUUGGAUGAUGAGAAGGAUGAAGAUAUAGACAGUUGCGUCUUUUAUAUGAGGAAAUGUCUUGGCCUUCCAUGCAAACAUGAAAUUGACGCAAAGGUGAAUGCCUGACUUGGUUUGUUUUACGCGGAGGAUGUCCACAUUGUUUGGAGGACAUGGGUUUCGGGCUUCGGUGCUGGCCAAGAAGAAAGUGUUGGUUAUGUUCCCGAUCACAGGUCACAGGCUAUUGGCAAGCUAGACGGGUUAGUUGAUGAGUUGCGUCAACGGUCAGAAAUUGAGAUCACGGACGUGGCAUAUGUCAUUUUUGAACGAACGCAUCCUGGGGCAACGAAAAUAAAUGAGUCACCAGUACUAGAUCGCCCGAGAGGUAGACCGCGGAACAACUCCACAUAGAGGGAUCAGUCAGCGCAUGAGUAUGAAUUAUACCCGGGUCGAAGGUGAAUCUAGACGAGGACGAGGACGAGGACGAUCAAGAGGCAACAAAGGUCGUGGUUCAUCUUCUGAGAGAUCUAGCUGUAGCCGUGGUCGUUCAUCGACUGUGAGUGGACCGGAAAUGGGACGAAUGCCCCGACCUGGUUGGUUGCGAGAGCUUCAUUUUUUCCUCGUUCCAGAGGUUGUGACGUGGACGGACGUUCAAGGGGAUGGUAAUUGUGGUUAUCGGAGCGUGUCGUGUGCAGUCAAGAACCAUGAGGAUGAUUGAAUGGAGGUUAGAUUGGAUGUGUAUAACUGUAUUAGAAGACACGAGCUGUUCUUCCAUGAUUAUUUCGGUGGUGGUAAUUCAGUGUAUCGGGUGUUGGCGAGUGUCGCAUAUUGGGACAACGCCCCAGCAUCUCUUCAAAAGUGGAUGACGAUCACAUACGUGGGCGUGGUUGUAGCAACAUAUUACAACGCGUUGGUCUUGUCGGAUAGCAGUUCGGGAAAUCAGACUUAUUUGCCACUUUGGGCUCCCGAAGGUGUUUCAGAGUUAUCUUACUAGAUGACUAUACUAUUCCUUGAAGCAGGAAGCCACUUUGUGUAUCUGAAGUUGAAUGACAACUGUCCGCUUCCUCCGUUUAACUUGCAGCGGGCGAUAUACAACAAUGAUAGUGUUGCAUAUUUGCCAGAGGCGUUGCGGGAUUGACGUGAAGCGUAGGAUAUUCUAACUAGUGUUUGAUUUAGUUGUGUUUUUUUUUAUUGGAAUGUAUUAUGCAUAUUCAUUAUUAUUAUUAUUAUUAUUAUUAUUAUUAUUAUUAUUAUUAUUAUUAUUAUUAUUAUUAUUAUUAUUAUUAUUAUUAUUAUUAUUAUUAUUAUUAUUAUUAUUAUUAUUAUUAUUAUUAUUAUUAUUAUUAUUAUUAUUAUUAUUAUUAUUGUUGUUAUUAUUAUUAUUGUUGUUAUUAUUGUUAUUAUUAUUAUUAUCAUUGUUAUUAUUAUUGUUGUUGUUAUUAUUAUUAUUAUUAUUAUUAUUAUUAUUAGGGUAAAUUACAAACACCCCCCUGAGGUAUGGUCAAAUUACAAAAACCCCCCUCUUGUUUGGAUAUUUACAUCUGCCCCCCUCAACUAUGAUUUUUUCUUACAUCUCCACCCUUAUGGUGCCAAAUUCAACAUAAUCAUCUAGAUUCCGUGAAAUGUGCUCUAGUUUGUACUCGUUUUGUGUAAAAAUACAGUUUCCGAUGCACCACAAACUGAUAUAUACAAGCUAAAAAUCACAUAUUAUGAUCAUCUUGCUUCAUAAUGUAGAGUUUGAAUAGGAUAAAACAGGUACAAAAGUGAUAAUAUUCCAUAUAAUCUCGAAGAUUCCACUAAAUUUGAGGAGCUGAGGGGGUGGUUGUAAUUAUUCAAACAAGAGGGGUGUUUUUGUAAUUUGACCAUACCUCAGGGGGGUAUUUGUAAUUUACCCAUAUUAUUAUUAUUAUUAUUAUUAUUAUUAUUAUUAUUAUUAUUAUUAUUAUUAUUAUUAUUAUUAUUAUUAUUAUUAUUAUUAUUAUAAAAAAAAAAAACAUGAACAAAAUCAAAUAAAAAAACAAAACAUCAACAAGUCCAAAUCAAAACAAAAAACAUCAACAAGUCCAAAUCAAAACAAAAAACAUCAACAAGUCCAAAUCAAAACAAAAAAUAUCAACAACUCCAAAUAAAAACAAAAAACAUCAACAAAUCCAAAUAAAAACACAAAACAUCAACAAGUCCAAAUCAAAACGAAAAACAUCAACAAGUCCAAAUCAAAACAAAAAACAUCAACAAGUCCAAAUCAAAACAAAAAAUAUCAACAACUCCAAAUAAAAACAAAAAACAUCAACAAGUCCAAAUAAAAACACAAAACAUCAACAAGUCCAAAUCAAAACAAAAAACAUCAACAAGUCCAAAUCAAAACAAAAAACAUCAACAAGUCCAACAAAAAAAAAAAAAAAAAAAAAACAUCAACAAGUCCAAAUCAAAACAAAAAACAUCAACAAGUCCAACAAAAAAAAAAAACAUCAACAAGUCCAAAUAAAAACAAAAAAUAUCAACAAGUCCAAAUUACCCGAAAACAUCAACACCAAACAAGUCCGAAUAAUAAAAACAAAAAACAUCAACAAGUCAAAAUUACCCGAAAACAUCAACACCAAACAAGUCCGAAUAAUAAUAAAAAAAAAAAAAAAAAAAAAAAAAAAAAAAACACCUACGUAUCUCUCGUCCGACGUCAGCGCAGAGAAUGUCGCUCCUGUGAGUAUAGUGUCCUGCUCGUCAGAAGCAUCAGGACGGUCCAACUGUAGAUACUCAACGAAUGGGGCGCACAUGUCCUAUAUCGUCCUAAAGAAGUCAUCGGGCAUCUGUCGAUAUCCUGGAAUAGUUGACAGAGGCAAGUUAUCGUAGAAGUAGGGAUGCAACACUCGAGUGAUGUCGUAUACAAACGGAACUGCAGAUGGCUCCACUCUCUCAACCGGCUCGGUACUAGGAUGUAUACGGACGUGGGUGUGGUCGAGAUACCACGACAAAUACUCCGAUGACGACUCCCAAGCCGGACGCGCCCAACGACCAUAAUAAUCUCGACUAAGCAUGCAUGUGUGUGUGGGGGAUACUCCACAUCUGAUCGCCAUGCUCGUAUAAUUUUGUACGAUGCUAAUUUUCUCUCCCUCUUAGCGCGGACGAAUAGGGUCUGCCGGUUAAAUCUGCCGAAACCCGAACUGACGCAAAACUCUAUCGGGCAUGUAAGGCUCGACCGUAUCCAUCCAUCGAAUAGUCUCGUGAUGAACCGUCUUUUCAACAUCACGUGCCACAUUCAAACCAAAAGGCGUCCAAUUCACCUGUUGUAUGUAUUAAUAAUAGACAUGUAUUAAUAAACAUAGUAAAUAUAGAAAUCUUAUUUUAUUUAAACUUGAUACUUACAUCUGACAGACGCAUUAAUUCAAGACGUCGACGAUAAUCAACAAGUAUAUCCUUGUCCUUAGGGAUAUGAUGUAUCACCUGCCACCCCUUAGACCAGGGCUCUCCAUCCAUAUGUGCGUUAACCAUCGGAGGCCGGAAACACGGAAAAUUCUCAUAUAUCCAACACUACAAAAAUAAUGAUACGGCGUAUUAAACAUAACAGUUUGGUCACAUUAAUAAAAAAAAUUGAGGGGUUACUAAAAAUAAAAAAAUACCUCUAACAGUGUCAGACAACCACCCAUCUGCGCCGCCUCAGCUCGCGUAGCCAUGCCCAAUUGUCGGUACAAAUUGGCCAAUGUAGCCGAACCCCAGGAAUACUCGGGGAUCAGAUCGAUGUGCUAUAAAAGUGGGAAAAAAUAUGUUUUCACCUUCGAUCCACUCUUAUCGACGAACAACAGCUUUCCGAGCAACUAAGCAAUAUAUGCUCGUACCCGAAACUCGGAAGGAAAUGUAGAAUUGUCGCCAUACAUCAUAUCCAAAUCAUCUAACUAGGACCCGCCACCGUACCACUUCUCCAUAAGUGGGGGCUGGACACCGAACGCUCUCGCACCUGCAUAAAUCGCCUCUGCAUUAUCCAUCCAAAUGUUAGGGCGAUGUCCACUAACUCGCAAAUGCAUGAUGUAAUGCACAUCGUGGAGAGUAAUUGUCAUCUCUCCGAACGGCAUAUGAAAAAUUGUUGGUGUCUGGCUGCCACCUCUCAAUAAAAGCCUCUAUCAAUGGGUUAUUGUGCUGAGGGAGCGAACAAUAACGCAAGUGAUACAAGCCCGUACUCUCCAAUAGUGAAACACAAUGAUCGUCGUCGGGGCCCUGCCAAGUAGACUUCGCGUGUGACCGCAACUUCAGCAUAUGUCGGCUCUGUUGAAGAUAUAUUCAUAUUAAGAAUAGCACAAUCAAGUAUAAACAUUUUAAACAAAAUUUAUUAAAAUUAAUAAGUAUUACCUUUCCCUCCAGAUGUCGUAGGCAAUAUGUGCUCCAAAACUCGGAAUCAAGUGAGGGUAUUUUGGUCCACCGGGUGUCUCACCAGUCAACUUCCACGGUCGGGAAGGAAGCUUUUGAGCGGGGCGGGAAAAGAAAAAGCCCUACAAAUCGAUUUGUGGGGCUUUUUAACAUGAAAUUGGUUCCGUAAUCAACCUACACAAUGCAUAUUAUACAUAAAAGAGUCGGAAUUACCUCAAAAAAUCAAAGCCCAACCCUUCUUCAAGCUUGAUUUCGAAUUUUCGAUUUUUUUUUUUUUUUGGCUAUUUGUAGUUUUGAGGUUUUUGGGUUUUUCGUGGGACGUUUUGGGGUUUUAGAGAGAUAAAGUGUUAUUUUGUUAUGAACCAUAAAUAGCAAUUUUCAAACCGUAAAAAAUAUUUCACUUUUCUUUGUAUUGUAUGUGUUUAUUAGGUAGAUUGAGAAUCCAAGGAAACAUCGAGCCCCAAAAUGAAAUCAAGGCAACGAGGCGAAGAAGGUCGAGAGAAGUGCAUAUUUACCACUUUCAAAUAUUUAUAUUUGAACUAAAUAAAUUGUUGAAUUAUUUGUAUCGACUACUUUUAAAGAUAUUUUUUGUGGUAACUUUUAAACUAAAUCCACAUUCUUCAUUUAAAAUAUAUAUUUUUUUAUAUUUAAAUAUUUUAAAUUUACAUAUUUAUUAAAAGGGUUUAACCAAAAUGAAACACAUCAAAAAAUUGAUAAAAUAACUAACUAGACACGUGCGUGGCACGUGCAUCUCAAAUAAAAAGGGCAACCUCGAGAAUAUUUAUGUUUCCCUUAUCGCAUUCUCAAUAAAAAUUAGAGUUUUUUGCAAUUACUACCCCUGUGAAAAUUGCAACUGCAUGUUUCUCCCUUGUCAUAAAAAAUUAGCAAAUACCCCUUGUAUUUAGUUUUAGAUAUCAUACUUGACCCAUUUUCCUUUUUCCUGUUGACUGGUUGUGAAAAGACAGAAAUACCCUGGGAAGAUUCCUUCAAAAAAAUCUGGCGACCAAAUUGAAUUACUGAAAAAUUGUAGAAACUUAAUCAAAUAAUAAGUUAGGGACUGAAUUGUAAUUUUCAGGAAAUACAUAAUAUUUAUAAAAUCGUGGGGCUGAAAACACUAUUUUGGAGCCAAAUUAAAAUUUAAAACUAUUUAGGAACUGAAAAAUAAUUAGAAAUGUAAAUUACUAUUAUAAUUAUUAAAACAUAAACAAAGAAAAUUCUUAUACAAAUAAACAUAAUCAAAUUGAAUUUAAAUAUAAAUAAUCCAAAACUUUGGAUCAAAUUGUAAUUUUUAAAAUUUCUUUAACAAAGGAAAAUAACACGUUUUUUAAUGAAAAAAAAAUGAGAAAAAAACAUCGUCUUCCCCAAAUUUCUUAAUCUCCAUUGAAAUUGCCACCACUACCACCAAAUUCCCACCACCACCGGCAAUCACCUCGCUAUGCCGCCGCCUCCCAACCAGCAGAGAGAAGAACAUGUCUUCCCCUAAUUUGUUCUUAUUCCCCAUUGAAAUCGUCACCACCACCACCUCCGGCAGUCACCUCUUCACGCCGCCACCUCCGCCGAUACCACCUCUUUCCCCUGCCGUGGACGAUGGUGAGGAAUGGUGGUGGACUGGUGGUUUUGUUCGAGAAUAUUUAUUUUCUUUUUUAAUUUACUAGUAUCUUACCCGUGCGAAGCACGAGAAUCAAUUCUCAUAUCAAAGUGCAUUAAUGUAAAAACCAACAAAUUAAAAAACAUCGACAAACAAAAAAAAGUGUUUUCAUUUUAUCAGCAAAAAGUCUACAUAAAUAAAAAAGUGUUAAUGUUAUAAAUAUCAUCCGCUUUGAAAUCCCACAACCAACUUCAAGAACUUCAAGAGGAGCAAACGAAUCAGUGAACCACUAUUUCACAUUAAUCUAAAUGUUGGUAAAUUAUGACAUGAAACUACAAUCAAAUCUAUCAUUACAGGACAAAUAACAUGUUAUUAUUCAUCAAUUUCAAAAUAUAAGUUCAACACAUUACUUACACAAAAAUAUAAAUAUAUAAAUAACAAAUGAAGAUGUAUGCAUAGACUAAUCUUGCACAAAAAACAACAUACUCGAUUAUUCAUGGAAAAUUAUACUCAUUGCAAAUAAACAUGAACAUACAAAAACUGCACAUGUUUAAGUAACAAAAGAUUUGUGAAAAUUCAAUAUUGAUCUCAUUGUCCUGUCACGUGUUUUAAAACAAAACUCAUGUAUCAUCGGCUUAUCUUUAGAGAAUAUUGCAUGUAACAUUAGUAAAUAUCGACAUAUUAUAACUUGAAAAAUAUUUUUAUACCACAUCUACUCAUAACUCUCGACAUUGCAACGUAUAUUUGCCCAUGUGACCUCUAAUAUUAACAGUAAUACUAAACUAAAACCUAAUACUUAUUCUAAAACAAAUACUAAUACUAAUACUGAUAUUGAUACUAAUAUUAAUACUAAUAUUAAUAUUAAUACUAAUACUUAUACUAAUACUAAUACAAAUACUAAUACUAAUACUAAUACGCAUACUCAUACUCAUACUCAUACUUAUACUCAUAUUGAUGCUGAUACAGUGAUACUGAUAUUGAUAUUAAUACUGAUACUAAUACAAUAAUACUGAUACUAAUACUAAUAUUAAUAUUAAUACUGAUACUAAUACUUAUACUAAUAUUAAUACUGAUAUUAAUACUAAUACUAAUACUAAUACUAAUACUAAUACUAAUACUUGAUACUAAUACUCAUACUAAUACUAAUACUAAUAGUAAUACUAAAUUUGUAUAAUGCGUGCAAGUUAAACUCUUACUCAUAUUAAUAAUCAUACUCUUAUACUCACGUUCAUCGUCAUACUCAUACUCGUACUAAUACUCAUAUUCACACUCAUACUCAUAUUCAUAUUAAUACUGAUAUUAUAAUUCAUACUAAUAUUUAUACGCAUACUCAUAUUGAUACUAAUAUGAUACUAAUACUUAUACUCAUAGUCAUAACGAUAUUGAUACUCAUAUUGAUAUUGAUACUAAUAUCUAUGUUAAUACUUAUACUCAUACGCAUACUAAUAUUGAUACUCAUAUUGAUAUUGGUACUCAUAUUUAUACCCAUAUUGAUACUCAUACUUAUACAGAUACAUAUUAUACUAAUACUGAUACUCAUACUCAUACUGAUAUUGAUACUUGAUAUUGAUACUGAUAUUAAUAUUGAUUAAACUGAUAUUGAUGCUUAUAUUGUUACUCAUACCUAUACUGAUACUAAUAUUGAUAUUGACUAAUACCGAUAUUAAUAUUAAUAUAUAUACUCAUACUUAUACUAAUACUCAUACUCGUGCUCAUGCUCAUGGUCAUGCUCAUAUUUAUACUCGUACGCAUACUCAUACUCAUAUUCAUAUACAUACUCCAACUCAUACUCAUAAUCAUACUUACACUCAUUCACGUACCUAUACCCAUACUCAUACCUAUAGUAAUACUCAUACUCAUUACUACGUAUACUAAUAUUGAUACUAAUAUGGAUAUUUAUAUUAAUAAUAAUACUUAUACUCGUAUCGAUACUCACACAGAUACUCAUUUUCAUACUCAUAUUGAUAUUGAUAAUGAUAAUAAUAAUAAUAAUAAAGAUACGAAUAUUGAUACUACUAUUGAUACUCAACUAAUGACAUUGCUAAUAAUGAUGUUAAUGCUACUAAUAAUACUCAUAUUAAUUAUAAUACUCAUAUCCAUACUCACACUCAUACUCAUAAUCAUACUCAUACUCAUAUCGGUGUUAUAUUGUAACACCAUUAAUGUGAUUUAUUCAAAUUAAAAAUACAAUUUUUUUUUAAUUUAUAUAAUAUUUAUGCAAAAAAGUAUUUAUGUACUAACUAAUAGGUUGGUAAAAUAAUUUUCUUAAAUCAUAAAUUGAUAUGCAAAUUAAUUUUAUCAAAAACAAAUAUUAAAACAAUGCAGGAAUUAUUAACAAAAUUAAACGUCAUAGUAAAACUACGAAUAAAUAAAAAUAGGUAAAAUAAUAAAAUAAUAGAAAUGAUUCAUAUAAAUAAUUUAUUCAUGUAAAAAAUUAGUAAAAAUAUUAUCAAAAUCGUUUGACAAUAUAAUCCUAUUACGGUUAAAAUUUAUAAUAGAUUAAAAAAAAUUAAAAUAAUAAUGCCUUUUAUUAAUAAUUUUACUUACGAAAUACUAAAUGGAAUAAUAUAAAUAAUGUUCUUAUAUAUUACUUAAUAUUAAACAGUUACCAGAAAUUUUAAAAAAAUAAAAAAUGCAUAUUUGGUGGAAGUAUAAUAUUUAUAAUAAAAAGAAUGUGUAAUAUAAUAGGCAUUAAAUAUAUGGAACUGAUAAUUAAAAAUUGGAUUUUAUGGAUGGAAUCUUGUAAUAUUCAAAUGCAUUAAUUAAAAAUAAUGGAUCAAUUAUAAGAAUAUAAAUAAAACGACAUUGAAUAAAAUAAAAAAUAAAACAAAAAUUGCGAGAAAAAGUAGAGUAGUGCUCGGUUUAUUUUUCAGUACAGUUAAUUUCACAAAUAAAAAACAUAUUUUCUUAAUAUAAUUCUUUGAUAUGUAAAAUCAGAGUAAAAUAAUUCUAUAGCAUUCCUUUUCUUUUUAGGAAAUUUUUCCAUGUCAUUCUUAGAUGGCGUUUUUUUUAAUUCAUAUUAUAAAUAAUAAAUAUAGAUAACACAUUCUAACAAACAAAUUCAUAAACUAAUUAGGUAACUGAAAAGAAUUAAUAAACGGUUGACCAUACUCAAAAUCCUAAUACAUUAUAUAAAUAUUCAAAUAAUUAUAAAAUAUUUGAAAGAGUAUGAUAAAAAAAAAUUAAUGAGCAGUAAAUAAUUAUAACAUUAUUUAAAGGAAUAUGUAAAAAAAAUUAGUUGAACAAUAAAUAAUUAUAAAAAUAUUUAAAAGAAUAUGAUAAAAAAUAGUUAAUGAAAAGUGUAGAAUUAUUAGUAAUUCUAACUUAGUUCACUAUUUUCCAAAACUUUUCCAUCAACAAAAAGAAUUUAUUGUAUUUUACCAUUCAUACAAUACUAAAAAUAUUUCAAAACAUUUCACCAUACAAACAAUACUAUAAACUCAUUUAAGUAUAUAAAUAAUUAGUACAUAUACGUAAAUAGUAUUAUAUUUAAAUGAGGUUAUUGCAAUAAAAAUAUUGGACCAAGUGUAUGCGUCACUAUGUGGGUUAUUUCUAAAUUAACACAAAAAUAAAAAUCAUUUUCACGUAAAUCAUUUCAUUUCAUGUAAAUCAUUGUGUGGGUUAUUUCAUGUAAAUCAUUUUUCAUUUAAAAAAUGGAAAAAAAUAAAUAAAAAUUAAUUCAAACACAUUAUUUAAAUUUUAUAAAAAUUGAAUGGAUUCAUUAAAUCAUUAAAAUGAAAUAACAAUGAAUGGUAAAUCGAAUUCUAUUUAGAAAACAAUGCAGAAAUGAAAGCAAAACCAUAAAAUAAAAUUGGAAAUUAUUGAAUAAAAUUUAUAUAAAAAUAAAUAACAUAAACCUGGAAAUUGUUUUAAAAAUGAAAGCAAAACCAUAAAAUAAAACAAUGAAUCUACAAUUUUUACAUGUAUUGGUAUUUGCGACUUUACAAUUUGUAUAGGGGAUUUAAGAAAUGUAAACAAAUAAAUACAUGUAAAUUUCCUGUACAAAUUACAUGUUGCAAAUUCCAAUACAUGCAAAUAAUAAAAUAACAAUUCGAAAUUCGAUAUAAUCAAAUAAUACCAUACAAACAAAUGAAAAAAAAAUAUUUAGUUUACCAAAAAAAAAACAGAUGAGGAAAACGACUAAACACUAUUAUACUCUCUUGUUGCCGUAAAGUUGGAUGGUGGUGACACUUGAGGUGUGGUAUGAGAAUUUUAUACUUGUGUUUGCAUCAUAAAAAAAUAAAUAAUAUUUAAACUUGGUAUAAAAUAAUCAACAUUGAAUAUACAUUGCAAAGAUUUUGUGAAUCGUAAAUUGAAAUUUUAAAAUGAAGUACAAAAUAACCAAUCAAGUUAUUAUUAAGGCGGAUUUGACGGAUUUGGUAAAAUAAUAAUUUGGUGGAAUGACAAAUCAUUUGCUUAAAUAAGAUAAAUUAAUAAAGAAGAGAAAAUGUAAUAUAUAUAUAUAUAUAUAUAUAUAUAUAUAUAUAUAUAUAAGGAAAGCAAUGGGAGAAUAAGGAAUACAUUGUAAUUAAAAGACAAAAGAAAGUAUGGAGACCAAAAUUAAAGGAAAGCCGUGUCUCUCUCUCUCUCUCUCUCUCUCUCUCUCUCUCUAUAUAUAUAUAUAUAUAUAUAUAUAUAUANNNNNNNNNNNNNNNNNNNNNNNNNNNNNNNNNNNNNNNNNNNNNNNNNNNNNNNNNNNNNNNNNNNNNNNNNNNNNNNNNNNNNNNNNNNNNNNNNNNNUAUAUAUAUAUAUAUAUAUAUAUAUAUAUAUAUAUAUAUAUAUAUAUAUAUAUAUAUAUAUAUUAAAAAGCAAUGAUAGAAUAAGGAAUACAUUGUAACUAGGGGCUUACUAGUCAUAGUGCGGUUUUUUCCAACUACAGUGCGAAAUAAUUCAUUUGUCAAAAAAUACUUUAACUUUUUACAAAAUUCUCACAACCUCCAAAUAUUUUGACUUUUGUAGAUCGUGAUUUGUUUUCGUAGAAAUCAGUUAAAACCCAACGAUUAUCAAGAUGGCCAACAUCGAUCCCGUAAAUGAGGUAAAAAAAUUACGUUUUAGUGUGAUUUUUUUCGAUUUUCAGUCGUUUCGUGUAGAAUAUCAGGAAAUUAUUGAAGUCGUUUCGUAGUGGUUUGCACGAAAUUAACACCUUAUUCAUGUUUUUCAGUCAUUUCGUGUACAAUACUACGAAAUUGUACCUCUUAUUUCGUGUAAAGUCACACGAAACAGCAGUAAACUAUUUUGUUACUCAUUUCGUGCAGUACUACACAAAAUGUAUGCAUUAAUUUCGUGUACUUUUACACGAAAUACCUAGUAUUUUUUUUAUUUUGAUCCCUCGGUUUGUAUUUUGAUCCCUCGGUUUUGGGUGCAAGUAUUCAUUUUGUUUUGUAUUUUUUUUACGCAGCCAUAUGACGACAAUUUGUAUUUUGAUCCAUCGGUUUUGGAUCAAAAUGAAUAUGAAGAUUUCUCUCACUUCUUCCAAGUUGAUAUUGUGUUCGGUAGUAGGGAAGAAUUAAUCAACUGGGCGAAAGCAACUGCAGUUAGUCAUUGUCACAGUUUGAUUUGUCAGUCUAAAAGGGAGAAUGCCCAGUACCUGACGUGUGACAAAUACGGACAUGGCCGACAAACGAAUAUUGAUGUGGAAGAUCCUAGAAAUACAGGAACAAAAAAAUGUGGUUGUCCGUUCAAAUUGAUUGGCAAAAAGUCAAGGUUUGAUGAAUUAUGGCGGUUGACUGUCAGCGAUGGCAGGCAUAGUCAUCGUCCGGCUUUGUUUCCUCACGGACAAGGUACGACUAGUCGUAUAACUCCACAACAUAAAGCAAGAAUUAAAGAAUUGCGAAAUUCUCACGUGAAGCCAAUGCUAAUCAUGGAUAGAUUGAGGAAAGAUGAUCCGAUGAUACAAACCUCUAUGAAGCAUGUUUACAAUCAGUUGGUCAAGAUUAAAUCUGAGGAAGUGGAGGGCAUGACUGUUAUUCAGUUUAUGAUGCAUAACUUUCAACAAGGCGAGUAUCGAUAUUGGCAUCGCGUCGAUAGUGAAACGAGCAACACGAUUACAUAUAUUAUGUUUGCAUGUCCCGAAUCUAUUAAGUUAUUACGGCUAUUCCCGUAUGUUAUAUUGAUGGACUGCACAUACAAAACCAAUAAGUAAGUAAAAAUUACGAUUGUUUAAAUUAUGAUUAUUGUGUUUUAAUGUCUUGUAUUGUUUAAAAAUGUAAAAACAACAUUGUUGUAGGUAUGGAAUGCCUCUUUUGGAAAUAAUUGGGAUAACUCCAGUUGGGAGGAAUUUUACAAUUGCUGUUGCAUUUAUGUCGCAUGAAGAUGCACACACCUACGAGUGGACUUUGAAUUGUUUGAAAGAGUUGCUAGAUGGUGUCGAUCCUGAUGCGAUCUUGACAGACAGAGAGUUGGGUCUUUUGAAAGCACUGCCAAAUGUCUUCUCAUUUUCGUAUCAUAUGUUGUGUAUAUUUCAUAUAAACAGAAAUGUUGAGGCAAAUGCGACGAAAUUUAUGGGAGGCAACAAAGACCAAGGUCUAAUAUUCCGACGUGUGCUGUGGGCUAAGCUGGUGAAAUCAGAAACCGAAGAAGAGUAUCAUUACAAUUACAAUGAAAUUGUUGGACGGUAUGCAGGGUAUCCUAGGCUGAUACAGUAUUUGAAUGAUACGUGGUUGAUAUACAAGCAGAAGUUUGUUCGAGCCUAUACUCGCAAUGUGUAUCAUUUUGGCAACACGAGCACCAACAGGUAUUACAUGUUUUAGUUAUUUAAAUGAUAAAGUAUAUUAUAUAAAAAUAAUAUUUAUUUUGUAAUUUGAUUGUCGUUGUAUGCUUUGAUUGUUGUUGUAAUUGGAUAGGGUGGAGAGUGCUCAUUCUUCAGUGAAGGGUUGGUUAAUUGCUUCGACCGGAGGUCUGGAUAACGUGCAAGGCAAACUUCGGGACCAAGUUUAUAUCCAAAUUAGUCAGCUGAAGUGCGAUUUUUCAUUAUCAUCCAAGAUAAGGAAGCAUACUGCAGCAUGGCCGUGUUUUCAGGGUUUGAUUUGUUAUGUUACGCAUCUGGCAUUAGAGAAAUUGGAUGAAGAGAUGGAGUCCCCGGCGAUGCAAGAUCUGAGUAUUUGCACACACUAUCUUUGAAAUACUCAUGGGCUCCCAUGCGCGUGCAAAAUUGUGCAGAAAAUGGAAGAUAAUGACACGUUCGUCAUUUCAGACUUGCAUCCAUUAUGGAGUACCAUGGCAGUUGAGCCUUCGGAGCUACCUGAGUAUCAAGUAAACCGCAAGAAGAUUGUGGAUAGACAGAUUGAUCACCUGAAUUGCAAUUUGAAGAAGAUGAAUUACACGAGUAAGAUAAAUUUCUUGGCCUCAUUGUGUGGCAUCGUUUAUCCGUCUACGUCGCAUCUGUCCGAGCCAUCAUUUGUUAAGACCAAAGGACGACCAAAGAAUAACUCGACAAAGAGAUACCCUUCUGGAUGGCAGUAUCAUAUUGAUGAGGAGACAAUUAAGUCGUCUUGUGGUUCCAAGGGUCGCCAAACCUCAUGUGGUGCAAAGAUUCCUCAAGCAAAGGUUGAGAGAAGCACUGAUGGAACGCCUCAAUCGAAGAUGAAAGGUCGUGGUUCUCGUAUUCCCACACAAGAAUUUGCUGCCCCUACAAUACCUGCACAUGAAGGAAUCGACUUUUAUUCUUUCGUGCCCAGAUUUAUGGUCCGUCUUAUUCAGGAUUAUGUUAACGUGAUGGCGGAUGGCAACUGUGGGUACCGGUGCGUUGCUCAAGCCCUGUACGGGGAUCAAGAAAGAUGGCCGCAAGUGAGAGGGGAGUUGCUUAUUGAGUUAUACGAGCAUGCUAAUGUGUACACGGCGAUGUUUGGCAGUACCGAAUACGUUGAGGUCAUACGCAAGUGUGACUGGACCUCAGGGCUUUGUCCACAAGCUUAUUGGAUGGACAUGAAUGAAAUGGGAUUGGCCAUUGCUACCAGAUACAGUGCAUUAGUGGUACUUUUGACUCAAGUAGGGAGUAUGACUUACCUUCCUAUGUUUGGCAGUGGUCACUUAUCAUGUAUGAUUGUUGUGACAUUGCACAACAAUCAUUUCAUGUUUGUUAUUUGGUCGCGAAUAGUCAUCUACCACCAAUCCAUCCGGCAUGGGUACACCAUAGAGCUAAAAACUUGAGGCACUUACUCAAAAUGUACAAACCCCGACUACUCUUGUACGAACAAUUAAAGUCUAGUCGGUAGUUCAAUUUGUAGUUGUAUUUGAAUUCUAGUUCAAUUUGGAUUUGUAUUUGAAUUUUAGAUCAAUUUGUAGUUGUAUCUGAAAUCUAGUUGAAUUUGUAUUUGUAUUUAAAAUUUAGAUCAAUUUGUAGUUCGAUUUUAACUCUAGUUCAAUUUGUAGUUGUCUUUGAAUUCUAGUUCAAUUUGUAUUUGUAUUUGAAUUUUUAGGUCAAUUUUGUAUUUGAAAUUUAGAUCAAUUUGUAGUUGUAUUUGAAUUCUAGUUCAAUUUGUAUUUGUAUUUGAAUGUUUAGGUCAAUUUGUGUAUCUGAAAUAAAUUGGUUAAUUAGAAAAUAAAUCAAUUAGUGAUUCCGUACUGAAUUUCACGAAACAUUACAUUAUAUUUCGUGGAAAAAUCUACGAAAUAUGAUCUUCCAUUUCGUGGCCAACACCACGAAAUAUGAUGUCAAAUUUCGUGUAUUAUUACACGAAAUACACGAUUUUUUUCAAUCUAACAGUUUCGUCCUUCGUGUUCUAUAACAAUAAACACUUAUAUUUCGUGUAAAAAUACACGAAAUUAUUGAGUGGAUUUCGUGUAAUAAUACACGAAAUAGCGGGGGAAUUUGGUUUUUUUUUUUAGGAAAGUUACAAAUGAAAUAAAUCGCACUGCAAGGCGGUAAAAAUUGCACUAUGAAUAGCAUUUCAGUUGUAACUAAAAGACAAUAUGAGACCAAAACGAAAGAAAAUCCACGGCUUUCCUUUAAAAUGAAACUAUUAGCCUUCAAAACAAUGGAAAUAAACAUAUAAAUAUGAUCCAAAUUUAUUGAAAUAAAAACAUGAAAUAAAAACAUAAAAAAAUAACAUAAAAUUAGAAUUUUUAUCAAAAAUGAAAAAUGCAAAAUUGGUGGAAGUAUAAUCUUUAGUCUUUAUAUACUAUUGGAUUAAAAAAAAAAUCAAAUCAUUACCUAAAAACAUGAUAUUUCGAAUUAAUUUUGUGAAAUUCUACGAAUAUAAUAUAUUUCAAGGAAUUAAUACAAAAAAAAGUUACAUAGAAAUACAAAAAUAUAAACAUAAUAUAAAAAAAAUUCAAAAAUAUAUACAUAACAUAAAGAAUUGAAUAUUCAUACAUUAAAAAUUGAGUUUUGAAUUUUCUAAAAUAUAUAGGCGGAAAAUAUAUUUCCAAAAUUUUAAAAUAUUAAAAAGAUAAUAUAUUUCGAAUUUAUAGGAUAUUAAAUGCAUGAAAUGUUUUUUGAUAUUUUAAUAUUUAAAAAAAUGUUUUUUUCUGAAAAUUAUUUGAAUAUUCGUAAAAAAAUUGAGUUUCAUGAUUUUUUUCAAUAAAUAUAUUUUGAAAUACUGAAAAUAUAAAUAAGAUUUUUUUUUUCGAAUUUAUAAAAUAUUAACUUUGGAAAUAAUAUAUAUAUAUAUAUAUAUAUAUAUAUAUAUAUAUAUAUAUAUAUAUAUAUGUGGUAAUUGUUUAAAUGCGUGUAUAAAUGUUAAAUAGAAAAUAACUUAAAUACAUACCAAAAUAAAAUUGACAACUCAUCAAUUGAAGAAUCCACCUCAUCAAUUGAAAUCCAACUAAGAGGGUGUUUGGCUAAGCUUAUUUUAAAUAGCUGAUAAGCUCUUAUGUCUGAUAAGAUGUUUUAAGAGCUGAUAAGCUGUUACAUCUUAUUUUUAGGAUUAAUUUUUAGAGUGUUUGGAUAAUAGGCUUAUUUCCUAUUUUUACUCAUUAAAAGAUCUUAAAUAAAAAGGUGGGGUCGAGGUACUUAUUUAAAAAUAUCUUAUUUGCUCUCCAACAGCUUAUUUUAAAAAAAAAUUAAGAUAUUUUUCUAAAAAUUUACCAAACACUUUGGAAGAGCUUAUAAGCUCUAAAACAUCUUAUAAGCUCAUUUUAACAUCUUAUAAGCUUAGCCAAAAUAAAAUUGACAACUCAUCAAUUGAACUCCAACUAAGUAAUUUUUAUAAAUGAUAUCAUCAUUUGCCACGUGUCAAUCAUUGACGGCAUAAAUCAUCUUUUUAUAUAUUGUGGUCAUUAGCAAUAAACCCCUCAUAUAGAUAAUAAAUGGUGAUAUGUCCACCCCUUAAAUCUUUCUUUGUGAUAAACCCCUAGAAUUUGUAUUUCCAAUUCUACCCUUAUGUCAAUUAGCAUAAUUAGUCUCAAUUAUUCAUUUUUUCUCUAUUUCCAUAACAAUAAUCUAAUUCCUAAAAAUCUGCUUCCAAAUUCCUACAAAUUUGCUACCAAAUCAAAAAAAAAACUGAUUUUUUUUAUUUUUUAUUAUUUUCGGAUUUUUUAGCCAUUUUUUUAUUUAUUUAUUUUUUAAUAUUUUUUCUAAUAAAAAAUAUUUUUAUUUAUUUAUUUAAUUUUUUAAACAAAAAAUUGAAAUUUUUUUUUCGCGGAUUUAUAACUCCGAAUAUGACUAUAGUUGAAUAUGGCUAUUAUGUGACUACGCUGUUUAUAACAGUGUAAUUAACAUAUUGUAGAAGCAUUAUUAUUAAGAUAACAGUAAGAAUAUGACUAUUAUGCGAAUGUGAUUGUGCUUUGUAAAACAUUAUAAUUAACAGACAGUAGAAGCAUGAUUCUUAACAAAAACAGCGAGAAUAUGACUAUUAUGUGACUACAGUUUGUAUAACAGUGACUGAACAUGAAAGUGAGAAUAUGACUAUUAUGUGACUAGGUUCUGCGUAAUGUGACUACAAGUAAUCACCACUUGAAAAAACUUGCAAUAUUAAUAGCAAAAUACAUUGCAAAAAGAAAAAAAAAAUGACUAAAAAAAGCAAAAAAUAACUAAUGGGAUCUUUCAACAAUGGCCAUCUAACAUGUUUUUUUUUUUGCGGUAUUCAACUCGGUUGCACCGACUGCACUUAAUCUUCCGUUUGAUCUUGUGUGUUAAAUAUGACUACAUUGUUGAAUGUUGAACAUAUGCAGCACUACAAAAAAAAAUGACAAAUAUAACUAAGUUGUUAAACAUGACUACUCUGUCAAAUAUGACUACUCUGUAAAAUACACUGCGCUACAACCGACUAAUCUCGUAAUUCAAUGGGUUUUCCAGAUCUAAACAUUCAGAAUAUGCAAAAUAACACAAAAUUAAAAUUGAUAAAAUCCAUAAUAAUUGAAAAUCAAUGUAUGCAUUCAUAGCAAACAAAUAAUAGAACUGAAAUUCAGAUCCAUAACAUAUUCUAUUGCUAGUUAGACAAUUAAUUCGAGAAAAAUAAAAAAAAAAUGUACCAAUUAAUAUAGUAUAUAUUGGUAUUCAGCGUCGAGAGAAGGGAAAUCUCCAUGUAGAAAUCCGACGGAGACGGCGACAAGGUGGGGGAGGCGCCGCCGCCAAUUGUAUCAGGCGUUGAUGUUGUGGUGUUCGACGAGGGGGGAGACGAUCUCCAACAUCGGCGGAGGAGGGCCUCCUGCAACGGGUUUCGGCCGGCGGCGUUUGAAGGAUAUUGUUGACUCCGGCGGCGGCGGUUUACAGAUCUGAAGAAUAAGGAAAAAGAAAAAAGAAAAAAAGAAAAAAAAAAAAAAGAACUGUGAACAGAGAGAAAGAUUGAGAGAAUGAAAGAGAGAGAGAGCGAGAACAGAGAGAAAAAGCGAGAGAAUGAAAGAGAGAGAAAUAAAAUUGUAUUAGGUUAAAAACCUAACACAUAGGGGAAUUUUAGUCUUAUCAUGAGUGGUAAGGGGGGUCUCACUAAUUUAGAUUGGGAUAUGGGUUAUGGGAAAAGUCUUUAAAGUCAAUUGGGUUUAGUUCAAAAUAUUUUCCAAAUAAGGGGUGUAUUGCAUAUUUACCGAAAUAUUAUAUAUAGAUUACUUAUUAAAAAAAGGAAAAAAGAAAAAAGAAAAAAAAAAGAAGUUAGAGGGCAAUUUUGUCAUUUCCUACAACAAAAGGAAGAAAAGUCGCAGAAAUCGCGCGUGAGACACACGAUUUGCGACGAGGGGGUUUUCGCCUUUGACUAAUAAAUACAGGGGGUUAUUUGCUAAUUUUUUUAUGACAAGAGGAAAAUGACGCGCGAUUUGCGACGAGGGGGUUUUCGCCUUUGACUAAUAAAUACAGGGGGUUAUUUGCUAAUUUUUUAUGACAAGGGAAAAAUGCACAGUUGAAAUUUUCACAGGGAUAAUAAAUGCAAUAAGCUCAUAAAAAUUAUCUUGGGUCCAACACUAUCUAUAAGUUGCCUCUUGACACAGAGACAUGUUGAGUUAAAAGUUAAAACCAAGUAUAAAUAAUCUAUAAAUCAACUUAAAAAGGGGAGAAUAAAAGACUUAAAAAUAGUAUUUUUUUUUUCAUGGACACAAGUAAAAGGAUAUAUGGUUUAAUUUCAGAUAUAAAAGGAAGUUUUGAAGUGGUGAAUUUUAUUGAGACAUUGUUGAGCCCUCUCCAAGACAUCUUCUGUAUUGCACCUCCUCCUCUUUAUGAUGCUUUCAUCUCUAUCAACUUUCUUUCUUUUCUUUCUGCUCGAUGACUCUGUUUAUAUAAAUUAUGCUAAAACAAAUUAGAAUAAAACAAAUAAAACAAUAUAUAUAUAUAUAUAUAUAUAUAUAUUAAUUGGGUGAAUAUUAUUAUUAAAGCAGUAUACAAACCUUGGGUGUCAGGUGUAAAUAAAGAGAUUGAAGAAGUGCAGGGGGCUUUGAUGAACACAAAGUUGUGAUAUUGAGAUUCUAAAUCUGAAAUAAAAGAUUUGAGCUCCGUUUUUAGAGAAUGAAACUUGUUUGGGUGCUGGAAUUCCAAUUUCUCCAAUUCUUCCUUUGCUUCUUCUAUCAAACUCAUAUUCCUCGAUGCCACUUGCGCCAUUUCUGAAUCCCCUCUCCCUCUCUCUCUCUCUCUCUCUCUCUCUCUCUCUCUCUCUCUCUGAACACGAAGAGAGAGAGGGUUUAUAUAUAUAUUUAUAAAACUGUGAUAUAAGUAAUAUAUAUCAUUAAUAUCAAUAAAAGACAAAAGGACAGUUGAAAAGUUCUUAAGGGCAUCUGUAGUGGAUCCCCAAUAAAACACUCCCCAAAUAGUGGGGUCCACGUGCCACCUACACAAUUUACUAUCUCCCUAAAAGUAGGACCCACAUUUAACACUCCCUAAAAAAAAGGUUCUCUAGUGGUACAUUUAAAACUCCCUAAAAAUUUGUCCAAAUAUCUUAAAUAAUAAUAAAAUAUUAAGGGAGUAAAUAUAAUAAUGUAAUUAAAUUUAAUUCUUUGUAUUUAAUUAAAUUAAUUUCGUAUUAGAUUACAUUAAUUAAAUAUUAGUCACCAUUUUUAUUACGUUGUAAUAUGUAUUAUUUUAUUUUGUUUGUAUCCAUAUUUAUAUUGAUAAAAUAAUACAAAACAUUCAACAAACAUAAAUGAAAUAAAAUUAACAAAAAUACAUAAUAGAUUGCAGUAAAUUGAACAAGCUUGUUAGAACAUUCCUCCAACUCUAGACAUAAAUAGAUUAAAGAAAAAGACAUUAUAAAAUUAGUUUUUAUUUUUUCUAAUACGGCUUAAGAUCUCUAUUUGUUGUUCAAUAAUCCAAGCUUUACCUUCCUCUGUAGGUGCCGAUUGAGGAUCCAUCAACAUUAUUUCUUGCUCGCGUUGUUUUUGUUGAUGUUCUUGUUUAGCUGCAAUUUCCAUUCUCUUUGUUUCUAUUUUAGCUUGUAAUUUCUGUUGUUCGAUUGCAUUUCUCCUAAUGCCCUCCUCUUCAAAGCGACUUGAUUGUUCUUUUCUCAUAUUAGAAAACUCCUCUACAAAUAAAUCGAUGGAAUCGAGAUUUUUCUUUCUUCUAGCAUUUUUUGCAGUUUUGCGACCAUGAUGACGUGGUAGUCCAUGUGCGCCAUCAUUAGAUACCCCGUCAUCAAUUUCAUGGCCGGUUGAAGUUGGAGUCGUAGCUGGGGCUGAUUGAUCAGAUGAUGGAGGUUGUGUAUUUGAUGAAUCUUCAAUUUCAUCAUCAUCCAAAUCAAUUUCAACCCUUUUUUUUUGGGAAGUUUUUUUCUGUUUUCCCUUCUGCUCAAUGGUAUAAUUAUACCAUUUGGAAGUGUCUUUCAAAAUCAUCCAACAAGAGUCAUAUUUGAAUUGAUGCUCUUCUUUGUCAUUGUAUAGUUGUUUUGAUGCAAUCAUCUAUAACAAAAAUCAUAAUAUAUUAAUGGUUGAACGAAAAUUAUAUAUAAAUACAUAUAUGAAUUUUAUUUACUUACAUUAUCUUCUGCAUUGUUUCCACUACGUUGAGCUCUCUCAAUCGUACGAACAUACCCAGAAAAUUUGCUUACACAAUGUUGAAUGAUUUUCCAUCGGUGCGCUAGCCCUGACGCAUUUCUACCUGGAUCAUAUUCUAAAAUAGAUAUAAAUUCAACUCUAAUUCUCUCCCACAACCUACCUCUUUGUUGGUCAGUACUAACUAUUGCAUCUUCUGAAACACGUAACCAGGCCUUGCACAAUGCUUCAUCUUCUUCCAUAUUCCAGUUUUUAUUUCGCCCCAGAGCCUUGGUCUUUUUACCUGAUUUGCUUGUACUUUGUGAUUGCUCUUGAUUUGGUAUUUGAGAUGGCCCCGCAUAGACGAAAGGAUUAUAGGAAAAUUGUGAAAAUGGUUGUGAUUGUGUAUUGAAAUUGUAAGGAUUGUAUGAAAAUUGUUGAGGAAAUGUUUGAGACUCGUUUUGUGGUGGUGGUUGAGAGCUAUACUCAGGAUUGAUUCCAUAAUUGAAGGGAAAACGUGGAUUCAUAGUAAAUUGAAAGACUUUAUUGUUAUAAGUAAACAGGAGGAAUGAAUGAUAACAUCAUGUACAACUAGUAUUUAUAAAAUUUUGUAGAUAGAUUUUAACAUGCCAGUAGAUAUUGUAGAUAGAUAUUUUGUGGACAUGUUUUGUUGAUAGAUUUUUAGUGGAUAAAUAUAUGGAUAGAUUUUAAGUGGAUAGAUUUUGUGGAUAGAUUUCUCGAUUUUCUCAAUUUUAGUGUUGUAGAUAUGUCAGAAGACCUCAAUUAUUUUUUCUCAACUUUACAGACUGUCUAUAACUGCAUUAUUUUCUCGAUUAUCUCAAUUUCAGAGAUUUUGUCAAUUAUUUUUUACUUUUUUUUCCAACUCUAAUUAUCUCAUUGGUUUCUGAACCUCAAUUAUUUUCUCGAGUAUCUCAACUUUAAUUAUUUUAUCUUUUUAAAUUCAAUUAUCUUAUUGGUUUCUCAACUUCAAUUAUUAUAAUGAUUUUCUUAACUUCAAUUAUUUUGAUUUUCCAGCUUCUAUAAAUAUUUUCUUCCGAUAGAAUUGUAUAUCUACAAUAAAUUUUAUCCCAUGAUAUGGCUUCUUCAUCUGGAUGGUUUCAUUCAAAUGAAUUUUCUCACAUUAAAUCAUCUAGUUUUUCAUCUUCAUCCUCAUCUUCAGAAGAGGAAGAACUUCUUUCUCUUCGUAUGGAGAAACAAUCUCAAGAAAUGAUUAAUUUUAUCCCUGGGUUAAUUUUAGCAUCUGAGGAACAACCGCAUCAGCGACAAUAUAUAUAUCGUGAUCGUGAAGAGAGUCAUAACUUAUUAUGGAAAGAUUAUUUUGCUGAAAAUUGUACUUUUCUAUCAUCUUAUUUUCGCAGGCGUUUUAGGAUGCGCAGGGAGUUGUUUCUUCAUAUUCAGAACGAUAUUGAAAAGCAUAACAGAUACUUCAUCCGAAAGAGAGAUGGACGUGGUCGUCUUGGCUUCUCAUCUAUUCAAAAGAUAACUGCUGCACUUCGGAUUCUUGCUUAUGGAGCAUCCGCUGAUUACUGUGAUGAAUAUUUGAAGAUAGGGGAGGCCACUGCUAAUGAAACUUUAAGAGAGUUUUGUUCAUCGAUAAUCCAACUUUAUGAAGAACAGUACUUGCGGUCACCAAAUGCACAUGAUAUCCAUCGUCUCCUACAAGAAGGUGAAUCCCGAGGUUUUCCAGGUAUGCUUGGAUCUUUAGAUUGUAUGCACUGGCAAUGGAAAAAUUGUCCAACUGCUUGGCACGGCACACACAGGGGUCACCACCACAAACCAACUUUAAUUUUAGAAGCAGUUGCAUCGCAUGAUACAUGGAUCUGGCAUUCUUUUUUUGGCAUGUCGGGUGGAAAUAAUGAUAUUAAUGUCUUGGAUCAUUCUCCACUGUUUGAUAAUAUCAUACAUGGUAGAAUGCCUCCAGUUAAUUAUACGGUGAACAGUCGUUCAUAUACGAUGGGUUAUUACUUAACUGAUGGUAUUUACCCCAAAUAUGCAACUCUUAUUCAAACCAUUGCUCAUCCCACCACUGCGAAAGAAAAAUUAUUUGCGGCAAAACAAGAAUCAGUUAGAAAAGACGUGGAGCGUGCAUUUGGUGCUCUACAAAUUAAAUGGGGUAUAACGCAAGGACCCGUUCGAUAUUGGUCAAAAGAGGAUAUAUGUAAUAUAAUGAAAACAUGCAUUAUACUCCAUAAUAUGAUUAUAGAAGAUGAACGUGGAACUGACCUCGAACCAUGGGCACCACUUCCAGAAGAGAAUUUCCGCCCCCUUCAAUAUGAACGAGAUCCAUCGAUUUUGGCAGCCUAUAUCUCAGCACGUCUUAGUCGGAUCCGCAAUCGACGAACCAAUGAAGAUUUGAGAUCUGAUUUAAUGAACCAUUUGUGGAAUAUCUACGGAGAAGAAGAUGUCUGAAUAUUUAUUGUUUAUGUGUAUUUCUAAUUAUAGUUGUGAUUUAAUGUUCUUUUAUUUUCACAUUGUUCGUAUUAUAUUUUAUAAUGUGAUCGAAUUUAAUAAAAUUAAAUUUCAUGAAAAUUUAUUUUGGAAUUUCUUAUAAUAAAAGUUAUGAAUAUGAGAGACAUGUGUGGAACAAUCAAAUAAAUUAAAAUUAACGAAUUUACAAAAUUUAAAUUUAAUUAUAAAAUAAAUAUUUCUUGUAUUACUAUAAUGAAAUUGAAUUAUUAAAAUUAAAAUAUAAGUUUUUUUUUUUACCAUAUUAAUGAAUUUAAAUAUAAUAUUUAUUUUACUAUUAAUAUUAAAAUCAAUGAAAUUUAAAUAUGUAAUUUCUAAAAAUUAUAAAAUAAUUAAAGAAUUAUUAGAAUUAAUUAUUACUUAUCAUAAUGGAAAAAAAGAAAAAGAAAAAAUAAAUAAUUAAAGCAGAUUUGGUUGGCACACAUUCCAAAAAUACAUUAAAAUAAUCAAAAGGGCUCCACAUACACUCCCCAACCAUGGAUUAACUGUGGGCACUUUAAUUGGGAGUCCCUUGCCACAUGGCACAUUUAGGGAGGCUGGAGAAAAGCACUAGAGGAGUUAAAAUCAACAAUUACUCCCAAUAUUCUAAAAUUCUGACAAAAAUAUUAAAUUGGGAGUGGCACUACAGAUGCCCUUAUUUAAGUAAAUCCCAAUAACACGUCACUUCAAAUAUACCCAAAUAAAAAAUUAAAGAAAAUAAAUAAAAAAUAGUUAUGUUAUUAUGGACUAAUUAAUUAAUUUACCUUGGCAAUUCGAUACCAAAGAUUCUCGUCGAAUGUAGAUGCGGUGAGUAUGACUUGAGGAAAACUAGUCGCCGACUUGAUAGUCUCGUCGAACGUUACGCCGGAGUCUGCUGUCGUGGACCCCGCGAUGCCAUGCAGAGACUCUGACCACCACUGGUAGUACGGUAUCCCCAACCGCGGAACGGCCGACGCCUUGUUGACCAGCUGCGAGAUUUUCUCGUCCAACGAGAGUCGGGAUAUCAAGUCGCGGGCCCGCUCGUGUAUCGGCAAAUCGGAGUUGCAGAACGGGAACGACUUUGUCGAUGUGACGACUGAGUCGCACGAGAAUGGCGGGAGUUUAUUGGCUGAUUGAGCCUUUAAGAUUUCAAGUAAUAUGAUAGAGGAUAUUAUUGUAAAUUUGAGAGCCAUUUCUAUUUUUGAGUGGAAUUGUAAUUUCUUUUUUCAUGUUAUGNNNNNNNNNNNNNNNNNNNNNNNNNNNNNNNNNNNNNNNNNNNNNNNNNNNNNNNNNNNNNNNNNNNNNNNNNNNNNNNNNNNNNNNNNNNNNNNNNNNNNNNNNNNNNNNNNNNNNNNNNNNNNNNNNNNNNNNNNNNNNNNNNNNNNNNNNNNNNNNNNNNNNNNNNNNNNNNNNNNNNNNNNNNNNNNNNNNNNNNNNNNNNNNNNNNNNNNNNNNNNNNNNNNNNNNNNNNNNNNNNNNNNNNNNNNNNNNNNNNNNNNNNNNNNNNNNNNNNNNNNNNNNNNNNNNNNNNNNNNNNNNNNNNNNNNNNNNNNNNNNNNNNNNNNNNNNNNNNNNNNNNNNNNNNNNNNNNNNNNNNNNNNNNNNNNNNNNNNNNNNNNNNNNNNNNNNNNNNNNNNNNNNNNNNNNNNNNNNNNNNNNNNNNNNNNNNNNNNNNNNNNNNNNNNNNNNNNNNNNNNNNNNNNNNNNNNNNNNNNNNNNNNNNNNNNNNNNNNNNNNNNNNNNNNNNNNNNNNNNNNNNNNNNNNNNNNNNNNNNNNNNNNNNNNNNNNNNNNNNNNNNNNNNNNNNNNNNNNNNNNNNNNNNNNNNNNNNNNNNNNNNNNNNNNNNNNNNNNNNNNNNNNNNNNNNNNNNNNNNNNNNNNNNNNNNNNNNNNNNNNNNNNNNNNNNNNNNNNNNNNNNNNNNNNNNNNNNNNNNNNNNNNNNNNNNNNNNNNNNNNNNNNNNNNNNNNNNNNNNNNNNNNNNNNNNNNNNNNNNNNNNNNNNNNNNNNNNNNNNNNNNNNNNNNNNNNNNNNNNNNNNNNNNNNNNNNNNNNNNNNNNNNNNNNNNNNNNNNNNNNNNNNNNNNNNNNNNNNNNNNNNNNNNNNNNNNNNNNNNNNNNNNNNNNNNNNNNNNNNNNNNNNNNNNNNNNNNNNNNNNNNNNNNNNNNNNNNNNNNNNNNNNNNNNNNNNNNNNNNNNNNNNNNNNNNNNNNNNNNNNNNNNNNNNNNNNNNNNNNNNNNNNNNNNNNNNNNNNNNNNNNNNNNNNNNNNNNNNNNNNNNNNNNNNNNNNNNNNNNNNNNNNNNNNNNNNNNNNNNNNNNNNNNNNNNNNNNNNNNNNNNNNNNNNNNNNNNNNNNNNNNNNNNNNNNNNNNNNNNNNNNNNNNNNNNNNNNNNNNNNNNNNNNNNNNNNNNNNNNNNNNNNNNNNNNNNNNNNNNNNNNNNNNNNNNNNNNNNNNNNNNNNNNNNNNNNNNNNNNNNNNNNNNNNNNNNNNNNNNNNNNNNNNNNNNNNNNNNNNNNNNNNNNNNNNNNNNNNNNNNNNNNNNNNNNNNNNNNNNNNNNNNNNNNNNNNNNNNNNNNNNNNNNNNNNNNNNNNNNNNNNNNNNNNNNNNNNNNNNNNNNNNNNNNNNNNNNNNNNNNNNNNNNNNNNNNNNNNNNNNNNNNNNNNNNNNNNNNNNNNNNNNNNNNNNNNNNNNNNNNNNNNNNNNNNNNNNNNNNNNNNNNNNNNNNNNNNNNNNNNNNNNNNNNNNNNNNNNNNNNNNNNNNNNNNNNNNNNNNNNNNNNNNNNNNNNNNNNNNNAUAUAUAUAUAUAUAUGUCUGUGUAUGUGUGCGCGCGUGUAUGUGUGUGAUGUUUAUGAUGCAAAAGGCAAUAUUGCAAUUAGAACCAAAUUUUUUUUAUAAUUAAUUAACUAUGCAAAGGUAGAGAGGAGAGUUGACAGUCUUAAUUAGCUACCUACACCCAAGUUUAUGUGACUAAUUUCAUACUAAAAAGUGGGUCAUGUGUAAAUAUUCAAACACAACGAGGUUAAUUGCUAUUUACCCUUUAUUUUUCUUAUGAAUGACAGUCUUAAAUUUAUUGGAUGUAUUAGUAGAUACAUACUAUAUGAUACAAAUAGCGGCCAUUUUUUUUUCUACAAUAUGUGAGCCAACUUUUUUGAAAAUUAGGACAUUUUUUAUUUUGCAUCAUUCAAAGUAACGCUUUUUAAAAAGCUGACACGUGUCAAGGUAAUAGUGGCCCACUUUGUAUUUUUUCAAAUAAAAUAUUGAUGUAAAAAUUGAAAAUAUGUGGGGCCCACAAGGUAAAAGAGGAGAUGGAUGAGUGGGUAAGUUUUGGAGAUGAGGACCAAAUGGGGGGUUUGGGGUGUAUACAAUUAUUUUUUUGAUAAAUAAAUUUGGGGAUGCAAAUAUAAUCAUUAUUAAGAAAAAAAAAAUUAUACUCUUGUACUUUUUAUUUUGCAUUCACUUUAUUUUGAAUAAGAAACUAAAAUUCUGAAGUUAUUAUAAUUUUAAUUUUGAAAUUAUUUUGACAAUAUCAACAUUUUUUUAAUUUAAAAACUUGAUAUAUUUUAAAUUUCCGAAUAAAUUUGGGGAAUAUAACUUUAGAAUAUCUAUAAAUUUUGAAAACUUGUAUAAUUUGUAAAAAAAAAGAUAUAAUAUACUUUUUCUAAUAUUUUUUAAUCAUACUAUAAUUUCAGAAUUUUGAAUAUGGGUUUAAAGUUUAAAGAAUAUAUUAUUAUUAUUAUUAUUAUUAUAAUUAUUAUUAUUAUUAUUAUUAUUAUUAUUAUUAUUAUUAUUAUUAUUAUUAUUAUUAUUAUUAUUAUUAUUAUUAUUAUUAUUAUUAUUAUUAUUAUUAUUAUUAUUAUUAUUAUUUUCAAAAUUAUAAAAGUUUUCACAAUGUUUUGGAAUUUUAGAAUAAUGGUGAAAUUAAGGAAUUUCGAAUUAGGGUCUAAAAUAAAAAAUAAUGUUUUGUAAUUACUUAUUAAAAAAUUAUUAAGUAAAAAANNNNNNNNNNNNNNNNNNNNNNNNNNNNNNNNNNNNNNNNNNNNNNNNNNNNNNNNNNNNNNNNNNNNNNNNNNNNNNNNNNNNNNNNNNNNNNNNNNNNNNNNNNNNNNNNNNNNNNNNNNNNNNNNNNNNNNNNNNNNNNNNNNNNNNNNNNNNNNNNNNNNNNNNNNNNNNNNNNNNNNNNNNNNNNNNNNNNNNNNNNNNNNNNNNNNNNNNNNNNNNNNNNNNNNNNNNNNNNNNNNNNNNNNNNNNNNNNNNNNNNNNNNNNNNNNNNNNNNNNNNNNNNNNNNNNNNNNNNNNNNNNNNNNNNNNNNNNNNNNNNNNNNNNNNNNNNNNNNNNNNNNNNNNNNNNNNNNNNNNNNNNNNNNNNNNNNNNNNNNNNNNNNNNNNNNNNNNNNNNNNNNNNNNNNNNNNNNNNNNNNNNNNNNNNNNNNNNNNNNNNNNNNNNNNNNNNNNNNNNNNNNNNNNNNNNNNNNNNNNNNNNNNNNNNNNNNNNNNNNNNNNNNNNNNNNNNNNNNNNNNNNNNNNNNNNNNNNNNNNNNNNNNNNNNNNNNNNNNNNNNNNNNNNNNNNNNNNNNNNNNNNNNNNNNNNNNNNNNNNNNNNNNNNNNNNNNNNNNNNNNNNNNNNNNNNNNNNNNNNNNNNNNNNNNNNNNNNNNNNNNNNNNNNNNNNNNNNNNNNNNNNNNNNNNNNNNNNNNNNNNNNNNNNNNNNNNNNNNNNNNNNNNNNNNNNNNNNNNNNNNNNNNNNNNNNNNNNNNNNNNNNNNNNNNNNNNNNNNNNNNNNNNNNNNNNNNNNNNNNNNNNNNNNNNNNNNNNNNNNNNNNNNNNNNNNNNNNNNNNNNNNNNNNNNNNNNNNNNNNNNNNNNNNNNNNNNNNNNNNNNNNNNNNNNNNNNNNNNNNNNNNNNNNNNNNNNNNNNNNNNNNNNNNNNNNNNNNNNNNNNNNNNNNNNNNNNNNNNNNNNNNNNNNNNNNNNNNNNNNNNNNNNNNNNNNNNNNNNNNNNNNNNNNNNNNNNNNNNNNNNNNNNNNNNNNNNNNNNNNNNNNNNNNNNNNNNNNNNNNNNNNNNNNNNNNNNNNNNNNNNNNNNNNNNNNNNNNNNNNNNNNNNNNNNNNNNNNNNNNNNNNNNNNNNNNNNNNNNNNNNNNNNNNNNNNNNNNNNNNNNNNNNNNNNNNNNNNNNNNNNNNNNNNNNNNNNNNNNNNNNNNNNNNNNNNNNNNNNNNNNNNNNNNNNNNNNNNNNNNNNNNNNNNNNNNNNNNNNNNNNNNNNNNNNNNNNNNNNNNNNNNNNNNNNNNNNNNNNNNNNNNNNNNNNNNNNNNNNNNNNNNNNNNNNNNNNNNNNNNNNNNNNNNNNNNNNNNNNNNNNNNNNNNNNNNNNNNNNNNNNNNNNNNNNNNNNNNNNNNNNNNNNNNNNNNNNNNNNNNNNNNNNNNNNNNNNNNNNNNNNNNNNNNNNNNNNNNNNNNNNNNNNNNNNNNNNNNNNNNNNNNNNNNNNNNNNNNNNNNNNNNNNNNNNNNNNNNNNNNNNNNNNNNNNNNNNNNNNNNNNNNNNNNNNNNNNNNNNNNNNNNNNNNNNNNNNNNNNNNNNNNNNNNNNNNNNNNNNNNNNNNNNNNNNNNNNNNNNNNNNNNNNNNNNNNNNNNNNNNNNNNNNNNNNNNNNNNNNNNNNNNNNNNNNNNNNNNNNNNNNNNNNNNNNNNNNNNNNNNNNNNNNNNNNNNNNNNNNNNNNNNNNNNNNNNNNNNNNNNNNNNNNNNNNNNNNNNNNNNNNNNNNNNNNNNNNNNNNNNNNNNNNNNNNNNNNNNNNNNNNNNNNNNNNNNNNNNNNNNNNNNNNNNNNNNNNNNNNNNNNNNNNNNNNNNNNNNNNNNNNNNNNNNNNNNNNNNNNNNNNNNNNNNNNNNNNNNNNNNNNNNNNNNNNNNNNNNNNNNNNNNNNNNNNNNNNNNNNNNNNNNNNNNNNNNNNNNNNNNNNNNNNNNNNNNNNNNNNNNNNNNNNNNNNNNNNNNNNNNNNNNNNNNNNNNNNNNNNNNNNNNNNNNNNNNNNNNNNNNNNNNNNNNNNNNNNNNNNNNNNNNNNNNNNNNNNNNNNNNNNNNNNNNNNNNNNNNNNNNNNNNNNNNNNNNNNNNNNNNNNNNNNNNNNNNNNNNNNNNNNNNNNNNNNNNNNNNNNNNNNNNNNNNNNNNNNNNNNNNNNNNNNNNNNNNNNNNNNNNNNNNNNNNNNNNNNNNNNNNNNNNNNNNNNNNNNNNNNNNNNNNNNNNNNNNNNNNNNNNNNNNNNNNNNNNNNNNNNNNNNNNNNNNNNNNNNNNNNNNNNNNNNNNNNNNNNNNNNNNNNNNNNNNNNNNNNNNNNNNNNNNNNNNNNNNNNNNNNNNNNNNNNNNNNNNNNNNNNNNNNNNNNNNNNNNNNNNNNNNNNNAGGGACGUCGAAAGUCGCUGGGCAACGUCGGAGAAGAUGGCGAUGUCGGACAACAAAAUGGGCGAAGAAGAUGAAUUAGGGGUUGGUCAGUUUGACGGGAGGAAGAAAUUCCAAUUUCUUUUUUCUUUUUUUUCUUUUUUUUGUUUUUUUAUUGUGUUUUGUUCUUUUUUAAUUAUUUCAUUUAUAUUUAGUAAUUUUUUUCUUUUGUUUUUGUUUAAAAUGGUAGAAAAACUAAGAGAGAUUUAGAGGGGCACUUGCGUCUUUUCACACAAAAAACGCACCAGCAGUCGCGUUGGUAGCGCGUGCAUGACACGAAUGAGAUAGAGGGGGGUUUAUGACUUUGACUACUAAUCACAGGGGGGUUUUAGUCACUUAAUUUUACCUAGGGGGUUUUUUGGUAUUUAGGAAAAUCACAGGGGGUGUUUUUGCAUUUAACUCAUAUAUAUAUAUAUAUAUAUAUAUAUAUAUAUAGAUUCAAUGGUCGGGUACCGAUGACCGUAAAGGUAAAACCAGAACCAUACCAAAACCCAGACGGUUUUCUUUUCUUUUACCAAAACCAUUACCAAACCCUAAUGGUUUCGGUAACGGGUUUUAAACGGAGCGGAUACCCACGGAUAGCUAGCGGUUCGGGUUUUUUUUUGCCAUUCCUAGUGUGAACGAGCCGAGCUCACCUUUUUUGACAGUCUUGAGCACGAGCUUGAGUCUAUUUUGUCGAGUUCAAGCUCAUGACAUCUUGUCGAGCUCGAGCCCAAGCUCAUUUUGUUGUUUUUUUUCUUUUUUAAUUAUUAUUAAAAAUUAUUUAAAAAAAAUAACAAAAUAAAUAAUAAAUUGUAAUUAUAUAUAAUUUUUUAUAUUUUUAUUUAUUUUUAUUUAUUUAUGUAAUAUUUUAUAUUAAUAUACAUUAACAAAUAAUAAUAUAUAAAAAAAUAAUAUAAAAAAAGUAAUAUAAAAAAUAAAAUAAUAAAUAAGGCUCGCGAGCCGGCUCGUGAACUCACGAACAACUAAAAACUAGCUCGAGUUCGACUCGUCCGAAAGCUCGAGCUCGAAAAACUCGAGUUCCAAUUUAAAUUUUUUUUGAGCCGGCUCAUCGAGCUCACGAGUUGGCCCGGGUUUAGCACGCCUAGAUACAAAAUGCAUAAAGUAGAGUAACAUACGGAAAGAUGAUUUUGUCCAUGUUUGUUUUUCAAUAUCCAAAGCAACUAAUUACUUGAGAAGUGACGUUGCAAUUUGAUACGGGCCAUUCUGGAAAGAUCCAAUACGAAUUAGGCCCACGACAAUAGGCCCAUGACAAUUCAGCCCAAUGAUAUAAAAAGACCAUUAGGUCGUACGACCUCAACGACGAACUGCGGAACUUCGGCUCGCAGGCCCAGUAUCGGCUCGUGGUAAAUCGAGCCCAGGGCAAUACAGGCCCAAACACGUAACUUGAAGAGGGAGCAAACCCUAAAAAAGGAAACCUUGGAGGCCAAGGUUUCCUCAUCUAUAAAUAGAAGGAUCAUCAAACACACGCACACACGAAAAAUACACCACUUUACUGUUACAUUACACACAUUUAUUCCUCUAUUCCGAUCACUGACUUGAUCGUCGGAGCUCUCCCGCCGGGAACCCCUCCCGGCGUUGCAGGUACCAUCAUCGGAGUAAGCACGGAAGGUGACUCGAGGAAGACGAAGCCCCACAGACAAAAUCAAGUGGCGCCGUCUGUGGGAAAGGCCUAAAAAUCAGGAGAAAACAGCUUCCGGGAAAAAUCAGAUCUACCCCCGGAAGUCCAGAUCUGAGCUGAGAACGUGGAGAAAGAAUGGACGGAGAAGACGCAGUCGCUCGGAAUUUGCAGAAGGAUUUGGAUGCGGUAGCCCGUGGUGCACCGGUUGACCCAUCGUCCGUUCAGAAAGAUAGAUCGGGGUGUAGCUUCCUUACACCUGAAAAGGAGGGCCGGAUCCCCUUCGCUCCAAGCAGCCCCUCUUUCGAGUUCCAGGAUGGCGAAGCUGCUUCGAGAAGGCCAGCCACAACCCCCGCUCAGGCUCCUAAUGAGCGCACGUAUACCCGAGACGAGGUGGAAACCAUGAUCACCGCGGCUAUCAGAAACUACACCCAAAGUUUACCUCACGAUAACCGACUCAGGAGGGAUCCCAGACAUUCCCCGAACGAGGGACGAGCUGAUGACGAAGGCGACAGUUAUUCGGAAAAUCGAAGAGGCGAUAGUCAUAGAGUCAGGACCGAGGUAGACAGCCUGAGACGCGACAUGAAUGAAUUAAAGGCCCUACGGAACAGGCCAGGGCGGGAUCUCGUGGGAUCUAGCCCUUUCGCAAAACACCUUGAUGAUGACCCCAUACCCGCUAGCUACCGACCCAUUUCGUUCGAAUACAAUGGCACAUCGGAUCCCGCCGAACACCUAAGCCGUUUCAACAACACCGCCUCGCUUCAUCAGCUCACAGAAGGAGUGAGAUGUCGUGCCUUCGCUACCACCCUAGCUGGAUCCGCUCAGGCCUGGUUCGGUUUAUUGCCUCCCGGGAGCGUGCAAUCUUUCGAGCAAUUUGCCAAGGCUUUCAUGAACCAGUUCGCCAGUUCAAAAAAGUGCAAGAAAACCUCCCUGUCGCUAUUCAGCAUUCGCCAGAAGGAGAAAGAAAGCCUCAGAAGUUACAUCAAACGGUUUACAUCGGCCACCCUGGAAGUCCCGACUACCAGUGACGAGGUGCUUAUGGCGGCUCUUUCGCAAGGAUUAAGAGAUGAUGAGUUUUUCCGAGCUUUGGCGUUGGAGCCGUCCCCUGAUUUCGAUAACUUAUUAGAGAGAGCGUCUAGGUUCAUCAACUUAGAAGAAGCCCGCCAACAAAAAGUGGAGGAAUCCCACCAAGUCGCGAACGUACGGGUUAGUGAAGUAAAGAGAGGCAAGGAACCCGUGUUACCUCGCAGGGAUGCCAAUGCUCCUAGUCGGAGUAUUGUCCCAGAUGCUAAGGGAUCCCGGUUCCAAUCUUAUCAACCCCUCACGGCUCCUCUGUCCCAGGUGUUGUGCGCGAUCGAGAAGAGGGUUGAUCUCCGGUGGCCCCGAACAGCUCGCGGAGCCCCCCGUCGAGAUCCGGCGUUGGGAACUUUCUGUCGUUUUCAUAACGAAUAUGGACAUACGACCGACGACUGCGCACACUUGAAAGACGAGGUGGAACGCCUCAUUAGAGACAACAAGAUCGGAGAUUUUGUGAAGAUAGAUUCACCCCGCGGACAAAAGCGUGAAGCCCAGUUUGGGAACCCGCCACGAGCACCGCCUCCACCGCCCGCGCCGAAAAGAGGAUACAUUCAGAUGAUUUCGGGGGGCCCUACGGGAGGAGAUACCCAUCGGGCUAGGAGACGUCAUCUCGGUAACCUUAAGAACCAACGCGAAAUCUGCCAGAUUUCUACAUCGAAGAGUCGUCAAUACCCCACUAUAUCGUUUGGUCCCGAAGACGAGGGGGAUCUGGAGGAUUUCCAUUGCGACCCUCUUCUCAUUACAAUUAAUGUUGGUGGGUAUGAGGUCGCCCGUGCUUUCGUUGAUCCGGGAAGUUCAGUGGAUGUUAUGUCCUAUGAGUGCUUCCUACAGAUGGAACUGGACCUCCCAGUUUUUCCUGUCACUACUCCGAUAUUCGGAUUCACAGGAGGGUCCCUGACGCCGAUUGGCCAAGUUAAAAUUCCCGUCACCAUAGGGACGCCACCUCGAACCCGCACACAAGCUGUCAAUUUUGUCAUCGUGGAAGGAUCGCCGACUUCGUAUAACAUCGUAAUAGGACGACCGAUGCUGCAUACCUUUCGGGCGGUCCCUUCAACCAUUCACCAGAAGCUUAAGUUCCCAGUCGAUGGGAUGGUAGGAGAGGUCCGGGGAGAUCAAGCCCAGUCAAGAUCAUGUUAUGUUGAGAUGGUUAGGGUAGCAGAGAGAGGGCGACGUGACACUCUCACUAAAGAAGAUUUGGGAGACGAGAAACGCCCCCGAAUUGACCCUGAGGAUAAGGUUAAUCAUGUACAGCCUAUGGACGAACUGAUGAUGGUUGACCUCGUCCCUGGCAUGAUGAAGCAAACUCGAAUAAGCAAGGACUUAGAACCACUUCUCCGAGAUGAGCUGAUAGCGUUGUUGCGAUCUAAUGAGGAUAUCUUCGCAUGGCAAUCAAGUGAUUUAACCGGUAUCUCACCUCGCACUGUCGUGCACAGGCUCAAUUUGCGACCUGAGUGUAGACCCGUCAAACAAAAACGACGACACUUCGGUACUGAAAAGGAUGAAAUCAUACAAAAAGAGGUUCAACGACUUCUGGACAUCGGACAUAUUAGGGAAAUUCAAUUCCCCACAUGGUUGUCCAACGCAGUUUUGGUACAGAAAGCCAACGGCCAGUGGCGAAUGUGCAUCGAUUUCAGGGACUUAAACAAGGCCUGCCCUAAAGACGAUUAUCCCUUACCUCGCAUAGAUCAGCUUGUAGAUGCCACUGCCGGGUGCGAGCUACUUAGUAUGAUGGAUGCUUCGCAAGGAUACCAUCAGAUCCCGUUGGACGAGAAGGAUCAGCCAGCAGUAAGCUUUGUCACAGCCACGGGUACUUAUUGUUACGUGGUGAUGCCUUUUGGUUUGAAGAAUGCAGGGGCCACGUAUCAGCGAUUAAUGGAUAGAAUGUUUCGGGCUCAGCUCGGACGCAACAUCGAAGUCUACGUGGAUGACAUGCUAGUUAAAAGCAAGCAGCGCUCCACACAUCUCGCGGAUCUAGCUGAAACGUUUGCCACUCUUCGUUUGUAUGGAAUGAAACUCAAUCCUGCGAAAUGUGCAUUUGCGGUACAAGCUGGAAAGUUCUUAGGGUAUAUUGUUAACCGGGAAGGUAUCAAAGUGAACCAGGAUAAGGUUGAGGCCGUACUCCAAAUGACACCCCCUCGCUCCAUCAAGGAGGUCCAAUCCUUAGCAGGGAAGGUAGUAGCCUUAGCUCGAUUUAUAUCGCGUAUGGCUGACAAGAGUUUACCUUUCUUUAAAAUAUUAAGAAAAACGGCCCAAUUUGAAUGGACUACCGAGUGCCAGCUCGCAUUCGACGCGCUAAAGCGAUCCCUUACUUGUUUACCGAUCCUUAGCAUUCCAGAAAAAGGGGAAACACUGUUCAUAUAUCUGUCAGUAGGCGAUGAAUCAAUCAGUUCGGUUCUGUUCAAAGAAGUGAAUAACCAACAAAAGCCAAUCUAUUAUAUUAGCAAAAUCCUUACUACGUCGGAAAGUAAAUAUUCUGAAGUCGAGAAAAUAGCGUAUGCUCUGGUCCUCACCACACGACGACUCCGGCCUUAUUUCCUAUCGCAUACCAUGGUGAUCCGCACAAGUCUACCACUUCGGCAAACCUUAGGUCAACCUACUGCGUCAGGACGAAUUGUCAAAUGGGCCAUCGAACUAGGACAAUACGAGAUUCAGUAUCAACCUCGUACCUCGGUUAAAGGGCAAGCCCUGGCAGAUUUCAUCCGGGAAACUACCAGGAUACCAGUCGAAAAGGAGUGGAAAAUUUACGUGGAUGGGUCGUCAACAACAACCGGAGCAGGGGCAGGAAUAAUAGUCAUUGAUCCCACCAGAACGGAGUUUGAGUUCGCCGUCAAACUACCUCGGGUUUCUAACAACGAGGCGGAGUACGAAGCUUUCAUCCGAGGAAUGGAGAUUGCCCAGGAACUCGGAGCACGAGUGGUGCGAAUAUACUCUGAUUCACAACUGGUGAUACACCAACUAGAGGGAGAUUAUGAAGUAAAAAAUGAUAGAAUGAAGGGAUAUGUGAAUAAAGCUCGAGCAGUACAAGAAACUUUCGAAGCCUGUACGGUGCAUCAACUUCCGAGGAGCGACAACCAACGAGCUGACUUCCUCGCUAAAAUUGGGUCAUCAGUUGUUGACUGUGUCGAGCGAAAAAUUACCAUCCUCAUCGCCCCUACCCCGAUGCAAGGAGUCAUGGUAAUCGAUGAAGAAUCUGACUGGAGAACACCUUUGUUCAGAUAUUUUAGAGGAGAGCGUUUUGGCACGAAGAGGGAACAGCAUCGUUUGGCAUAUAAAGCAAGGCACUUUUAUGUGCGACACGAGGUAUUGUAUAAAAGGACCUUCACCACGGUGGAUGCAAGGUGCCUAGGAAAACAAGAGGCGAAAUGUGUCCUGGACGAAGUACACCGAGGAGGUUGUGGGGAGCAUGGAGGAGCUCGGGCCCUCAUGCAAAAAUUACAUCGGGCCGGGUAUUAUUGGCCCGGCAUGAAGAGAGACACCCAUCAAUAUGUACAACAUUGCGCGCAAUGUCAGAAAUUUGCCCCACUUAUCCAUAAACCAGGAGAAGAAAUGACUAUUAUGAGCGCUCCAUGCCCUUUCGCCCAAUGGGGAAUUGAUCUGGUGGGACCUUUUCCUCAAACCACCGGUAGGAAGAAAUUUCUUAUUGUUGCGGUGGACUAUUUCACCAAGUGGGUUGAAGCUGAGGCUUUGUCUAAAAUAACAGAAGAUGAGGUAAUGCACUUCAUUUGGAAGUAUAUAUGCUGCCGGUUUGGCCUACCUCGCAGUAUUGUGUCAGACAAUGGUACUCAGUUCAACGGCAAAAAGAUCCGCGCAUGGUGCGAAGAGAUGAAGAUAACACAGAAAUUUGUGGCGGUAGCACACCCCCAGGCUAAUGGCCAAGUGGAAUCCACAAACCGGACCAUCGUCAACGGUCUGAAGAAAAGACUGGAUGAGCUAGGAGGAAGCUGGGUCGACGAGCUGCCCUCGGUCCUAUGGUCUUACCGGACAUCGGCCAAAGCAGCUACCGGCGAGACACCAUUUCGAUUAACCUAUGGAACCGACGCUGUUAUUCCGGUUGAGGUGGCAAUGGACACACUUCGCAUCGCUACAUUUGAUGAGAAAACAAACGAUGAAGCCUUGAGGACACAGCUGGAUGAGGUCUUUGACCUGCGAGAAGCGGCGUACCUACACAUGGAGCGAAGUAAGAACCUGAUCAAAGCACGAUACGAUCAAGGGGUAUGGCCUCGUUCAUUCCAGAUCGGCGACCUGGUCUUGCGCCGAGCUGACGCACUAAAACACACAGGAAAGUUAGAGGCUAAUUGGGAAGGACCAUACAUGGUCACAAAAUGUUUGGCUGGUGGAGGGUAUGAACUAGCAGACGUAGAAGGAAAACCACUGCCACGGGCAUGGAAUGUCAUCCAUUUAAAACGCUUCUUCGCGUAAAAAAAAAAAAAAAAAAAAAAAAAAAAAAAAAAAAAAAAAAAAAAAAAAAAAAAAGAGCGAAGGAGGACAGAUAGUCAGUGAAAUCGAGACACACCUUGUACGCACAAAAAACCAUUAAUAAACAUCCAUUUUCCGAUCUGGGCUAGGCCCCGUGGUUUUUUCUCUCCUUAUUUGGAGGGUUUCCACGUUAAAAAAGUACUUGUGUUAUUUACUUAAGUUAUAACUGUGGCGUUAACUCGCGUGUUUCACCGUGGCGUUAACUCGCGUAUUUUAUUGUGGCGUUAAAUCGCGUGUUUCACCGUGGCGUUAACUCGCGUGUUUUAUUGUGGCGCUAAAUCGCGUGUUUCAUUGUGGCGUUAACUCGCGUGUUUCAUUGUGGCGUUAACUCGCGUGUUCCAUUGUGGCGUUAACUCGCGUGUUUCAUUGUGGCGUUAACUCGCGUGUUUUAUUGUAGCGUUAAAUCGCGUGUUUCACCGUGGCGUUAACUCGCGUGUUUCACCGUGGCGUUAACUCGCGUGUUUUAUUGUGGCGUUAAAUCGCGUGUUUCACCGUGGCGUUAACUCGCGUGUUUUAUUGUGGCGUUAAAUCGCGUGUUUCAUUGUGGCGUUAACUCGCGUGUUUCACCGUGGCGUUAAAUCGCGUGUUUCACCGUGGCGUUAACUCGCGUGUUUUAUUGUGGCGUUAAAUCGCGUGUUUCAUUGUGGCGUUAACUCGCGUGUUUCAUUGUGGCGUUAACUCGCGUGUUUCAUUGUGGCGUUAAAUCGCGUGUUUUAUUGUAGCGUUAAAUCGCGUGGCGUUAACUCGCGUGUUUCAUUGUGGCGUUAACUCGCGUGUUUCACCGUGGCGUUAAAUCGAGUGUUUUACUAAAGUAAGUAAAAAGUGUGUUCUAGUAUGACGAUGUUUCGUGUUUUCUGUUGCAGCGCUAAGUCGCGUAUUCAUAAGCGAGAUGAUGGGGUCAAGCAUCAAGUUGAAAUAUAAAAACAGUUUUCUGAGAUCAAGUUAACUGAUAAGCUCAGAGGAUAAGCACAAAUGAGAAUGAUCGGGGAUAUGAAAAUAUGGACUGAACUCGAAGUCAAGACAAGACAAAUAUAAAGGCUCGAAGCACAAAUUUGAAAAAUGAAUAAAGACGCUUCGGAACAUAUGGAAAAACGGAGGAAUUGUUAAGGAUACAUGGCAAAACGAAAUAAAGAAAAUAAUGUUUAAAAAUACAUAAUCAGAACACAAACAAGAAAAUGGCUAAGUUUUUGGCCGUCUUCACUUCGGGACCGCCGCGUCUGCUCCACUUCGAUUCUCAGCAUCUGGAGGGGAUGGUGAGAUGAGGUCUGCCUGCGCAUCGGUCGGAAUGGUCACGGUCCCAAGGGCCCCAACAUCUCCGACGAAGUCGGUAAUAGCCCCUUGACGGGAGAACUCUUCGACGAGGCCUUGAUAAACCGGCCUCCACCACUCUAAGUUGGGAUCCUCAUUUACAUCCCCCUCAAAACCCGGGAUCACGUCGUCGGGGAGGUCCUCUGCCAGUUCGUUUUCCACCAACGGGAACUCGAUGCCGGCACCGCCUAACCUCUUCCGAACAGCCGCAACCGCUGACGAAAAGAAGAAACGAGCUAAACCUGAAGCUUCUCGAGUAAAAGUGGUGGAACGCCAUAAUCGGUGAAAGAAGCGGCGAACAAACUCCUCGAUGAAGCGAAGACCCUCGGGCGACCCCGGGAACAACCUUUGCCCCUCUUUCACCCCUUCGGUGAAAUUGGUGGAAGCUUGUACUCCAGCUGCGAACAGCUCGUUGGAAAGCCCCUUAGCUUUCUCCUCCAAACUGGCAUUGUGGGAUGCAAGGGAGUCUUUUUCAGCUUCAAGGAUUUUUUCUCUCUCUUUCAGCCUCUUCACUUCGGCAAACAGCCCCUCCUUCGAAGACUCCGACAUCCCCAGGCUCUCCUUUAAACCCCGGACUUCCUUCCGGAGCUGCAUCACCUCUUUCCUCUGAUUAUCAUACGCCUCGCGUGACACAUCGUCCCACCCUAAAGGGCCCGAAAAGGCGAUGGCGAAUUGCUGCACCCACAAAGAGGUUAAAUAGAGUCAAUCUCAAAUACAAGAUGCAAUGGCAAAGAUUGAUUCACAAAGACAGAGUGAAACAAACCUGUGUAAUGUUAUGGAGAAGCAGCUCAAGUCGGUCGCCCUUACUCAUUUGCCCGAAAUGGGCGACAUCGGUGGGGAAUGCCAAGGACCGGCACGCAGCAAUAGCGUUUUCAGCAUUCCGGCAGAGGUACAGUCCAAAGUCGGCCGGUAAAGAUGACCCAGCCGCCCCAAGGGCCAACUCAGAUCUCCGUUUCUUCGGAGCGGGUUCCCUCUCUAUCACUUCUUCGGUUGAAGAAGGAGGCGGUGAUGAGGCAAUAACUAUAGCGGAGGAUCGCUGAGGAGGCUCAGAAUCCUCAGGUCGCGAGGGAGGACCACUGCGGACGCGAGAAGGAGCGGUGCUUUUCUUCGAUGGCCGGGGCCUUAAAGCCCCUUCUUCUGAAGGCCUUUUCUCGGAUUCAGCGAUUAGAGGGCGCUGAAACUCGGAAGCAUCGAACCCAGGCUCCGGCUCGGAAGGACGGGUAGCCGGUUUUUCACCUCGGAACAUCCUCUUCAUCCUUAGAUCUGCGCACCGAAGCAAACGGGCAAGAGGAGAUAAAUGGGUGAGAAACAAGACAUAAACGUACAUAAUUAGCGAAGCAACAAAAAAUAAACCGACUGAAGUAAGGCAAUGAGUCGAAGUAAAAAUCAGUGUUAUAACCAAACCCACCUAAAUCUUCCCGAGUUAGAGAAUAUGUGCCGUUGUCGUGAAAAUAGAAGUGGCGAAGCAUUGGCGGAAAGCUGGUAAGGCUAUCCGGGACGCCGUAGCUCGGUUGGAAAUGGGAUAUCAUUUUCAACAAACAUUCGUCAACCGCCAAAGGUUUCCCCCUUUUCUUUUCAGGCAGGGUGGCGAACCAAGGACACAAAUAAGGCGUGUCAACAGGAUUUCGGGCAAAGAAAUAAUGACCUUGCCACCCAUCGGUCUUAUUAGGUGGCAUCAGAAUCUUAAAACCCGGCCGAGCCGAGAUAGAGACAUGGAAAGGACUUGAAUUUUUUAAUACCAUGACGCUUCGAAAGCGAGCUGGUGUGGGAAUCACCCCCGACCAGGCGCACAGCAUGCGAAACCCGGUCAUGAUUAUUAUGGCGUGGGGAUGAAAUUGGUUAAGGGACACGUUACAUAAUUGGGCAAUCUCGGAAAACCAGGGCGAGAUGGGGAAAGACAGACCAAAAUAGAACUGCUCUGAAAACCAAGUACUAAAACCUAAAGGAGGGUUUAGAGGGCGAUCAUCUCGCGAAGGCAGAACCAGUUCGACAUCGGUAGGGAGGCCUAUGUCGCGAACUAAGUUAGUUAAAUCUGUCUCACUUAAAGUGCUAGGUCCCCAUUGGUCAUCAAAAUCUCGUCCUUCAGAUAAGGAAGGGGAACCACUCCUCGCAGAGGACGAAAUUUCUUUUCUGUUUUUCUUCUUGGGUCGCUCCAAAAGUUUGCCCGAGGGAGAGAAGAAAGGUCCCUCAUCCGACGAAGAAGAGAUAGAGAAGGCGGGGUUUUCACCCCCCUCCCCGGAGGGCACUUUUUGGCCGAAUGGAUCAGGGGAAUUGGCAGACAUUAUCGAAUUGAAGAAUAAGAUGGAGGUAAUAAAAGAUGGGGAAGAGAAGUAAUACCUUGGCUGGAGAAAAAAAAAGUGGGCUUGAGGGAGGAAAGCUCUGUCUCAGAAAAUGGAAUCACCAGAAAUCAAGCAGGAGGAGAGAUGCGUAGGCAAAAAGAAAAAACUUUUACAAGUUGGGUUAAUGGGGUAUUUAUAGGGAAAGAGAUAAAAGGAAAUUAGAUCUCAACCACUCAUUCGGACGAACGAGAUCAAAAGCAGGCCGCCUCGAAUUCGGCGCGGAAAGCACCGAUUGACAUUCCCUCAUUAUGACCUAGGGAACUCGAAUCGACUGCAUUGAUUGAUAGGACAGCAGAGGGCGGUAGAGCACGCUUCCCCAUCAAAGAUUAAACGCUAAAAACGAACUGUUACCUCGCACUCCAUACUCCAUAUUCAUCGAACGGGACAAAACAGAAGUUUUAUCUCGCCCGAUAAUUAAGGAGUAGGGGGGAGUAGUUGAUACGGGCCAUUCUGGAAAGAUCCAAUACGAAUUAGGCCCACGACAAUAGGCCCAUGACAAUUCAGCCCAAUGAUAUAAAAAGACCAUUAGGUCGUACGACCUCAACGACGAACUGCGGAACUUCGGCUCGCAGGCCCAGUAUCGGCUCGUGGUAAAUCGAGCCCAGGGCAAUACAGGCCCAAACACGUAACUUGAAGAGGGAGCAAACCCUAAAAAAGGAAACCUUGGAGGCCAAGGUUUCCUCAUCUAUAAAUAGAAGGAUCAUCAAACACACGCACACACGAAAAAUACACCACUUUACUGUUACAUUACACACAUUUAUUCCUCUAUUCCGAUCACUGACUUGAUCGUCGGAGCUCUCCCGCCGGGAACCCCUCCCGGCGUUGCAGGUACCAUCAUCGGAGUAAGCACGGAAGGUGACUCGAGGAAGACGAAGCCCCACAGACAAAAUCAAGUGGCGCCGUCUGUGGGAAAGGCCUAAAAAUCAGGAGAAAACAGCUUCCGGGAAAAAUCAGAUCUACCCCCGGAAGUCCAGAUCUGAGCUGAGAACGUGGAGAAAGAAUGGACGGAGAAGACGCAGUCGCUCGGAAUUUGCAGAAGGAUUUGGAUGCGGUAGCCCGUGGUGCACCGGUUGACCCAUCGUCCGUUCAGAAAGAUAGAUCGGGGUGUAGCUUCCUUACACCUGAAAAGGAGGGCCGGAUCCCCUUCGCUCCAAGCAGCCCCUCUUUCGAGUUCCAGGAUGGCGAAGCUGCUUCGAGAAGGCCAGCCACAACCCCCGCUCAGGCUCCUAAUGAGCGCACGUAUACCCGAGACGAGGUGGAAACCAUGAUCACCGCGGCUAUCAGAAACUACACCCAAAGUUUACCUCACGAUAACCGACUCAGGAGGGAUCCCAGACAUUCCCCGAACGAGGGACGAGCUGAUGACGAAGGCGACAGUUAUUCGGAAAAUCGAAGAGGCGAUAGUCAUAGAGUCAGGACCGAGGUAGACAGCCUGAGACGCGACAUGAAUGAAUUAAAGGCCCUACGGAACAGGCCAGGGCGGGAUCUCGUGGGAUCUAGCCCUUUCGCAAAACACCUUGAUGAUGACCCCAUACCCGCUAGCUACCGACCCAUUUCGUUCGAAUACAAUGGCACAUCGGAUCCCGCCGAACACCUAAGCCGUUUCAACAACACCGCCUCGCUUCAUCAGCUCACAGAAGGAGUGAGAUGUCGUGCCUUCGCUACCACCCUAGCUGGAUCCGCUCAGGCCUGGUUCGGUUUAUUGCCUCCCGGGAGCGUGCAAUCUUUCGAGCAAUUUGCCAAGGCUUUCAUGAACCAGUUCGCCAGUUCAAAAAAGUGCAAGAAAACCUCCCUGUCGCUAUUCAGCAUUCGCCAGAAGGAGAAAGAAAGCCUCAGAAGUUACAUCAAACGGUUUACAUCGGCCACCCUGGAAGUCCCGACUACCAGUGACGAGGUGCUUAUGGCGGCUCUUUCGCAAGGAUUAAGAGAUGAUGAGUUUUUCCGAGCUUUGGCGUUGGAGCCGUCCCCUGAUUUCGAUAACUUAUUAGAGAGAGCGUCUAGGUUCAUCAACUUAGAAGAAGCCCGCCAACAAAAAGUGGAGGAAUCCCACCAAGUCGCGAACGUACGGGUUAGUGAAGUAAAGAGAGGCAAGGAACCCGUGUUACCUCGCAGGGAUGCCAAUGCUCCUAGUCGGAGUAUUGUCCCAGAUGCUAAGGGAUCCCGGUUCCAAUCUUAUCAACCCCUCACGGCUCCUCUGUCCCAGGUGUUGUGCGCGAUCGAGAAGAGGGUUGAUCUCCGGUGGCCCCGAACAGCUCGCGGAGCCCCCCGUCGAGAUCCGGCGUUGGGAACUUUCUGUCGUUUUCAUAACGAAUAUGGACAUACGACCGACGACUGCGCACACUUGAAAGACGAGGUGGAACGCCUCAUUAGAGACAACAAGAUCGGAGAUUUUGUGAAGAUAGAUUCACCCCGCGGACAAAAGCGUGAAGCCCAGUUUGGGAACCCGCCACGAGCACCGCCUCCACCGCCCGCGCCGAAAAGAGGAUACAUUCAGAUGAUUUCGGGGGGCCCUACGGGAGGAGAUACCCAUCGGGCUAGGAGACGUCAUCUCGGUAACCUUAAGAACCAACGCGAAAUCUGCCAGAUUUCUACAUCGAAGAGUCGUCAAUACCCCACUAUAUCGUUUGGUCCCGAAGACGAGGGGGAUCUGGAGGAUUUCCAUUGCGACCCUCUUCUCAUUACAAUUAAUGUUGGUGGGUAUGAGGUCGCCCGUGCUUUCGUUGAUCCGGGAAGUUCAGUGGAUGUUAUGUCCUAUGAGUGCUUCCUACAGAUGGAACUGGACCUCCCAGUUUUUCCUGUCACUACUCCGAUAUUCGGAUUCACAGGAGGGUCCCUGACGCCGAUUGGCCAAGUUAAAAUUCCCGUCACCAUAGGGACGCCACCUCGAACCCGCACACAAGCUGUCAAUUUUGUCAUCGUGGAAGGAUCGCCGACUUCGUAUAACAUCGUAAUAGGACGACCGAUGCUGCAUACCUUUCGGGCGGUCCCUUCAACCAUUCACCAGAAGCUUAAGUUCCCAGUCGAUGGGAUGGUAGGAGAGGUCCGGGGAGAUCAAGCCCAGUCAAGAUCAUGUUAUGUUGAGAUGGUUAGGGUAGCAGAGAGAGGGCGACGUGACACUCUCACUAAAGAAGAUUUGGGAGACGAGAAACGCCCCCGAAUUGACCCUGAGGAUAAGGUUAAUCAUGUACAGCCUAUGGACGAACUGAUGAUGGUUGACCUCGUCCCUGGCAUGAUGAAGCAAACUCGAAUAAGCAAGGACUUAGAACCACUUCUCCGAGAUGAGCUGAUAGCGUUGUUGCGAUCUAAUGAGGAUAUCUUCGCAUGGCAAUCAAGUGAUUUAACCGGUAUCUCACCUCGCACUGUCGUGCACAGGCUCAAUUUGCGACCUGAGUGUAGACCCGUCAAACAAAAACGACGACACUUCGGUACUGAAAAGGAUGAAAUCAUACAAAAAGAGGUUCAACGACUUCUGGACAUCGGACAUAUUAGGGAAAUUCAAUUCCCCACAUGGUUGUCCAACGCAGUUUUGGUACAGAAAGCCAACGGCCAGUGGCGAAUGUGCAUCGAUUUCAGGGACUUAAACAAGGCCUGCCCUAAAGACGAUUAUCCCUUACCUCGCAUAGAUCAGCUUGUAGAUGCCACUGCCGGGUGCGAGCUACUUAGUAUGAUGGAUGCUUCGCAAGGAUACCAUCAGAUCCCGUUGGACGAGAAGGAUCAGCCAGCAGUAAGCUUUGUCACAGCCACGGGUACUUAUUGUUACGUGGUGAUGCCUUUUGGUUUGAAGAAUGCAGGGGCCACGUAUCAGCGAUUAAUGGAUAGAAUGUUUCGGGCUCAGCUCGGACGCAACAUCGAAGUCUACGUGGAUGACAUGCUAGUUAAAAGCAAGCAGCGCUCCACACAUCUCGCGGAUCUAGCUGAAACGUUUGCCACUCUUCGUUUGUAUGGAAUGAAACUCAAUCCUGCGAAAUGUGCAUUUGCGGUACAAGCUGGAAAGUUCUUAGGGUAUAUUGUUAACCGGGAAGGUAUCAAAGUGAACCAGGAUAAGGUUGAGGCCGUACUCCAAAUGACACCCCCUCGCUCCAUCAAGGAGGUCCAAUCCUUAGCAGGGAAGGUAGUAGCCUUAGCUCGAUUUAUAUCGCGUAUGGCUGACAAGAGUUUACCUUUCUUUAAAAUAUUAAGAAAAACGGCCCAAUUUGAAUGGACUACCGAGUGCCAGCUCGCAUUCGACGCGCUAAAGCGAUCCCUUACUUGUUUACCGAUCCUUAGCAUUCCAGAAAAAGGGGAAACACUGUUCAUAUAUCUGUCAGUAGGCGAUGAAUCAAUCAGUUCGGUUCUGUUCAAAGAAGUGAAUAACCAACAAAAGCCAAUCUAUUAUAUUAGCAAAAUCCUUACUACGUCGGAAAGUAAAUAUUCUGAAGUCGAGAAAAUAGCGUAUGCUCUGGUCCUCACCACACGACGACUCCGGCCUUAUUUCCUAUCGCAUACCAUGGUGAUCCGCACAAGUCUACCACUUCGGCAAACCUUAGGUCAACCUACUGCGUCAGGACGAAUUGUCAAAUGGGCCAUCGAACUAGGACAAUACGAGAUUCAGUAUCAACCUCGUACCUCGGUUAAAGGGCAAGCCCUGGCAGAUUUCAUCCGGGAAACUACCAGGAUACCAGUCGAAAAGGAGUGGAAAAUUUACGUGGAUGGGUCGUCAACAACAACCGGAGCAGGGGCAGGAAUAAUAGUCAUUGAUCCCACCAGAACGGAGUUUGAGUUCGCCGUCAAACUACCUCGGGUUUCUAACAACGAGGCGGAGUACGAAGCUUUCAUCCGAGGAAUGGAGAUUGCCCAGGAACUCGGAGCACGAGUGGUGCGAAUAUACUCUGAUUCACAACUGGUGAUACACCAACUAGAGGGAGAUUAUGAAGUAAAAAAUGAUAGAAUGAAGGGAUAUGUGAAUAAAGCUCGAGCAGUACAAGAAACUUUCGAAGCCUGUACGGUGCAUCAACUUCCGAGGAGCGACAACCAACGAGCUGACUUCCUCGCUAAAAUUGGGUCAUCAGUUGUUGACUGUGUCGAGCGAAAAAUUACCAUCCUCAUCGCCCCUACCCCGAUGCAAGGAGUCAUGGUAAUCGAUGAAGAAUCUGACUGGAGAACACCUUUGUUCAGAUAUUUUAGAGGAGAGCGUUUUGGCACGAAGAGGGAACAGCAUCGUUUGGCAUAUAAAGCAAGGCACUUUUAUGUGCGACACGAGGUAUUGUAUAAAAGGACCUUCACCACGGUGGAUGCAAGGUGCCUAGGAAAACAAGAGGCGAAAUGUGUCCUGGACGAAGUACACCGAGGAGGUUGUGGGGAGCAUGGAGGAGCUCGGGCCCUCAUGCAAAAAUUACAUCGGGCCGGGUAUUAUUGGCCCGGCAUGAAGAGAGACACCCAUCAAUAUGUACAACAUUGCGCGCAAUGUCAGAAAUUUGCCCCACUUAUCCAUAAACCAGGAGAAGAAAUGACUAUUAUGAGCGCUCCAUGCCCUUUCGCCCAAUGGGGAAUUGAUCUGGUGGGACCUUUUCCUCAAACCACCGGUAGGAAGAAAUUUCUUAUUGUUGCGGUGGACUAUUUCACCAAGUGGGUUGAAGCUGAGGCUUUGUCUAAAAUAACAGAAGAUGAGGUAAUGCACUUCAUUUGGAAGUAUAUAUGCUGCCGGUUUGGCCUACCUCGCAGUAUUGUGUCAGACAAUGGUACUCAGUUCAACGGCAAAAAGAUCCGCGCAUGGUGCGAAGAGAUGAAGAUAACACAGAAAUUUGUGGCGGUAGCACACCCCCAGGCUAAUGGCCAAGUGGAAUCCACAAACCGGACCAUCGUCAACGGUCUGAAGAAAAGACUGGAUGAGCUAGGAGGAAGCUGGGUCGACGAGCUGCCCUCGGUCCUAUGGUCUUACCGGACAUCGGCCAAAGCAGCUACCGGCGAGACACCAUUUCGAUUAACCUAUGGAACCGACGCUGUUAUUCCGGUUGAGGUGGCAAUGGACACACUUCGCAUCGCUACAUUUGAUGAGAAAACAAACGAUGAAGCCUUGAGGACACAGCUGGAUGAGGUCUUUGACCUGCGAGAAGCGGCGUACCUACACAUGGAGCGAAGUAAGAACCUGAUCAAAGCACGAUACGAUCAAGGGGUAUGGCCUCGUUCAUUCCAGAUCGGCGACCUGGUCUUGCGCCGAGCUGACGCACUAAAACACACAGGAAAGUUAGAGGCUAAUUGGGAAGGACCAUACAUGGUCACAAAAUGUUUGGCUGGUGGAGGGUAUGAACUAGCAGACGUAGAAGGAAAACCACUGCCACGGGCAUGGAAUGUCAUCCAUUUAAAACGCUUCUUCGCGUAAAAAAAAAAAAAAAAAAAAAAAAAAAAAAAAAAAAAAAAAAAAAAAAAAAAAAAAGAGCGAAGGAGGACAGAUAGUCAGUGAAAUCGAGACACACCUUGUACGCACAAAAAACCAUUAAUAAACAUCCAUUUUCCGAUCUGGGCUAGGCCCCGUGGUUUUUUCUCUCCUUAUUUGGAGGGUUUCCACGUUAAAAAAGUACUUGUGUUAUUUACUUAAGUUAUAACUGUGGCGUUAACUCGCGUGUUUCACCGUGGCGUUAACUCGCGUAUUUUAUUGUGGCGUUAAAUCGCGUGUUUCACCGUGGCGUUAACUCGCGUGUUUUAUUGUGGCGCUAAAUCGCGUGUUUCAUUGUGGCGUUAACUCGCGUGUUUCAUUGUGGCGUUAACUCGCGUGUUCCAUUGUGGCGUUAACUCGCGUGUUUCAUUGUGGCGUUAACUCGCGUGUUUUAUUGUAGCGUUAAAUCGCGUGUUUCACCGUGGCGUUAACUCGCGUGUUUCACCGUGGCGUUAACUCGCGUGUUUUAUUGUGGCGUUAAAUCGCGUGUUUCACCGUGGCGUUAACUCGCGUGUUUUAUUGUGGCGUUAAAUCGCGUGUUUCAUUGUGGCGUUAACUCGCGUGUUUCACCGUGGCGUUAAAUCGCGUGUUUCACCGUGGCGUUAACUCGCGUGUUUUAUUGUGGCGUUAAAUCGCGUGUUUCAUUGUGGCGUUAACUCGCGUGUUUCAUUGUGGCGUUAACUCGCGUGUUUCAUUGUGGCGUUAAAUCGCGUGUUUUAUUGUAGCGUUAAAUCGCGUGUUUCACCGUGGCGUUAACUCGCGUGUUUCAUUGUGGCGUUAACUCGCGUGUUUCACCGUGGCGUUAAAUCGAGUGUUUUACUAAAGUAAGUAAAAAGUGUGUUCUAGUAUGACGAUGUUUCGUGUUUUCUGUUGCAGCGCUAAGUCGCGUAUUCAUAAGCGAGAUGAUGGGGUCAAGCAUCAAGUUGAAAAUAUAAAAACAGUUUUCUGAGAUCAAGUUAACUGAUAAGCUCAGAGGAUAAGCACAAAUGAGAAUGAUCGGGGAUAUGAAAAUAUGGGACUGAACUCGAAGUCAAGACAAGACAAAUAUAAAGGGCUCGAAGCACAAAUUUGAAAAAUGAAUAAAGACGCUUCGGAACAUAUGGAAAAACGGAGGAAUUGUUAAGGAUACAUGGCAAAACGAAAUAAAGAAAAUAAUGUUUAAAAAAGAUACAUAUUCAGAAUACAAAACAGAAAAAGGUUAAGUUUUCUUCAUAGUCUUCACUUCGGGAUGGCCGUGUCUGCUUCACUNNNNNNNNNNNNNNNNNNNNNNNNNNNNNNNNNNNNNNNNNNNNNNNNNNNNNNNNNNNNNNNNNNNNNNNNNNNNNNNNNNNNNNNNNNNNNNNNNNNNGCCUGGCUGUGCCUCUUCGGAAUGGUCACGGUCCCAAGGGCCCCAACAUCUCCGACGAAGUCGGUAAUAGCCCCUUGACGGGAGAACUCUUCGACGAGGCCUUGAUAAACCGGCCUCCACCACUCUAAGUUGGGAUCCUCAUUUACAUCCCCCUCAAAACCCGGGAUCACGUCGUCGGGGAGGUCCUCUGCCAGUUCGUUUUCCACCAACGGGAACUCGAUGCCGGCACCGCCUAACCUCUUCCGAACAGCCGCAACCGCUGACGAAAAGAAGAAACGAGCUAAACCUGAAGCUUCUCGAGUAAAAGUGGUGGAACGCCAUAAUCGGUGAAAGAAGCGGCGAACAAACUCCUCGAUGAAGCGAAGACCCUCGGGCGACCCCGGGAACAACCUUUGCCCCUCUUUCACCCCUUCGGUGAAAUUGGUGGAAGCUUGUACUCCAGCUGCGAACAGCUCGUUGGAAAGCCCCUUAGCUUUCUCCUCCAAACUGGCAUUGUGGGAUGCAAGGGAGUCUUUUUCAGCUUCAAGGAUUUUUUCUCUCUCUUUCAGCCUCUUCACUUCGGCAAACAGCCCCUCCUUCGAAGACUCCGACAUCCCCAGGCUCUCCUUUAAACCCCGGACUUCCUUCCGGAGCUGCAUCACCUCUUUCCUCUGAUUAUCAUACGCCUCGCGUGACACAUCGUCCCACCCUAAAGGGCCCGAAAAGGCGAUGGCGAAUUGCUGCACCCACAAAGAGGUUAAAUAGAGUCAAUCUCAAAUACAAGAUGCAAUGGCAAAGAUUGAUUCACAAAGACAGAGUGAAACAAACCUGUGUAAUGUUAUGGAGAAGCAGCUCAAGUCGGUCGCCCUUACUCAUUUGCCCGAAAUGGGCGACAUCGGUGGGGAAUGCCAAGGACCGGCACGCAGCAAUAGCGUUUUCAGCAUUCCGGCAGAGGUACAGUCCAAAGUCGGCCGGUAAAGAUGACCCAGCCGCCCCAAGGGCCAACUCAGAUCUCCGUUUCUUCGGAGCGGGUUCCCUCUCUAUCACUUCUUCGGUUGAAGAAGGAGGCGGUGAUGAGGCAAUAACUAUAGCGGAGGAUCGCUGAGGAGGCUCAGAAUCCUCAGGUCGCGAGGGAGGACCACUGCGGACGCGAGAAGGAGCGGUGCUUUUCUUCGAUGGCCGGGGCCUUAAAGCCCCUUCUUCUGAAGGCCUUUUCUCGGAUUCAGCGAUUAGAGGGCGCUGAAACUCGGAAGCAUCGAACCCAGGCUCCGGCUCGGAAGGACGGGUAGCCGGUUUUUCACCUCGGAACAUCCUCUUCAUCCUUAGAUCUGCGCACCGAAGCAAACGGGCAAGAGGAGAUAAAUGGGUGAGAAACAAGACAUAAACGUACAUAAUUAGCGAAGCAACAAAAAAUAAACCGACUGAAGUAAGGCAAUGAGUCGAAGUAAAAAUCAGUGUUAUAACCAAACCCACCUAAAUCUUCCCGAGUUAGAGAAUAUGUGCCGUUGUCGUGAAAAUAGAAGUGGCGAAGCAUUGGCGGAAAGCUGGUAAGGCUAUCCGGGACGCCGUAGCUCGGUUGGAAAUGGGAUAUCAUUUUCAACAAACAUUCGUCAACCGCCAAAGGUUUCCCCCUUUUCUUUUCAGGCAGGGUGGCGAACCAAGGACACAAAUAAGGCGUGUCAACAGGAUUUCGGGCAAAGAAAUAAUGACCUUGCCACCCAUCGGUCUUAUUAGGUGGCAUCAGAAUCUUAAAACCCGGCCGAGCCGAGAUAGAGACAUGGAAAGGACUUGAAUUUUUUAAUACCAUGACGCUUCGAAAGCGAGCUGGUGUGGGAAUCACCCCCGACCAGGCGCACAGCAUGCGAAACCCGGUCAUGAUUAUUAUGGCGUGGGGAUGAAAUUGGUUAAGGGACACGUUACAUAAUUGGGCAAUCUCGGAAAACCAGGGCGAGAUGGGGAAAGACAGACCAAAAUAGAACUGCUCUGAAAACCAAGUACUAAAACCUAAAGGAGGGUUUAGAGGGCGAUCAUCUCGCGAAGGCAGAACCAGUUCGACAUCGGUAGGGAGGCCUAUGUCGCGAACUAAGUUAGUUAAAUCUGUCUCACUUAAAGUGCUAGGUCCCCAUUGGUCAUCAAAAUCUCGUCCUUCAGAUAAGGAAGGGGAACCACUCCUCGCAGAGGACGAAAUUUCUUUUCUGUUUUUCUUCUUGGGUCGCUCCAAAAGUUUGCCCGAGGGAGAGAAGAAAGGUCCCUCAUCCGACGAAGAAGAGAUAGAGAAGGCGGGGUUUUCACCCCCCUCCCCGGAGGGCACUUUUUGGCCGAAUGGAUCAGGGGAAUUGGCAGACAUUAUCGAAUUGAAGAAUAAGAUGGAGGUAAUAAAAGAUGGGGAAGAGAAGUAAUACCUUGGCUGGAGAAAAAAAAAGUGGGCUUGAGGGAGGAAAGCUCUGUCUCAGAAAAUGGAAUCACCAGAAAUCAAGCAGGAGGAGAGAUGCGUAGGCAAAAAGAAAAAACUUUUACAAGUUGGGUUAAUGGGGUAUUUAUAGGGAAAGAGAUAAAAGGAAAUUAGAUCUCAACCACUCAUUCGGACGAACGAGAUCAAAAGCAGGCCGCCUCGAAUUCGGCGCGGAAAGCACCGAUUGACAUUCCCUCAUUAUGACCUAGGGAACUCGAAUCGACUGCAUUGAUUGAUAGGACAGCAGAGGGCGGUAGAGCACGCUUCCCCAUCAAAGAUUAAACGCUAAAAACGAACUGUUACCUCGCACUCCAUACUCCAUAUUCAUCGAACGGGACAAAACAGAAGUUUUAUCUCGCCCGAUAAUUAAGGAGUAGGGGGGAGUAGUUGAUACGGGCCAUUCUGGAAAGAUCCAAUACGAAUUAGGCCCACGACAAUAGGCCCAUGACAAUUCAGCCCAAUGAUAUAAAAAGACCAUUAGGUCGUACGACCUCAACGACGAACUGCGGAACUUCGGCUCGCAGGCCCAGUAUCGGCUCGUGGUAAAUCGAGCCCAGGGCAAUACAGGCCCAAACACGUAACUUGAAGAGGGAGCAAACCCUAAAAAAGGAAACCUUGGAGGCCAAGGUUUCCUCAUCUAUAAAUAGAAGGAUCAUCAAACACACGCACACACGAAAAAUACACCACUUUACUGUUACAUUACACACAUUUAUUCCUCUAUUCCGAUCACUGACUUGAUCGUCGGAGCUCUCCCGCCGGGAACCCCUCCCGGCGUUGCAGGUACCAUCAUCGGAGUAAGCACGGAAGGUGACUCGAGGAAGACGAAGCCCCACAGACAAAAUCAAGUGGCGCCGUCUGUGGGAAAGGCCUAAAAAUCAGGAGAAAACAGAUCUGAGCUGAGAACGUGGAGAAAGAAUGGACGGAGAAGACGCAGUCGCUCGGAAUUUGCAGAAGGAUUUGGAUGCGGUAGCCCGUGGUGCACCGGUUGACCCAUCGUCCGUUCAGAAAGAUAGAUCGGGGUGUAGCUUCCUUACACCUGAAAAGGAGGGCCGGAUCCCCUUCGCUCCAAGCAGCCCCUCUUUCGAGUUCCAGGAUGGCGAAGCUGCUUCGAGAAGGCCAGCCACAACCCCCGCUCAGGCUCCUAAUGAGCGCACGUAUACCCGAGACGAGGUGGAAACCAUGAUCACCGCGGCUAUCAGAAACUACACCCAAAGUUUACCUCACGAUAACCGACUCAGGAGGGAUCCCAGACAUUCCCCGAACGAGGGACGAGCUGAUGACGAAGGCGACAGUUAUUCGGAAAAUCGAAGAGGCGAUAGUCAUAGAGUCAGGACCGAGGUAGACAGCCUGAGACGCGACAUGAAUGAAUUAAAGGCCCUACGGAACAGGCCAGGGCGGGAUCUCGUGGGAUCUAGCCCUUUCGCAAAACACCUUGAUGAUGACCCCAUACCCGCUAGCUACCGACCCAUUUCGUUCGAAUACAAUGGCACAUCGGAUCCCGCCGAACACCUAAGCCGUUUCAACAACACCGCCUCGCUUCAUCAGCUCACAGAAGGAGUGAGAUGUCGUGCCUUCGCUACCACCCUAGCUGGAUCCGCUCAGGCCUGGUUCGGUUUAUUGCCUCCCGGGAGCGUGCAAUCUUUCGAGCAAUUUGCCAAGGCUUUCAUGAACCAGUUCGCCAGUUCAAAAAAGUGCAAGAAAACCUCCCUGUCGCUAUUCAGCAUUCGCCAGAAGGAGAAAGAAAGCCUCAGAAGUUACAUAAAAUAGGAGAAUACAAAAUGACCAACCAAUGAAAUAAAUAAUCAGAAGAAGAGGGCAUUCGACAUUAUUUCACAAAAGAUCUAUGAGCAAUUUGGACCAAUACUUAGGGAUGGCAAUUUAACUCGCUCCACUGAGUACUAGCCCUGUCCCGCUUUCCCUGGGAUUUAACGGGUAAUCCCCGGCUCGUUAGCUAAUGGGGGUGGAUACGUGUUUUAUAAAUUUUAACUGUAAGCGAUACGGAUUUUGAACAUAUGUACCCUUACUCGCCUUGUAUUCAACCUGUUAAUAUAUUUUUAUUAAUUUUAUAUAUUAUUGAUAUGCCUAAUUGACCCAACCCAAUGGGCCUACAAAUUAUUUACCUACUGGGCCACGAGCCCAAUAUCGAAGACCACUAUCACCGAUGCCCAAUCACCUUCAAGUAAGGUUUGGGCCCGACAAUCUCAACUAAGCUAUAAAUAAAAGUUUGAACUCAUUCUUCAAGGUACGUCCUAUUAUCUGAGCAAUACUAUUAAAUGUAUUCUCUCGACUAUUUCUACUAUCAGCACGUCUGACUUGAGCGUCGGAGGGGUUUCCGCCGAAUCAACCCCCGGCCUAGUUCACGUGUUCUAUGAUCGCAGGUACCUCAGGAUCAUCAAGUUGUCAAGCUACUGAUUCGCUUUGCUCUCCCAAUUCGUUUUCUACACUACCCCAUGUGAUCGAAGUAAUUAGCAUUAUCAUUUUGGCGCCGUCUGUGGGAACGAUGCAAACCAGAUCACGUAGCCAACAAGAUCCUCCUGAGGCGUCAGCUCGGAGAGAAAAUGACGCAGCUAAUCAAGAUCCUCAUGAGGCGUCAGCUCGGACAGAAAAUGACACAGCUAAUCAAGAUCCUCCUGAGGCGUCAGCUCGGAGAGAAAAUGACACAGCUAAUCAAGAUCCUCCUGAGGGGUCAGCUCGGAGAGAAAAUGACACAGCUAAUAACCUCCCAGUCCGUGGAGGAUCUGGCAUGCCACCUCUUCCACGUGCCGCGGAGCCACUUCCUCCACGUGCCGCAGAGCCAGCUCCUCCACGUGUUGCAGAUCCACCUCGCGAGGUUCAGGUGAUCCCUCAUCGGGACCCACCACUCGCCGAUCCACCACUCCCUGCUCCUCGAACGGUUCAAAUAAUCGAGGACGCGCUCCAACGCAUGAUAGCAGAAGCCUCAACUCGUGCCGCCACGGAGGCCGUAACUCAAUAUAUCGCCACGAUAGGAACAAACGCUCCCAACGCGAUACCAGCACCUGCUCCACAUGUGGAGCCACCUAUGGCACCACUGCCAUCGACUCCCUAGGGGCUUACAUCUGCCCCCAAAAUAUUUCGCUCGCCAAGGGUUAUCGACUCCCUGGGGGCUUACAUCUGCCCCCAAAAUAUUUCGCUCGCCAAGGGUUAUCGACUCCCUGGGGGCUUACCUCUGCCCCCAAAAUAUCUCGCUCGUCAAGGGUUAUCGACUCCCUGGGGGUAUACAGUGCCCCCAAAAUAUUUCGCUCGUCAAGGGUUAUCGACUCCCUGGGGGCUUACAUCUGCCCCCAAAAUAUUUCAUCCGCCAAGGGUUAUCGACUCCUUGGGGGUUUAUAGUGCCCCCAAAAUAUUUUGCUCGCCAUGGGUCAUCGACUCUCUGGGGGCCUACUUCCGCCCCCCCUCGAAUGGUUCAGAUAACCGAAGAGGACCUUCAGCGUAUGAUCGCCGAAACUUCAACAAUAUCAACUUCUACUUGCUCCUCUAACGGUUCAGAUAACCGACAAGGACCUUCAGCAUACGACCGCGAAAGCUUCAACUCGUGUUGUCACUGAAGCAACGACACAACCGUGUGCAUUCACCUCAGACCAUAGGUCUCGAGCGCCUCAUCGUACAGUGGGUGGUUAACCCAUCCCAAGGUUGGGCAUCACCCUUACCUUUCAACCCCAAGUGGGUUCACAUCACAUCGCAAGAGACGAGUAUAAUCCUCCUACUAAAAAAAUAGAACAUCCCAAGGGGUGAACAUCAACCACCAAAAUAAAAAAAAAAGGGGGUAAAAUCGCGCACGCGAAACCCAAGAAAAAAGAAGAAGAUGAAGAAAAAAAAAAAGCAAAGAAGAAGAAAAAAGAAGAAGAUGAAGAACAAAAUAAAAAAUAAAAAAGCAAAGAAGAAGAAAAAAGAAAAAAAAAAAGAAGAGGAUGAAAAGAAGAAGAUGAAAAAAAAAAAGAUGAAAAAACAGAAAAAGAAAGAAGAAGAAAAAAGAAGAAAAAAGAAGAAGAUGAAAAAAAAGAAGAAAAAAGAAAAGAUGAAAAAAGAAGAAGAUGAAAAAAUAGAAGAAAAAAGAAGAAGAUGAAAAAAGAGAAGAAGAAAGAAGAAGAAAAAAGAAGAAGAUGAAAAAAGAGAAGAAGAAAGAAGAAGAAAAAAGAAGAUGAAAAAAUACAAGAACAAGAAGAAGAAAAAAAAAGAGUAAAAGAAGAAGAAGAAACAAAAAAAAAAGAAAAAAGUGAAUAAAGCAAUGCGUCACUCUCGAGGAAGUCCCAUAUCAACUCCUCAUAAAAUGCUCAACAGCUCCACACUCUCUCUCUCCAUGCACUACAUGCGCGCGUGCCCACCUUAUAUGGGCUAGUGCGCACACGGACCCCAAGUGCGCGCGAACUCUGGCACAUCAGCGUCCUACAAUGCGUGCCGCCUCUCCUACAUCAUAGCACGCGCAUACCUGAGGUCGCGCGCAACUCUCAAAAUUCUACCUCAAAUCACGUGAAAAUUUUGACGCACUUUACUAAAUCGCGCAAGAAUUUCUGUGCGCUCCACCAAACCGCUUGAUAGUUUCACCUCGCUUAACCAAAUUGCGCGAGCUCUUCAACGCACCUACCAAAUCGCGCUCGCUAUCAAACGGAUAAAUAAAAAAUAUUAUUUCUCCACGCCACGCCAACGAUUAACGAAACACUACAUCACCGAUCUACUCUCGACACGAUCCGGUAUCAUUUUUGACUAGGCUCCCAAAUCGAAUCGAGAGUGGGGGGGCUAGCGAGACAAACCCACCGCGAGACAACUCCCACGAGGAGCAAACUCGCUCGGCCCUACACACCCGUUGCGAGGCAACUCCCACGAAGAACCAACUCCCUUGGUACCACAACUCACAGCAAGAUAACUCCCACGAGGAGACAACUCGCUCGGUCCUACAAACCCGUUGCGAGACAACUCCCAUGAGGAGCCAACUCCAUCGGUAUUACGAAUCCACAGCGAGACAACUCCCACGAGGAGCCAACUCGCUCGGAACUACAACUCGUAGCGAGACAACUCCCACGAGGAGAUAACUCGCACGGUCAUAUAACCCGUUGCGAGGCAACUCCCACGAGGAGCCAACUCCCUCGGGUCUACGAAACCACAGCGAGAUAACUCCCACGAGGAGACCACUCGCUCCGUCCUAUAACCCGUUGUGAGGCAACUCCCACGAGGAGCCAACUCCCUCGGGUCUCAAAACCACAGCGAGAUAACUCCCACGAGGAGACCACUCGCUCGGUACUACGAACCCGCAGCGUGACAAAUCCCACGAGGAGCCAACUCGCUCGGAACCACAACCCGCAACGAGACAACUCCCACGAGGAGCCAACUCGCUCGAUACUACAAAUCCGUUGCAAGGCAACUCCCACGUACAACCACCUCGCUCGGGUCUACGAAAACACAGCGAGAUAACUCCCACAAGGAGAUAACUCGCUCAGUCAUAUAACCCGUUACGAGGCAACUCCCACGAGGAGUCAACUCCCUCGGGUCUACGAACCCACAGCGAGAUAACUCCUACAAGGAGACCACUCGCUCCAUCCUACGACCCGCAGCGAGGCAACUCCCACGAGGAGCCAACUCGCUCGGUACUACGAACCCGCAGCGAGACAACUCCCACGAGGAGCCAACUCGCUCGGUACCACAACCCGCAGCGAGACAACUCCCACGAGGAGCCAACUCGCUCGAUACUACAAAUCCGUUGCAAGGCAACUCCCACGUACAACCACCUCGCUCGAUAAUAAGACUCGCUGCGAGACAACUCCCACGAGGAGACAACUCGCUCAGAGCAGCCUCAAUCCGCACGCUCCUCAAUCGCGCGUCAUCCAAUGCUCCUACAACUUCGCUGCAAGACAACUCUCUUGAAGAGACAACUCGCUCGCAAUGCACUACAUAAUCGCAAGCUCAAGUUAGCACGAUUACAACCCUAGAAACACUUAGAGAUAUUAUGAGAAUCUAUAUAGCCUGGCCAGCUUGAUUACUCAAAAUUUAUCUACUUGUUUUCGAUGGGUCCUUCAUUAAAACGUGGCCACGGUCCAAACAUACUUACGACCCACGAGGUCUAACAAGGGGCACGAUCCCCAUAAAAAACUCUUGAGAGCCUGAUCCCCUCCUCAAGUACAUCACGCACAAGACUAUAUGCAAACACAUACAAGCAACGCGUCAAAACAUUGACAAUGUCGAUAAAUAACAACUCCCACGAGGAGAUUACUUAAUCUGUGCUACUACAUUAUCACGAGACAACUCCCACGAGGAGAUAACUCGAUCAACUCUAUUACCCCACGACGAGACAACUCCCACGAGGAGAUUACUUGAUCCGUGCUACCACAUUAGCGCGAAACAACUCCCACGAGGAGAUAACUCGAUCAAUUAUAUUACCCCGCGACGAGACAACUCCCACGAGGAGAUAAUUCGCUACUACAUCGUCGCGGGACAACACCGACGACUCAAAUAAGUUACAUAACGACAACUUGGUCGCGCCAACGCGCAUUCACGCCCCUUCGACACACGCUCCAACGCGUUUUCGCACACCAUCGACUACUACAAUUUUUACUCUCGACACGAUCUGUCACCCAUUCCAAUAUGACCCCCACAUCGACUCGAAAGUGGGGGGCUUAAUGAUAUGCCUAAUUGGCCCAACCCAAUGGGCCUACAAAUUAUUUACCUACUGGGCCACGAGCCCAAUAUCGAAGACCACUAUCACCGAGGCCCAAUCACCUUCAAGUAUGGUUUGGGCCCGACAAUCUCAACUAAGCUAUAAAUAAAGGUUUGAACUCAUUCUUCAAGGUACGUCCUAUUAUCUGAGCAAUACUAUUAAAUGUAUUCUCUGGACUAUUUCUACUAUCAGCACGUCUGACUUGAGCGUCGGAGGGGUUUCCGCCGGAUCAACCCCCGGCUUAGUUCAUGUGUUCUAUGAUCGCAGGUAGCUCAGGAUCAUCAAGUUGUCAAGCUACUGAUCUGCUUUGCUCUCCCAGUUCGUUUUCUACACUACUACCCCAGGUGAUCUAAGUAAUUAGCAUCAUCAAUUAUAAAAUGCUAAUUUUUAAAGAUAUUUUAAUUGAAUAAAUUAUAAAUAUAAAAACGUAACGGAUACGAGAUGGGUAGGGGUAGAAAUUUAUACGGAGCGAGGCCGAGUUGAAUAAAAUUAAACCUGUAACGGAUACGAGAUGGGUAGGGGUGGAAAUUUGCUAGCGGGGCGAGUGCGGCUUUUCCAGAACACGCUCCUUACCCGCCGCAUUUGUCAUCCCUACCAGUACUACUCAUAUCAAUCCUCACAUACAUGUUUGAUAGUAUUAUUUGGCUUAUCAUUCUCAAACUAUUACGGUUUACAAUUCGAUUCAUCCAUCCAUUCGAGUUUUCAAUUUUUCGAUUUCAAUUUUGAGAUAAAUUCCAUUCCAUAUAACUCCAUAGUGCAAUUUUAUACAUUUGUUUCUACGAUAUUAGCAUUUUAUUUAAAUUGAUGGCCCUACUAAAUUUUGAGAUACACCCAAUUAUUUGAUAUUGAUUUUUAAAGUCUAAUAUAUGAAUAAUAGGUUUGAGACCAUUACUUGACCUAAUUAAGAGUCUUAAUCAUAAUAUAACUAUUUAAUCUACCCCUAUAGAUACCCCAAAAGCUCAUUAGUCAGGUACGUAAUUGUUUAUUUUUGGAAUUAUCUUCGACUUUCGGUUUCUCUUGUAAUCCAUAAUUUCUAACUUGAGCGUCGGAGAAUUUUUGCACCCACCCCUAAUGCUCCUCGUGAGUACAGGUUCUCGCAUCACAUUUGAGGAUUCCCAUCAACAGUGCUCACAUGAAUGUUCGCCUUAAUUUCUCAACCAUUCAUCUUGCAGUCAUUGGACCCCACACAUGUUAGAUAAGAUGAACAACGAGUCAACUUGUGACUGUGGUCUUUCAUUUAUUCUUGUAAUAAAUAAUCAUUUUUCGUAUUAAACACCUUUUGGCAUUCCAUAUCUUUGUUCCUUGCACAAGCAUAGAUAUAGUACUUACAGUUAUUAUAAUUACUUAUAUUUGAUCUAGUAGGAUCAUGAGAUAUUUACUGAAGUAAUAUAAUUGUUAAACCAUGUUCCUAGUCGACGGGUUACGCCACCAAUGAGAAUAUCGGCAUUUCCCAUUAUAGACUAGCACUUAGUGUAUGUGUAUUGCAUCACAUCAGUAAACGGUAUUGUGAUAUCGGCAUGCGUAAGUGGGUUCUCGUAAGUUGACGAGUUCACUGAACUCCCUCAUCCUAGAAAUCUCUAAGGGGUUCUCAAUAAUCGAGUAGAGAUCUCUAUCAUAUAGUUGUACACCAUUAGUCCUUAAGACCUAGACAUCACCGUGACUUCACUAGAGGACCAGUUGUAUCGUGACCUGUCCCUGAGUUCCACCGAGGACCGCCCCAAGGGUCAGUGUUCGUGCAGUCCAAAAUCUAGUGGGAGGUCUGUGCAAUAGUCUUCGAUGUCCUGUGUGUUCUCAUAGUUUGUAAUCAUUAAGUGUCUGGCCAGAGCUGACUAAGUGAUGAUUAAUAGGUAAUGUGAUUCUCUAAGUCAUGCACGUACCGAUUGCAACACUUAGAACGAUCGCACAAUUAUUGAACUAUAAAGGAGGUCUCGAUGAACCAAUGUCUCUAGUUCAAUCGGGACAUAUGUAUCGAAGGGAUCGUACUGUACGUUAACUAUAUCACACGGUUCUUGCAGGCAUUUCAUUUGUAUCUAGGGAAUCAUGAUGUGUAGUUGUUAGACGUCAAUAUUGAUUCGUUGGGUGAUUAAGUUGAAACGAGCUACAUCUUAAUUAUAACUCUAGGGACGAGUUUAAACCACAGAGGGUUUUGAGCCCACGGCUAGCUUACACAUGAACCAUCGAGGGUCACACUGCUUGUGUACUCGAAUUCAUUGAAUAAACGGUCAAAGAUAAAAAUAUUUAACCUUCGCAUAUUUGGAAGUCAAUACGAUUGAGUCCAACAUUCAUAAUUGGGAAUUAUGAAUGAGAAUAAAAAAAAAUUAAAAAAAAAAAAAGAACUAGGCGAUUAUCUUAGUGAACUUUCCGAAUUGGGAAAUUUCCAGAUUUAGCAGGUUUAUUAAAUUAGGAUUUACAGUUUUAGAAAUUGCAAAUCGAGAAUUGGCAUUCGUAUCAACGAGAACGUGUCAAUGAUCCCAAAAAUAUAAUUGUUAUAAUUUUUCGAUCAUUGGUUUAUGAGAAACGAGCAAAGAAAGACUAACGAGCUUAAGUUGUUGGGCCCGAUCCAACUUAAGUUUGUUAGGGCUUGUAUACAAGACACUAUAAAUACAAGAUUUAUAGGUCUUGCACAUAAGUGAAAACCCUAACUGCUCCACCCACGUCCGUUGCCACCUCCGCCUUCGCCGGAAAUCCACCUCCAUUGAGGUCAAUUGGAGCUCCCCCUGCUUCUGAAAGGGAGCACGUCGUUCAAAUGAGCUAAUUUAAGUGGGGUAUUGUUGGAUAUAGAUUGUUUAAGGAGUUUUGACUAAUCGGUAAUUAUUUGUUGUCCGCUAUUCUUAAUGUUGCUGGGCCAGGGUCACCAGUUGUUACUGUUAAAGGAAUUUUAGAAGAUUGUCCGUAUAAAUAAACAUGGUUUAUUAGUAAGAAUAUCCAAGACAUUUGGGUAUAUUAGGAUGUAAUCACCCAUUUUUUUUAUUAGUCAUACUCUUCUUACUUAUUACUUAAAAUCAGUGUCAAAACUCUUAUAUGGUAUGCCUCAUUUAACCAUCAAUUAUAUAUCACGUCAUAUAUAUGAACACGUAAUUUUCGGUCCAUUAUUAUUACGUAUCUCUCUCUUACGGUCCAUUAUUAUUACGUAUCUCUCUCUUUUCUCGUGGAAUAACUCAGAUCAAUAAAUAGUUGAUUUCAUAAACAUUUGGUUGAGCCCAAUCAGUUUUGCUCUUGCGUUUCUCCAAAAGGUCUCAUACCAAUAAAAUUGUUAUCCCAUCCUUAUAAAUGAGCGAUAUUUCCACUAUUAAAUCGAUGUGGGACUUGGCUUGCACCUCAACAAUCGUCCCCUUAUACCAAUAAAGUUAAGGGUAAAUUCCACUUUACCCCCUCGUACUCUGCCCAAAAAUCACUUUACCCCCUUGUACUCUCAAUUUCAUUGAUUUACCCCCUUGUACUUGUACAAUUUCACAAUACAACCCUCUCCGUCGACUUUUUUUGAUUUUGACUCUGACGCCGUUUGAUCAACUUUGUAAAUUACAAAAUUACCAAUAACAGGUUGUUUCUUCUCCGUCAAUAUUGUCGUUUCUUCUUCUCCCACCACUUCCUCUUCCAAGAUAUCCCCAAAUUGAAGCCCUAACUUAGCAAAAAUGAAGACCAAAAAAUUGAUCGAAUCCACCCAGUGCAAAGAAAAAAAUAUAUGAAUGUGUGAAACUUUCUGUUUUCUAAACUCGAGAGUCAAAAUUAAAAAAAAUUAAUAUUUACGUCAAUAUUUUGACUCUGACCAAACGGCGUCAAAGUCAAAAUCGAAAAAAGUUGACGAAGAGGGUUGUAUUGGGAAAUUGUACAAGUACAGGGGGGUAAAUCGAUGAAAUUGAGAGUACGAGGGGGUAAAGUGAUUCUCGUGCAGAGUACGAGGGGUAAAGUGGAAUUUACCCUAAAGUUAAUAAAGUUGUUAUCCCAUCCUUAUAAAUGAGUGAUCUUUACACUAUUAAAUCGAUGUGGGACUUGGCUUGCACCUUAACAAUCGUCCCCUUAUACCAAUAAAGUUGUGCUAUGCCCUCCUUAUAAAUGAGUGAUCUUUACACUAUUAAACUAAUGUGGGACUUGGCUUGCACCUCAAUAAUCCUCCACUCGAACAAAUGGCCAUAUAGGUCGGACCACAAAGGACCACCGAGUGCACCGGGAGCUCACCAUAUUUGUUCACCGAGUGCACCGGGAGCUCACCAUAUUUGUUCGGCACCGAGGAUUUCGGCAAUACGCAGAUUCCGACAAUUUCCACCACAUGGUUCAGUCUAGGCCAUGGGCCUUGGCUAUGAUACCACUAUUGGAUCCCACCGGGAUAACACAAACUCCACAUUGGAGUGAUAGUGUCCAAAUUGGGCCGAGCCCAAUUGAUUUUGCUCUUGGGUUUCCCCAAAAAGCCUAAUACUAAUAGAGUUGUUAUCCCCUCCUUAUAAAGGAGUGAUCUUUCCAAUAUUAAACCGAUGUGGGACUUGGUUUGCACCUAAAAACGGUAUAUAUGAAGAUGUGUUGAUUUAAUAAGUAGUUGAAUUAAUAAAUAGUCGAUUCAAGAACAAUUGUUUAUUGGGUUAAGUGCACUUUGAAUUUAAGAGCAAUUAUCUUGCUCGAAACCAUGAAGUUACAACAAUCCUACAGUUACAGAAAUGGAUGAUGAACAAUUGACACAAGAAGGAGCCAUAGCAUUCGCUGAUCAUUUUUUAUUAGAUUUUAUGGUACAUAGCCCUAGUAUUAAUGAGAUUGUGGUUAGGGGUGAACAUGAUUGGGUUUGGGUGGGUUUUAAUAAAAAAGUAACACGACCCAACGUAGGCGGAUUGACAAAUUGACAAACCACACCUGCUUCAUUAUGGGUACGAACUGUUCGGUUCGGGUUCUUUUCGGGUUUGGCGGGUCGGUCGGGUUGGCGGGCAGAUUGCAAAAUAUAAAACACUAACCUUUUUUUUACAUCUUAAAAAUACAAUACAAGCAAAAUAAAAGAAAAACUAGAGCUCUGCAAUCAAUCGUCUAUCUAUUAAUAGUGGUGUUUCAGUGAUAGUGACAUUAGCGAGUUGGUGGAGUGCGUGGGGAUUACGAUUGGGAUUAACAAAUCAACCAUUCAAGAAACACCAGCGAAUCUUAUGGUGAAAGGAGAGGCAAUGGUGAUGGAUGUAUCGGUGGGGAUGGUGAGUUACUGUUACAAAAACAACAUAUUGUUAACUUCUGGGUUCUUCAAUUAAAGAUAAGGAUUAGAAAGAUAUGGAGAAUACAUGUAUUGUAUCUUUGGAGUAGAAGAAAUGACGCCAAGAGAAAUGACUAGUGGAGAUAAAUCCUAGAAUUGAUUUAGAGAUGAAAGAUUGAAAGUUUAUAAGGAUAUAUAUAUAUAUAUAUAUAUAUAUAUAUAUAUAUAUAUAUAUAUAUAUAUAUAUAUAUAUAUAUAUAUAUAUAUAUAUAUAUGACGACCCAUUCUUCUAGAUCUGCAUUAAUCCUAUUUCAGGUGCAAAGUCUCUUCAAUAAAGAUAUCUUUCUUUUCUUUCUCUCCCAUUUCUCAUUUUGGUGAUUGAAAGAGAAUAAGCGUUAUUCAUUAAGUAAAGGGAGGGUUUGCAGCAGUGAUUCGGGCAGUUGGUGGCCCCUUCAAGAGCUGCAGGUCCUUGCCACUGCAUGAGUGGUAGCUCACUCUCAAAACUCCUCCGGCACUAGUCCUAGUCGUUGACCGUCGGCUUCGCUUGCGCGAAGCACUUCUGAUUGGUUUCAUUCAUCCCCAACCCUAAUGAAAGGACUAUGAAGAGGUCAAUCAAGCGGUUCGGGUUUCCGGUUGGUUCCCGUUCACCUACCCCCUACAGUUCAUUAGUAGGUAGGGUGGUAAACUUAGAGGAUAUAUAUAUAUAUAUAUAUAUAUAUAUAUAUAUAUAUAUAUAUAUAUAUAUAUAUAUAUAUAUAUAUAUUACAAAGAUACGGGCGGGUCAGGUUGUGGGCGGGUUUAAAGUGCCGGUGUCACAAUUUUAAACUGCUAUCUUAAUUUUUAAAUUAAAAACUUGCGGGUUGCGGGCAGGUCGGAUUUGGCGGGUUUAUAAACACCCCUAAUUGUGGUUGCUGAAAACCAGUAUUUUUUUCUACUUUUUGUACAUUUUUGUUAAUAAUUACUUUAAUCUUAACUUAAGUUAGUUCUACUUUCAGAGACAAUGAGAGUACCAUUGACAUUGCAGCUGAAAUUGUGAAUCACAUGUAUGUACUUUAAAUUCCAUUUAUAGUGAAGCUAAUAAAAAGGAGAGAGACAUAAGCAUGUCUAUUCCAAAAAAUCCAUUAACCUCACCACGUGUCGCCCAUGAAACGGCAUCAAGUUUAAUGUUUUAAAAGGGAGAUCCAUUUAUAAAUUAAUUCCAAUGUUUAAGGGAUUGAAUUUGGAACGGAUCCUCCACUAAGUCUGAUACGUUCACCAAAAAAAAUCCUUUUCUAGCUUUGAAAUUUGAAACAUGGGCGAACGACGGGAAUUGAACCCGCACGUGGUGGAUUCACAAUCUACUGCCUUGACCCACUUGGCUACAUCUGCCCCUCUCGUACCCCUCGUAUUGACUUUUUAAAUAGUCAAAUAUAUAAAAUAUAUAUAAUUUUUUUCGAUUUUAAAGUUUGGAUUUGUUUCAAUUAUAAGACAAAAAAUCUGUAGUAUCAUUCCCUAAAAAAACUCCCUAAACAAUGGGGUCCACAUGCCACCUACUCAGUUUACUAUCUAUCUUAAAGUGGGACUUGCAUUUACAUUCACUGAAAAGAAGGGGAAACAAUUUUGAGAAAAUCCUUUUGCUUUUGAUACAACCAUUCCCAUAAAUUUAAUAUGUCCUUCCAGAACCCUAGUCUCGUUUUUAUUUGUUUCUCUUUUCUUUUCCCGUCUUUUCUCUUUCAAAGUUUUUUUAUGGCCCCCUUUGUCUUCUUUGCUCUUGGGGUGCUUUCGUCGGUGGUUGCUCUCUUUUCGGCGGUCGAAGCUGAGAGAUGUACCCAUCGUUGGCUUCGUCUUGUUGGCGCUAUUCUUCUGAUUGUGAUUUUGAAGGAAUUUAUUCGCGGGUUGGAGAACGGCCUCGUUGUAGCGUCUCUGUCAUUGCAUCUUUCAGUCUAGGAAGGGGGUUGGGGUGAUGGCGACAGGAGUUAAGGGUGGUUUGAUGAGGUUUUGCGGUGUGGCAAUUGAACCCUAGGCGACGAACAGAUCAUGAUUUUGAUGGUGGUGGUUCUAUUUGGGCUGGUGGUGCAGAUUAUAGUGUACAUUGUUUGUAAAUAUUUCUGCGAUUAGAAUAUGGAGGUGGGGACGGUGAUGGUAUGGUGUGGCGACGACAUGGUGAUAAUGGGUUGCACGGAGGGAGUUCGCGGAGGUUGGAUCCUUAAUCGACUAUGUUUUAGUACCCGAUUAAGGUUAAUCAACUACGUUUCAGUAGUCGAUUAAGUUUAAUCGACUAUAUUUUUUAAUUUAUUUUUGAAUUUUGGUUUAUUGUUUCCUUAUUUUCUCACACAUAGUUGGACUUGAGGGCUUAGUAGUGGUGCGUUUUUUUCCUGUCAUUGUCAAUCCAUCAGUCGGUUUAUAUAAAUCAAUUACAAUUCUUGUAUAUUUGUUAAAAAAUAGUUGAUUUUUAUUUUAUUUAUUUUUUAUUUUUGUUAUUUGUUUCGAUUGGUUAUUGUUUUGAUUCUUUUGUUGAAUUGUGUUGGGUUUCAGUAACAUCAUUACGGUUGUUAUUCGUUACUUUAUGUAGUCAAUUUCAUUAUUCAACCACGAUUUUAGUAGUUAGUUCGCUAAUCGACCAUGCUUUAGUCGAUUAACAUCGUAGUCGAUUAACAUACCUGACAAAGGAAAAAAAGUUUAAAAAAAUGAUUGUUUAAAAAUUAAAAAGAUUAUUUUAAAAGAUAAUAAUAAAAAAGUAAAAAACAAAAAUUAUUUAAUUAAAAAAAAAAAGAAAAAACGAAAAUGGGGAUGGGUGUAGUACGAAGAAAAUGUAAUGAACCAUUUGGGGAAUAUAUACGAAGAAGAAAAUGUCUGAAUAAUCUAUUGUUUAUGAGUUUUUUUAUUAUUUAUUUUUGUAUUAUUUUUGUAAUUUUUUGUUCUUUUAUUUUCACAUUCUUCGUAUUAUACUUUAUAUUGUAAUUGAAUUUAGUAGAAUUAAAUUUCAAGUUGUUUGUUUAUAUUCAUGAAAAAUUAUUGUGACAUUUCUUUUAAUAAAAGUGAUGAUUAUGAGAGACAUAUGUUGACCAAUCAAUAGGAAUUCGGAUAAUCUAUUCAUCUUGAGGAAAAAAAAAUUUAACAUCUCUUUUAAUAUUAAACUUAAAAUUAAUAAUAUUUAAGAAAAAUAAUGUUCCGUGUAUUAUAUUUUGUAUUGUAAUUUAAUUUAUUAAAAUUAAAAUAUAAGUUUGAUAUGCCCUAUUAGACCGCCAAUAAGCUAAUGAAUACUUGAGCCAUCUAGAAAUCUCUAUAUGUCAUCCACCAUUAGGGUUUACUAAUUCUACUUAAAGUUAUAUCCUAAUAAGGAUUCUACUAAUCACAUUAUAAAUAAACUCUUUGGCUCACUUUACAAGGUACGUUCUGUUCUCUAGUUCUAAUAUCUAGAAGACUAGAACUCUUAUUGUUCUAACUAUCCACCUCUUGCCUAGCCAUCUAUCUGACUUGAGUGUCUGAGGGGUUUCCGCCGAAUCAACCCCCAACUUAGAUCACGUGUGAUUAUCUUCGCAUGUUCAAGACCCAGUUGUUCUGCAGCUCACCCUAUGGAAAGGACCCCGACCAAGAUCACCUACUCGUGUGCAGUGACCUACCCACGUGAACCUGGUCAAUCUACUCAAGGUGAGUGAUACUACAUUAUUCUAGCGUCGCCUGGGGGAAUGCAACCUAGAUCGUGAAGUACACAAGGUGAUCAGGAGAACCGCCUAUCCUCUGAUGGUGAACCCAUCGAGGUGAGAUCUACGUACGUACGACCUAUCAGAGUCCACCUACCUGGUAAGACUUACCUGAGUUUGCCUAAUAUUAAGUGUAUAUUUUUACACUUUAUCGUACCUUUUUAUUUGAGCUUUUGGUGUGUUUUAACGAUAAUUGGUGCUUAAAAGUUGAUUUAUUGUAUUUUAGGUACAAAUUGAAGAAUUGGAAAAGUGUGGGGUCAAAACUGCAUUUUCGGAGAAAAUAUGGGCCAAAAGUGAAUGAAUCAAAAAUCUGAAGAAAUUAGUCCGGGACGGCCGUCCCAAAUUUACACUUAAAACUGGGACGGCCGUCUGAGAUGCAGAAGCAGUCUCUGGUUUUGAGACGGUCGUCCGAGUUUUAGUACAAAAUUCGGGACGGCCCUCCGAGAUGACGAAAAGGCGUAGUAAAGGAAUCCUAAUUGCACAAGGAAACUAUCUUCUUCUCCAAAUUUUCCACCCUAUAUAAGACCAAGAUAAGCACACAACUGGGGAUCCAUCUUUUACGCAAUUUCAAGAGCAACGAAGCAAUAACGAAGGCGAAGAAUUCGAAGACUCCAAGCAUAGAUUUAUCGUUUAUGAUUAAUUUUAUUUGCGUUUAUACUUUAAUCAUGAGUUGCUAAUUUACUUAUGAACCCAACUCUAUGAUUUAUGCAAGUUUUAAUUCCGGGUUAUUUCUUCUACUUGUUUUAUCAAGUGCAUGAAUUUGAUCACCUUAUGUGCUUUUAUGUUAUUGUUAAUCGCAUGAAUCGGAAGAUCGGGUGAAUAGUUAAAACUGUGGUAGAAGAGCUUUUGUGAUAUUAACAUAGGAAUAUAGUCAAUCUCUUAGGUAGCCAUUAUUGAUAUUUGUGCUUAAUGUUGUGUUCUAGAAUUAAUUGCGUAGGAAUACAGUAAUUGAAUCUAGAGUAUUAGAAUCGUAAUACACGCGGAAGCGGGUUAUGAUAAAUUUAGUAUCUCAGGUUAAUAAUCCGGGUUUAUUGCUUGCAUAAUUAAAGGGAUCGGGGAAGUAAUAAUCACAUAGGGGGAAGAAUAAAAUCCUAGGCUUGUUUACUCUGAUUAAAUCUUCGUUUUUAGUUGCUUCCGCGUUCUUGUCUUUUUAAUUUGUUUUAAUUGCUUUGGUUUAAUUUUAGUUUAUUAAUCAUCUUUCGACUGUGUAGGGUGGGCUUGAAUAUAAUUGGUAGAAUAUAGCGUCUAGGAUUAGAUAAUUAAAUAUUCUCUGUGGGAUCGAUACUUGAACUUAAAAUCUACUUUAUUACUUGUACGAUACGUGCACUUGCGUGUAGGUUAUCCACCAACACCUACCAAUAUGAAGUUCAUAAUACCCAAUUACAUGGGUCAUUCUCACCAAGACAUUGUACAUCACCCUCGCCAAGGUUGGACAGCGCCCAAGAAAAAAGAAAAAAAAAAAAAACAAUUGGACAUCCCACCCCAAGGGUUGGACAUUCUAUUAUCUUUCAUCCCAAGAGUUGGACAUCCCACCCCAAUGGUGAUACACCCCCUUACCACUCUACCCCAAGGGUUGGACAUCUCAUUCAAGGGUUGGGCAUCCCCUCAUCUCUUUAACCAGGGAUUGGACAUCCCAUCACAAGGGUUGGGCAUCCCCUCAUCUUGUUACCCAAGGGUUGGACAUCCCACCCCAAGAGUGGUACACUCUCUUACCUCUCUACCCCAAGGAUUGGACAUUACACCCCAAGGGUUGGGCGAUCCCUAUCCUCUAGAAUAUUUAUAAAAAAUCCUUAAUCUUUCACUAUUACAAAAACCUCAAAGCUCAUACUUUGGGAAAAUUACAUUUUAUGUCCAUAAACUAUACCGUUAAAAUGAUUUUUGUCCUCAAACUUUUGCACCCACGAAAUAUAUUCUCAAACUUGCCACUUUGUAACAAUUUGUGUUCGGCCGUUAACUUCGGCAGUCAAGUUAAACGGAAUGUCACAUGUGGCACACGUGAUAUUGACAUGGCUGUUAAGAUUGACCUGGCUUACACCCUACGUCGAUUUCGUCGAUUGAAUAUGGUGUGGAGUUACACGUCAUUCUCUCCCCCUUAUUUCAAUUAUGAAAUCCUUAAUUUCUCAUUACCCCAAUUCACUGAAGCUGAACCUGAUCAGAUAAACCCUACCCUGAAUUCCUCGUAGAAAUCCUCAAAUUGAGGUGAAAUUCGGCAUCAACAAGAUCGCCUAAUCUUAAUUUCGCAAAUAAUCGAACAUUUGUGGAAAUGAAGCAUCAAAAAUCGACCAACAAUCACAAAUUUUAGCAAGUUUCUUUAAAGUUCUUAUCUUUGAAAUUCGGUUUUGGGAAUUUUGGAUUUGUUAUGCGUUUAUGACUUUGAACUCCGUAUGAUUUCGAACAACAUUGAAGACCUAAUUUUAAAUUUGAGAGUGUGUUUAUAGGAUUGAAAGAAAUUUUCAGAUUUGAUGGCUGGGGGUUCGGGUGUGAAAAGUGAAGUGAAAAUUGGGGAUCUGGUAAAUUUUGGAAUUGGGUUUAGAUCAAAAGAUUUGUGUGCCAACUCAACAUUUGACGGCCACGUCGGCAUCACGUGCGCCCCACGUGACAAUUUGACUCACGAAGUUAACGGCGGAACACAAACUGUUAAAAAGUGACAAGUUUGAAGACAUAUUUCAUGAAUGCAAAAUUUUGGGGACAAAAAUUAUUUUAUUGGUAAAUUUUAGGGACAUAAAAUGUAAUUUUCCCCUCAUACUUUCAUACACGAUCAUAAAAUAAACAACAAACUUUCAUCGGAAGAAACUAGAUCACUAUCAAUGUUCCCUAUGGGUAAUUGGCACUUUGCACCCUCGAAUUACAUGUCAUUGGCACUUUGCACCCUUAAAUUAGAAAAAUUGGCAGAAUGCACCCUUCAAUUAGAAUUUCUUUGGCACUUUGCACCCUCAUCAAUAUUUUGCCUAAAAAAUGACCGGUUACCUGUUUGUUUGUGGGGUUAAUGAGGCGUAACCCCCUCAAUAGCAAAAAUAUUAGAACUAGGUACUAAGCAUUUUUUUAAUAUGGUGCAACCCCCUCCAUUUUAUGUAUUCCAAUACUAUCCCUACAUUUUCCUUUUGAACUAGACCCCCCUCCCUUUAAAUAGGAUCGGUCAACCAACUCUCUCUCUCUCUCUCUCUCUCCUUGAAUUAUUUUAAUCAUUUUAAUUAUAUUUCGAUCUUUUUUACUUUUACCUUUUUUUUUGGAAAAGAUCUACGAAAUAUUGGUGAACAACUAAAUUAAUGAAUUUAACUACUGACUUUAGUAGUCAACUAUAAUAUUCUACUAGUUUGCUAUAAAAUUGGGUCGGUCAACUACAAAAUAGUGAAAGUUAACUAUAAAAUUUUAAUAGUUAGCUAUAAAUUGUGAUAGUUAACUACUAAAUUAUAGUAGUCAAUAAUCAUUUAUGUACCAUAAUUUUAUGACCGAAAUUCACCACCGUUAAAUUAUAUACCCAUCGGUAAGUAAUUCCAACACUUUCACAAUUACGCCCAAAGUCCCAAAUGAUCUCAAUAGUUUGAAGCAUAUUGAUAUCUUCCCUGUAAAUUCAAUUUCACUAAAAAACAAAUUUCCACAAUACAACUAUCACUAGCCGUAAUUUGUCUUGAAAAAUUAGAUCUGAGCCAACGAAAUGAGCAUAAGGCUCCAAGACAAUAAUGCAAGACUCUAGCGGCGGAGAUUUUAAGUUAGAAAAUCAGCGGUAGGGGAUGCGUUAAGAAACAGCGGUGGCGAAUGCUGCUUCGUCAGAAAAAAGAUCUGAACGUUUCAUUGUUACUAGACCGGGUGACCCAAUGAUAGCCAUGAAGAUGCGGCGGCUAUGGAUCCGUCAAUUUUGGUAGAGAAGAUGUACAAGUCAAUUUUAGUAGAGAAAAGAGACAUAGCAAAUGAUUCGAGAGGAAAAAAAAAAAGAGAAAUAGAAAGAGACGUAUCAGGGAAGAGAGAGGGGGGAGAGAGAAAGUGAAUGAGAGAAAAAAGGAAAAAAAAAGAUAUGUAAAAAAUAUGAAAAGAGGGGGAGGAAAGAGAAAGAAAGGGACGGUUGAGAAGAGAGAGGGGGAAUAGAGAGAAAGAGUGGGAGAAGAAAUGACAAAAUUGAAAUAAUAAACACGUGAGGGGGUUUCACAAUUCAUAAUGUUAAUUUUAGAUUUCUUUACAAAUAGUGAAUAUUAAAAUGGGUCUGGACUCUAUUAUUUUGUGUAUUGAGGGGGUUAUCCCUCAUUUUCCCUUGUUCGUGGGAUUUGAAGAGUGAUAGAUUUGUAUUUCUUUUAUUUUUUUCAUAAAUUUAAAAACCGUUCAUCAUGUAAUAAUCGGAUUCAUCAUUUUACCCAUGUUCUCAAUUCAACCCCAUGUUCUUCAUGCUUUUUUAUAAUAAGCAAAGAAGCAAGAUUGGAGCUUUUUUAUUCAUUUUAUAGUCUAGUCCUCAACACAGGGCAGACAACAACACGGCUGAACCAGACAAGCUUGGCGGCUGCUGCCACCUUGACUUCAAGAAACUUCGUCUAACAACAGUAAACUGUAAAAGCACAAAAAUUUAAAGGGCUCUUAAGAUAUAGGUCCCUGGUGACAAAACUAAUUAGAACUAAAUGACAAGCUCAACUAAACAUUUGCUUCACAUCCUUUAUUAAAUUCAUUCUAAAAAUGCCCUUUCACUCAUCUUUAUUUUUUCAAUUUUCACUCUACAUUUUUUACGUUAUUAUAUAUAAAACAAAAAAUUCCUUAUUUAUAACAUUUUUUUGAAAUUUACGUUUUUUUUUCUUCUUUUUUGUUAAAUAAUUCAACAAUUUUAAAAAUACUAUGGUAUACUAUGGUGUACUAUGUUGUACUAUCGUUUUUACACUAUUAUUAAAAAAAAAUCUACAAUAUUAUUGAAAAUUACAAAACAAAACUCGUUUUUCGUUUUUGUUAAUUCAAUAUAUAUAUAUAUAUAUAUAUAUAUAUAUUUUAAUAUUUUAUUUGUUGUAAUAUUAUAGUAGACUGUGGUAUACUACGGUCCACUAUGGUCUACUAUGGUGUACUACCAAACCCUAGCAGCCAACAAACACACAAUCCUCGUCAACCCUAGCCGUCAAACCCUAGCCGCCAACGUCUGCAUCCAUCGCAACCAUAGUCGCCUACGAACUUCGGGAAAACCAGAUUUACGAUUUGGAACCUACAUCAAACAAAAUCUCUUGAAGAUCAAGAUCAAAUCUCCACCAUAAUUAACCACAUCCCCCGCCACAACCACAACAACCCCUCGCCGCCAUCUCGACCAUCAGAGCCAGCCGGCUUGACCACCACAGCCCGCGGCCGCCGUGUCCUCCUCCACAGCCCCGCCGCCAUCCCGACCACCACAGCCCGCCGUCUAGACCACCACAAUUGCCGAUCCCGAAUCAACCACCAUAGCCCCCGCCGCCGUCUCGACUACCACAACCCCUCUUCGCCAUCUCAACCACCACAGCCCGCCGCCUCGACAACAGCCCGCCGCCGCCGCCUCCUUCUCCACCACAGCCCCCGCCGCCGCCCUUUCCACCACAACCCCUGGCUUGGCUCGGCUACUACUGAAUUAAUUAACAAGAGAGGUGUGUGGGGAUGGAGAGGUGAGAGAGAGAGAGAGAGAGCAAGAAAAAAAACGGAAUUGCAGAUACACAGAUCGUGUGAGAUAGGGAGGAAGAGAGAGAACGUGAGAGAAACCAAAAAACAAAAUAAAUCUGAAUUGGAGAAACGUAAUAUAUGUAGGUUAUAUAAUUUAGGGUAUAAGGGUAAUAUAGGGAUAAAAAAAAUUAGGGAUGUGGCCCAUAUAUUAUUUGAAAUUAAGGGUUUAAUCAAAAAAAUGAAUUUGAACUUGUCAUUUAGUUCAAAUUCGGUUUCGUUUGAGGGGCUCAUAGCAUAUUAACCCAAAUUUAAAACUACUUUUAACUGAUUUUGGUGAAGCAAAGAAACACAUGUAUAAUGUAUUGCUCUCUUAAUAAAUAUUUUCUGUUUGAAGAAGAGUUGGUAGUGACAGUACCAUAAUGUGAGAAAAGAGAGAAUAUCAAGAAACCUCAACGAGAAGAAGAGGACAAUGUAAGUCUACGUGCACCACAAUCUGCAUUUCAUCGUUACCGCCGCUGCCAUUGGAUGGCUCAGAAGCCGCCGCGUCUAUCAUACCCAGCGGCGGAGGCAAAAUAGGCUCUCUUUGAUGAGCCGGCUCGCGAAAUCUCAUGUAGUUGUCGUAGAUAUUGCCGUCAGCGCCUACGGAGAGGUUGGCGUUAUUUUGGCGGCAGAGAACCAACAACAAACCGAUGAUGACGUUGCCGAAGAGGAACACGAAGUGGUGGUUGAAGGUGUGAAGAAGUGAACAUAAAACCCAUCGAAAAAAUCAAAACCGCCGGAAGGAGCGCCGACGACCACGAAAUCAACCCAAAACGUAUACCAUCAUAACUUGGCGACUCCAUUCCCACGGAGGCGAUGCGUAGCCUUCUCAUUCUCAAACCUCACGUUAUCAAACACUCCCCAUUCCGUAUUGUAAAUUACAGACAAAUUUUCUCUAACUUUAACGACAAGUUAACUAUAUAGUUGAAGUCGUCUGGAUUUUUUUCGAUUCAGAAUAUAGAUUUUGCAAAAAUGGAAGCAGAGCCCAAUAAAAGGGGGAGGAUCAGAGCAUCAAAGAGAAAGGAAAUUGUCGGGAGAAAAUGGAAGGGUUAAGGGAAGAAAAUGGAGAACAUGGGUUAAAUAAUGAACCAAAUUAUUAGACGAUGAACGAUUUUUUAAUUUUUGAAGAAAAUAAAAGAAAGAUUCUACAUCCCUUCAAAUCCCACAAAACAGGUUACCGGUCACUUUUUAGGCAAAAUACGAACUAGGGUGCAAAGUGCCAAAGAAAUUGUAAUUAGAAGGUGCAUCCUGCUAUAUUUCUAAUUUAAGGGUGCAAAGUGCCAAUGACGUGUAAUUCGAGUGCAAAAUGCCAAUUACCCAUUCCUGUAUCAUAAAUUAUGUCGGCAAAUUAUAAUUGUCAGGUUGUUAACUUAACUGUCUUCCUCUCACUAUCUGUCACGCUAUGUAUGAGUCUUUGUUCAUUUCUAAAGAAGCCAUUUAACAAGUGACUAUACUGAAAAAAAGAAAUAUAUAUACUUUUUAUUUUGUAUGGUAAUCUUUUAUUGUUGUAGUUGUAUCAGCACGACCAAGAGUAAUGAAAUGUAUUUCUCACUAUUAUAAAAGUAUUUUUCCACCACUAAAAAAGUUACUUUUUGUUGGUAAUAUUAGAUUUGUAUGAACAUUGAUAUUGUUUCUGUCAUUGAAAUAUCACUAAUAAGUUUAGUUGGACAGUAUAAUAUAUUUAUUAUUAUAAUUGCUAUUGUUAUGUAUUUAAUUAUUUUCUUCAAUUUUGAAAUGUUAUCCAUUGCACGUGUAUAAAUACUAUUAUAAAUCUACUAGCAAAAUAAGAAUAUGGGAGAUCAAACAUAGGAAAAAUAGAACCUCUUUUCUUGUUCUUUCUUGUAUUCUCAAAUGUGAUCAUGCCUUUACAAGAAUGUGCUAUUUAUAGCACCAAAUGAUAGUCUAAACCAAAUGACACAAGUUCGUUUAAGGAAUUCAUAACUACACUAAUUAAUGAACACUAAUUAAUGAACAUCCAUUAACGACUUAACGUACAUACUUAUUCAAUGUAUUUACAACAAGGGGUCAUUAGUAAUAAGCCCAUCAUAUAGUUAAGAAGUGGCCCUUAUAUAGCUAAGAAAUGGUGAUAUAUCCACUAUUGAAAUCUUUCUUUGUGAUAACCCUUUAGAAAUUUUAUUCUCAAUACAACCCUUACGUCAAUUAGCACAGUUUGUCCCAAUUAUUCAUUUUUUUUCUCUAUUUCCUUAACAACACAGUCACCUAAUUCCUAAAAAUCUGCUACCAAAUCAAAAAAAAUUAUUGAAUUUUUUUAAUUUUUAUUAUUUUCGGACUUUAUUUAGCAUUUUUUAUUUUUUUUAAACAAAAAAUUGAUUUUUUCUUCUAAACGUGUUUACUACGCCGAAUAUGACUAUAGUUGAAUAUGACUAUAGUCUAAUAUGACAAUAUGUGACUAUAUCAACUGUAGACAUAUUCUUUCUUUAUAUUGUAGUUGUUUUACAUUGUCAACUUAUAAAUUCCGAUUAGAUAGUGUAGUACAGUCAUGUUUACCAAAUUAUAUAAAACAAUCCAAUCAACAUCCACACAAAAAAUCACAAUUUCAAUCUUGUUAUUACGAGUCAACUUGAAACGAGAAGAUCGAACAUAUUCAACAAUAGUCAUAUUAGAAUAUGACUAUAGUCAUCUUACUGCUGCUGCUCAAAUCUGAAACUGUAUGUUCAUAUCUGGAGGAAAAAUAAAAAGAGAAAUCGAAAAAUACAGAAAUAGAGAUAGAAAAAUAACGAAAGAGAGGGAAGGGGAGUCAACGACAACAGCGGUGGCGGCGGUGAACGAAAGAGAGAGUGAGAGAGACGGCGACGGUGGUGGUGGUGGACAAAUUUGGAAGAAAAACUGAGAAAUCGAGAGAGAUAACGAAAAAGAGAAAAAGAGCCUUACGCGGAGAUGAAGGAGGCGGCGGCGACGGUGGUGGUGGUGGUGUACAGAUCUAUGUGGAGAUGAUGGUGGUGUAAAGAGAGAGAAAUCGAGAGAGAUAACGGACAAGAGAGAAAGAGAUUUAUGUGGAGACGAAGGAGGGAGCGGCGGUGGCAACGAGCGGCGGUGGCGGCUGUGGAGGAAGGUCGGAAUUUUCGAAGAGAGCUGAGGGAUUUAGGUGGAGAGGUGGAGAAGAUAGAAGAUGAAAGUGAUAGAGGUGGAGAAAUAAUUAGGGGUGUAGUAAAUGAGAAUAUUUUUGUCUUCUCACACUAGGCCAGGGGGUCUUACUAAUUAAGAACAAAAUUUGGAUGUAGGCAAUUUUUUUUAAAGUCAAUUAGAUUUAGUUCAAAAUAUUUUUCAUUUAAGGGGUAUUGCAUAUUUUCCCUUACGAAAAAUACUAGUAUUUAAAAAUUGAUUGCCAUAUACUUUUCCAAACAUAGUAAACUUUCGAAAGUGCAAAAAUAAUUCCUUAAUACCUAGUGUCUUUUCGUUAUCCCUAAACUAGCCUAAAGAUAACGCUAAAAGUCUAAAAUAAACUACUUCCUUUUUUCCAUUUUAUUUGUCGUUUUGAGUUGAUGCACACAUAUCAAGAAAAUUAAUUAAUGUGCAUGAAUUCUGAAAAAAAAACAUAAUAAAAUAAAAAAAAAACUAGUUUCAUUAAUUAUUUCACCUAAUUUUAUUAAGAGUAAUAAGGGCAAAUAUGAGAAAUAUACUACGCUUCAUUAGAAAUCCAAAUAAACACUUAUUUUGAAAUAAUAAAAUGAGCAGGUUAUUUGACAACACCCCCCCCCCCCCCCAUCACACAAGUGUAAUUACAAUGAGUCCAAUUUUUUUUACAACUUUUUGAGAUAAAUCCAUUUCAGCAUUUAUUAAUAAAAAAUAAUAAAUUAUCACAAUUAUACCCCUAACAUAUAAGUAACGUAUGUUUUAGGAUUGUAAAUAAAAAAAGAUAUGCAAUAUCUUUUCCUAUUAUAUGGUAACAACACCUUAAAUAGUCCCACGAUUCUCGUCCCUUAACUAUAGAGAACUGUCCAACGUAAUUGGUAUUUUUUCCACAUUAAUACCGAUCUGAGUACUAGCCAGAAAAUCGUCGCCGGCGAUUUAACGGAGUCGUCAAUUGCGGCGUUCAACAGCGACGGCGCGCUGCAAAAGUUGUUGCUACGGCGGGUUUGCUGCUGCAACGCCGUCAUUUGCUUCAUUCCUCCGUCAACAAACCCCAACCAACUGUUAGAGUAGGUGACCAACAAGCCAACAUGUGGCUGUGGUCUUUCGUAUUUAUUAUUGUAAUAAACGAACCUUUAUUCGUAUUAAUGAUAAAACACCUUGGCAUUCUAUAUCUUUGUCCCUUUGUCACAAGCAUAGAUAUAGUCCUUACAGUUAUUACAAGUACUAGUAAUUGAUCGUUAGGAUCGUGAGAUAUUUACUUAAGUAUUAUAACUGUUAAACGUGUUCCUAGUCGAAGGGUUACGCCACUAAUGAGGAUAUCGGCCUUUCCCAUUAAGACUAGCACUUAGUGUAUGUGUACUGCAUCUCAUCAGUAAACGGUAUUGUGAUAUCGGCAUGCAUAAGUGGGUGCUCGUAAGUUGACGAGUUCACUGAACUCCCUCACCCUAGAAAUCUCUAAGUGGUUCCCAAUAAUCGAGUAGAGAUAUCUAUGGUAUAGUUGUACACCAUUAGUCCUUAUGACCUAGACAUCACCGUGACUUCACUAGAGGACCAGCUGUAUCGUGACCUGUCCCUGAGUUCCACCGAGGACCAUCCCAAGGGCCAGUGUUCGUGCAGUCCGAAAUCUAGUGGGAGGUCUGUGCAUUGUAGUCGGGGAUUCGAUCGCUAGAAUAGUCUUGGAUGUCCUGUGUGUUCUGAAAGUUUGUAAUCAUUCUAAGUCUCUGGCCAGAGCUGACUAAGUGAUGAUUAGAGAAUUCGAUUCUCUAAGUCAUGCACGUAAGGAUUACAACACUUAGAACGAUCGCACCGUCAUCGAACAUAUAAAGAGGUCUCGAUGAACCAAUGCCUUUAGUUCGAUCGGGACAUAUGAAUCGAAGGGACCGUACUGUACGUUAACUAUAUCUGAAGGUUCUUGCAGGCACUUCAUUUGUAUCUAGGGAAUCAUGACGCGUAGUUGCUAGACGCCAAUCUUGAUUCGUUGGGUGAUUAAGGUGAAACAAGCUUCGUCUUAAUCGUAACUCUAAGGGACGAGUUUUGACCACAAAGAGUUGUGGGCCCACGGCUAGCUUACACCUGAACCAUCGAGGGUCACACUGCUCGUGCACAUGAGAUCUUUGAAUAAACGGUCAGAGAUAAAAUAGAUUAUCUUUGCAUGAUUGGAAGUCAAUACGAUUGAAUCCAACAUUCGUAAUUUGGAAUUAUGAAUGAGAAUAAGAAAAGGAAAAAGAAUAGGCGAACGUGUUAGUGAACUUUCUAAAUCGGGAAGUUUCCAAAUUUAGAAAGAGCACUGAACUAGGGUUUCCACUUUUGGAAAGUUGGAAAAUGAAAGAUGGCACUCGUAAUGACGAGGAUGUUAUAAUGAUUCCGAAAAUGUAAUCGUUGCAAUUUUCCGAUCAUUGAAUUGAGAGAGACGAGCAAGUAAAGGAACUAACGAGCUUAAGCUGUUGGGCCCGGUCCAACUUAAGCCCGUUAGGGUUUUAUGCAAGGGACUAUAAAUACUUGAUUUAUAGGCCUUGCACAAACACACAAGAAAAAACCCUAACCCUAGCCGCUACACUCUCUCUCUCGGCCACUCCCCCCGCGGCCACCACCGCGCCGUUGUCGCCUCUCCGUCGCCGGAAUCGGCCAUCUAUUGGCCGAUCCUUUUCGGUACUCUUUCCUUCUUUCUUUUUCUUCCGUUAAUUUUAACUAUUACGUGUCUAGUGCCACGUGUUUAGUAGAUCGAAGUAUACGAGGUGAAAUCCGAGAGGAGGAAGAUCGAAGAUCGAAGAAUCGAGGAGCAGCGCACAAGCCGAAGCCGCACGCUGCCCCACGCGCCGCCCCGGAAGUCCGCGCGUGAAACUCACGCGCCGCCGUGGCCAUCUCAUCGCCGCUGCCGCUGCACCGCUGCUGCCCCGAUUGUACGGAUUGGUUUCCGUAUCAAUCUCGACUUGCUAAACGCUCCUACCUCACGCUUCAAGAGGUAAACACACGAAUCCCUUGUUUCGAUUCGUUUACGUUUAGACUAUGUAUCCAUGUUUGCUAUCGUAUGAUUUUAUGUGAUUAUGUGUAAUCGUUUUAAAUCAUUGCAAGCAUGUUAUUUGGUUUAAACGCGAGCAUGUUAAUUGAUUUAAAUUCGGUUUAAUAAUUAGCAUGUAUGUUGUUAUUUGAUUUCGCUGGAAGCGCAAAGGUACGCAAUUAAUUGAAUUUAAUUUGUCGGGCAUGUUCUUAUGUGCUUUAAAGUCGUUUAAAUCGCAUGAAUUUUUGUUUUCCGCUGCGUAUGCGUGCCCGAAACCCAACACCAACAACUGCUACUGAUUGAUUACCAAAUGCGGUUUAUAGAGAGAGAAAGUGAUGAAAAAUAAAGUGGGUUUGAAGAAAUUGCGGGUGAGAUUUGUUGAAGGCGGGGUAUAAAUUAAUGAGAAGAUUUCUUCGAUUAUACGAUUCAAUUGUUUAAACUCUCUUUCAGCUUCCAUUUCCAUUUCAUCUUCUUCUUCUUAUUUCAUCCUUUUUCUACAGUAAUUAAAUUAAUUGCAUAUAUUUUCCUAUUAUAUAGUAACAACACCUCCUUAAAUAAUUCCACGAUUCUCGUCCCUUAAUUAUAGAGAACCGUUUUAACGUAAUUGGUAUUUUUUCCACAUUAAUACCAAUCUGAUUGCAUGAGGAGGAAGUUCGUCUCAAGAAAAUAUAGAGUGGUUUUCGUACUUUUGACGCAAACUGUGUUAGUGCAUAAUGGUCGUGGUUUUAUCACUGUUCAUAAGAAUGCACAUGGUUUUUCUCCCCCAUUGUUAUGUGGUUGUUAGCAUCUAGUCGAUAGAUCCUUUUAAAUUAAAGAUUGGUUUUGACACAAUGCUUGAUUUCAAAGUAAAAUGUAAGAGUAGUUUUUGCACGCAAAGUGGUUUUGAUUAAUUACAUAGUCUGUUAAUGAUAAGCUUUUAGUGAAUUUGUAAUGAAAUUUGUUAACUACAUAUUGAUUUUCGAUAAUUACAGAGUGUUUUUCAUUAAUUAUAGAAUGGUUUUUGUUAAUUGAUAAGUUUUAAGUGAAUUUUUGUAAUGGAAUUUGCUAAUUACAUAGUGAUUUUCAUUAGUUUACAGAGUGGUUUUCAUUAAUUACAUAGUUGUUUUUGUUAAUUACAUAGAGAUUUUCAAUAAGUUUAUAAUGGAUUUUCGUAACGGAAUACUAUAAUCACAUAGUGGUUUUGGUAAGUUUAUAGUGAAAAACAAUUUGUUAAAAACAAUUUUUUUAAAAUUUAAAUUUGAAAAACAGAAGUAUAAAAAAUAAAAUAUAAAAAUUAAAAAAAUGAAAAAUAAACUUUUUUAAAAACAAAAUUAAAAAUUUCUUAUGAAGAAAUAAAAUAAGAAAAGAAAUAAAGAUGAGAUUUUUAGAAUGGAUUUGUGAGUAUUAUUUUGGGCAUAAAUCUGAAGCGCGAUUUGGGGGUAUAAUUUUUGGUGAAGAUUUGGGUGUAGAUUAUGGGUAUAAUUUUUUGAUUUGAAUAAUUAUACUAAUUAAUAAUUAGUGGGGGCAUAUAUGAUUUUUCAGGCCCAAUGAAUUUAUGUCAAAUAUUAUUUACAAAUAAGAAUUUAUCAAAAAGUAAAAUUUCAAUGGGGGUGUUUGUCAUAUAGCCCCUAAAAUGAGAAGGAGGGAGUACUACACUAGCAAAAAAACCUUGUCUUUUACCUCAAUAAAUUUUUGUUAUUUUAAAUUUCAGUUGAUACUGAAAUUCUAAUGGAAAUCAACUAGGGUCUGAUUGAUUGAAGGAAAAUAGUAGGUAACGUAUUGAAAAUGUGAUGUAAAAUAAUUUUCUUGUUUGGUUGAUAAGUAAAAUACUAUGUAAAACAAUUUCAUGGAAGAUGUGGAAAAAAAUUGCACUAAAAGAAGGGAAUUUCCCUAAGAAAAAUGAGGAAAAUGUGUCAUUUUAUCUCUCUUUACAUAUUCUUCUUCUCUCUCAUCUCUUUCUCUCUCUCCUCAGUCACCCUUCUCUUCUCUCUCUUAUGUCUCUCUCCUCUUUUUUUUUGAUAAUUAAAAGGCAUUAAUAACAAAAGAAAAAUAUAUAUAUCUCUCAUCUAUGUUACACACAUAAAAUAUCCAUCUUAUUUUACAUUUUGUUUUAUUUGUUACAUGACAUUUUUUUGGGUUAGAAUUUAUUUAAAAAAAAAAUUAUCUCUUUUUGGGUUACAAUUUAUAUUGAAAUAAAAAUGAUCCACAAAAGCCUUAGUUUUUGAAUAAUAAUUCAUUUUUAUUUUCAUUUUACUUUGUAUCUUUCUCCAUUAUUUUCCCUUAAAAAUCAAACGAAACUAAAGAAAAUGAUUUUCCUCAAAAUUAUUUUCAUCACUAUUUUUCUUAGGAACCAAACACAAUUAAAAUUUUAAAAGUCCUUGAUUUCUUUUUCCUUUUUUCCUUUUGAUGAUGCUAAAAUAUAGCUCACCUAGGGUGGUGUAGAAAAUGCACUGGGAGAGCAAAGCGGAUCAGUAGCUUCACAACUUGAUGAUCCUGAGGUACCUGCGAUCAUAGAACACAUGAACUAAGCCGGGGGUUGAUCCGGCGGAAACCCCUCCAACGCUCAAGUCAGACGUGCUGAUCAUAUAAAUAGUCCAGAGAAUACGUAUUGUAGUAUUGCUCAGUUAAUAGGACGUACCUUAUGGAAUGAGUUCAAAUGUGUAUUUAUAGCUUAGUUGAGAUUGUCGGGCCCAAACCUUGCUUGAAGGUGAUUGGGCCUCGGUGAUAGUGGUCUUCGAUACUGGGCUCGUGGCCCAGUAGAUAAAUAAUUUGUAGGCCCAUUGGGUUGGGCCAAUUAGGCAUAUCACCUUUGAAUUUUUAUUUUCCUUAUUUUAAAAUUCAUGAACCAAUUAGAGCCCUAAUAUUUAGUCAACUAAUGAAAGUCAUCUAAUGAUAACUCAGUUUGAGUUUGGACAACCAUUGUCGAUAACACAAAAAAGAAAAAUAAAGUUAAAAGAAGGAAAAAAGUCAGAUGCCAACUAAUAUUGAAGUAAACUAAUGCUUAAUUAGGUAAUCGAAGCAUCGACAACCUGCCAACAGAAAAAAAAGGUUAAAAGAAAAAUAAAGUCAAAAGCAAAAAAAACAAAGUCAGAUGUGAGCUUAUGAUGAAGUCAACUAAUGUUGAUUAGUUGAGUCGGAUAAUCAGCUCUCGACACAUUCCGUCCGAUUUCCACCCGUAGUUCAACCUAUUUUCAUAGGAAUCAUAAAAUGUAGGGACUAAGUUGAAACAUUUGAAAAAUUAAGUGACCCUAAUCAGAUUUGUAUUCCUGCAAUCGACCGACCCUGCCCAAAUCAGAACUAAUAUAAAAUUGUUGGACCGAAUGCAAUUUCAAAAAUUUGAAACAAAACACGAUCCCUCUCUUCUGUAGUCGGCGUCACCAGCCCUAACCCAUUUCCGCCGCCACGAAGAACACACUCACACCACUAACACAGCCAGAAGCCGUUCCGUCCGAUAAAUCGCCGCCGCGGUGCGCGAGAGCCGCACAUAUUUCCAUUCCGGCGAUAAAUCGUUUAUUUUAGAUUUUAGAACGCCAGCCGCUGUUGCCGGAAUUUUGUCGCGGUGGCCUCCGUUCCGGUUCCACUAACCCCGUUCCGGCCGCUAUAGAGGCGUUCCGGCGAACCAUGGAAGAGAGCAAUGUGAAAUUUGGGGCAAUGGAAGAUGUAAAGGCUGGGUCUUUGCUCGAGGUAAAGGGCACCGAAUUACAAGGGAAGCAAAUGCCAGUGAAAAAUGAAGAACAAGGAAUCGAAGGUGAUGAUUUCUCGUUGAAAAAUGAAAAGGACUCGUUGACAGAGAAAAUUACCAAGGAAGAAAUUGAUUGUGCUAAUAACUCAGAAAUUGAACCGCGGGAUAAAACACGCGCUAUUUCGCGAGUGAGCAAGAGCAAAGAUAACAAACCAAAAGAGACUAAAGCCGAAAAAGAUGAACAAGAUUCUGAUAACGGCUCGCAGCAUAAGAAGUACCGGAAUUUAAGGAAAAAAAGAUCUCCAGAAACAAUGGAAGAAAGGAGAGCUUGUACCAAGAGAAAGUAUAUCAGUGAUGUAUGAAUUGUUAUUUAUACUCGUGUUAAUUUGUUUAUCCUUGUUAUGUAAAUUUGUCUAGGAUUACUGUUGACAAUCAAAAUGGAUUAUGAAUGACCAGGAUCCGAAAGAUGCGUACCAGAUGUGUCAUCAGUGCAUGAAGAGUGAUAGGAAAGUGGUGAGGUGCAGCGAAUGCGCCCAAAAAAAUCAACAUAAACGCUACUGCUUCCCUUGCAUUGAGAGAUGGUACAUGUUUUUAUACUUCAAUUCAAAAUUAACGAAGUUGUAGCUUCUUUAUUUUCGAAACCUAUUUAUUCCGCGUACUCGAUUUCUCGUUGCAAUAAAUCAUUUAUACUCUCUCUGUUUUGUCUUCCCUUGUAAUUAAGAACUCAUAAGAUAUUUGGCACAAGUGUUUUGCUUCCUCUAAAUUAUGAUUAAUUGCUUACGAUUUCCAUUGGUUUGUGUCUGUCUUCAUAUUGGGUUAGGUUUUCUGAUUCUGGAUGCAUCUUAACUUAAUUAUAUGAUAGUUUGUAAAAUUGCUCUUUGUGAUUGUUGGGUCGAUUUGCUGUGGAGAUGCGAAAUGCUUUCGUAAAAUAAGAUUAUUAUAUAAUGACGAUUUUGACUGGACAAUAGAUUUGCGGUGACUGAUCAUACUACUGAUACAGUAGUUUUCAGUAUACCUUUUUUGAGUUUUCGAGCAGUCUUGUGGGAUUAAAUUGCUCGGAAGCUUAGUUACUGUUAUAAAUGUUAUUAAACAUCUACUUGGUUUUGUUGGAGGCUUCCUUACUUUUCUUAUCUGUGCUCUCUUUAUAGGUAUCCCGAACUAUCUGAGGAAGAUAUAGUUAAGGCUUGCCCAUGUUGCCGUAAUAGUUGUAACUGUAAAGCCUGUUUACGUAGAUUUAAUGUACCGAAGGUAUUUUUUUUUUAUGGUUUUCCUGCUACGUGAUUGUCCAUAAUUGCUUUUUUAUGUUUUUCCAUAACAAUCUUCUGAUGGUUAUUGCAGGAUUUAUAUUCUGGUGAUCCGAAAAAUAAUUUGGAAAAGAUAUGGUUCUUUAAGUAUCUCAUUAGUUACCUCCUGCCUUUUCUCGAGGAAUUUAGUCAAAAUCAGAGUGCGGAAAAAGACGUGGAAGCCAAGAUUCGUGGUAAUUUUGUGAACGUUUUACUCUAUCUGUCAGUGUCUGCAUGUAGUAUCUUGACAUUUGUCAAGGAUUUUAUUAGACGAGUAGCUACUAAAAGUUAUGCUGUGCAACUUGACUAGGUACUUGGAAAAUUUCUUUUAAUUGCUUUGAAAAUUCCUUUUAGUUUAGAAUUAACAGGUAAGCUGCAACCAAUAGCUGAUUUAUUGUAUAAACAAAAUAUGCCUGCUUAUUAAAAACCCAGUGUCUCUUAGGACUGAAUAAGUAUAACUGAUGUCCAAAAGAGGAAACAUGUGAAAGUAAAGUAGAUAAAAUCAAGAUCAACUAAUCCCCGAGAAAAAAAAAGAAACCUAGUAACUGGUGUCAUUUAAAUUUUUAUCGCGUUACUUUUGAGAUUAAAUAAGUCUCCACUAUUGUAAUUCCAUUAAUGCAGGAUCGUCGCUGUCAGAUGUAAAGAUAGAGAAAAUUGACUACUCUAUUGAUGAGCGUCUGUAUUGGUAAGCAUUUAGAUGAACUAUUACCUACCAACUUUAACAUUUCUUUGUUUAAAUGAUUUGAUAUCUUUUUGUACAGCAACAAUUGCAGGACCUCCAUCGUUGAUUUCCAUCGAAGCUGUUCGAGUUGUUCGUAUGAUCUCUGUGUGACUUGCUGCAAGGAGAUUCGAGAAGGCUGUUUGAGAGUCUGUGAUAGGGAUGUAGUAAUCAAGUAUGAAGAUAAAGGAAUUGACUACUUGCAUGGAAAAGAAUCGUUAAAGAAGAAAUUAACUCGAGUGUCACCCAGUGAGUCAAAUAGCAGCGAAGAAUUGCCAUUGCCCGAGUGGAAAGCAACAGAAUUAGGUCAGAUUCCUUGCCCACCAAAGGAAAGGGGUGGGUGUGGACAUGGAAAUUUGGAGCUCAAGUGUAUUUUUGGUGAAAAUUGGGUGUCGGAUUUAAAGGAAAAUGCUAAAAAAAUAGUUCUUUCGUGUGGAUCUGCUGAGGUAUCUCAUAGUCAAAGUCAAUGUCCUUGUUUUGAAUUAAAUAAGGGUGUUAAUGUUGAGGAUGAACAAUUGAGAAAGGCGGCCAAUCGAGGAGAUUCUGAUGACAAUUACUUAUACUGUCCUCUAGCAAGUGACAUACAGCCAGGGAAACUGGAGCACUUUCGGAGACACUGGAUAAUGGGAGAGCCAAUUGUUGUAAGAGAUGUUCUCAAACUUACAUCUGGAUUGAGCUGGGACCCAAUGGUGAUGUGGCGUGCAUGCCGUCAGAUUUUAAUUAAAAAGGGUUCCUCCGACUUGAUGGUGACAGCUUUGGAUUGCCUCGACUCCUGUGAGGUGAGCACUUUUAAGACGCCAAGUAGAAUUUGUGAUACGAGCCUCCAAAUUAUUUCUUGCCCUAAAUUUGGUCCUAAAUUCACUACCACAAUUCACUGCAACUGAUAUCUUGGAUUCAUUCCAUAAUUUUUUUUGUUUCCCUUCAUUUUUGUACGUCUAUAAGUGGAAUCUUAUUUAAAACGAUAACAUAAUUUUUUUCGUGUUUAUGUGAAUUUGUAGGUUGAUAUAAACAUUCACCAAUUUUUUACGGGAUACACUGAAGGCCGGAAACACUAUAAUUCAUGGCCUGAAAUGCUUAAAUUGAAGGAUUGGCCCCCUUCCACCUUGUUUGAGAAGCGACUGCCACGCCAUGGUGCAGAAUUUCUCAGUGCCUUGCCCUACAAAGAAUAUACACACCCACGCUCAGGAAUUCUAAAUUUGGCUGCAAAAUUGUCUACGGAAAAGCUGAAGGAAAUUCUAAAUUUGAAGAAUACAAAAUCGUCUGUAGAAAUGCUGAAGCCAGACCUUGGGCCUAAAACAUAUAUAGCUUAUGGAUUUCCUGAAGAGCUUGGGCGUGGGGAUUCCGUAACCAAGCUUCAUUGUGAUAUGUCAGAUGCGGUAAGUUUUGUUAAGUAUAUAAAUUAUUUGUUGAAAAUUACAAAAUAACUUAACUUGAGCUCUAAUUACAGAAGAUUUCAGUUAACUGUUCAAGUUACAAUUAUUUAUUAUUUGCUUGGAAAUUUUGAUUUGCUGGUUAUUGGAUUCUUAAUAUUAUUUAAAAUUUGGGGUUCUAUGUACACACUCUUAGCGUAUAACUUGCAAUUGCAAACCUUGCUAAUAUGAUUGUUGGAUUUAUUGAAUUUUUUCAGGUGAAUGUUUUGAUGCACACUGCUGAUGUGGAUCCUAAGAAGCAUCAGUUUUCAAAGAUUGAAAAGUUAAAGAAAGAUCAUAUUAAACAGGACCGGAGAGAACUUUUCUGUAACGCCAAUACGGAUGACAAAGAGACCGGGAUCACUAUGCAAGAAUCUGAGUCUGCAUUUAUACAGGGAGGUGCCAUUUGGGACAUCUUCCGAAGACAAGAUGUACCCAAGCUUGAGGAAUAUCUUAGGAAACACCAUAAAGAAUUCCGGCAUAUUUAUGGUUGUCCAGUAGAGCAGGUAAGACCAAACUUGUGGUAAAGUAUAAGUUUAUUCUGUUUUUCUGCCAUCCAGUUUUCUCUCUACUCUGUCUUAGUUGAAUGUUGGUAGUUGUAUUUUCUGCACUUCAAUGUUUAUGAUUAAUCUCAUUACAUAAUUUGGGUCAUCCCUGUGUUGAGGGGUUGAAGCCCAAAAAAUAAAUGUAGGCUGGUGCAAAAGGCUAUUGUUUGGUGAAGCAAGCAUUUCCUUUUCUCUUUGUUCCAACUUAUGAUUCUCAUUUUCUUGAUUUAGUAAUAGGGGUGCAUGCAGUUCAGUUCGAACAGGUUAUUCUACUUCGUACUACCUCUUAGAAAGUAGUUUCCUCGUUCCGUUUGUUGCCUAGGUAGAGUUAAAAUUUAAGAUAAUGCCAAAUGGUGCCUGAUUACAAAAAAACGUAGUUGAAAUUUGGAAUUGCAGACCCUUUGAGUUAUUAUAAAUAACCCGUGAAGUUUAUAUUUGUUUUAUAACACUAUCUCAUUUAGUGUAGUUUGUAAAACAGAAAUAAACGUGAUGAGAUAGUUUUAAUUUACAAACUUAGCCUUUUCUUUUUGCAAAUGAGUCACCUCAUGGGUAGUAUCUGUAAUUACCCUGAAAUAUAAGAAUCCGAUCAAUAUCACUUUGUGCCGUUGGUUGGUUGGGAACUCGUGUGCCAGAUACACAAUUAAAAUUUAAACAUUACAUGUAUGCUUUUUCUCGUAAAAAGGUAUGGAAAGAAUAAUUCUGUAUGCUGACUAACAUGCAUUGCAGUGCUGCUUGUUUUUAAUUUUAGAUCCAUGUUAAUAAAAUUUUACGUGUAAUGUCGGUAAAUAAAACUGUUUAGAUUCUCUUGUACUAAGUUGUAUGCUCUAUUUUGUAUCUUUUGCAGGUUGUUCACCCGAUUCAUGAUCAGAGCUUGUACUUGACCUCUUAUCACAAAGCAAAGCUCAAAGAGGAAUUUGGUUUGUUAUUCUUGAGCUUUACUAGGUAGUUAUUUUUCUGUUAUUUUUUAUUAACUGCGUUCUGUUUCAAAACUUAUAUAGGAGUAGAACCGUGGACUUUUGUGCAAAACCUUGGAGAGGCUGUUUUCAUUCCUGCAGGAUGCCCUCAUCAAGUUCGAAAUCUCAAGGUACAUCAACACUUACGAAUUUCAAUUUGUCCUAAAAAUAUCCCAAUUUAUCUCGGUCAUUCAACAUGUCCUCGCAGUAUUUUAUUAUCUUGAAUGCGCAUUUGGGUUUUAUAUGAACAAAUACUUGCAAUGAAACCAUCAUCAGCUCCUAAUCAUCUAGGGUUGCCAUUCUUAAUUUAAUAAUUGGAAUCGUACACUUGUGCAAGGUAUACUUUCCCGUUUCAGAUUAACCUUAGCAUGUUCAUAGAUCGUGCUUGGGUAUCUUGUAUGGUUUCAUGCAGAAUACUAUCACCUACAGAAUUUAUUUUUUUAUAAUGGAUUGUGGACUUUGACAAAUUUGAUUGGAAAUUGGGUAAAUAGGAUCACUUCAUAUGAAGAUAACUUAUCAUCAGUUAGCUGGAUGUAAUCAGGGCACUGGGUACGGCACUAUGAAAACGUAAGAUUGCAAAAUAGAAUCAUAAUAAUGAGAUUACAUCUGUCACUUGAAAAGAAAGGCUUGCAACUUGCAAGUAUAUGUUUAAUAUUUUUUUUUAUCACACUUAAUCUACUGUUAGUAUCUAAUGCGUGGAAUAUUUUUUGGAAUAAUCUGUUGAAUCGUACCUGCUGUAAUUUGAUUAUUAGGAAAUAAGCACUCAUAAAUGUGGUUAGGAGUUGUAAUCUCAUGCAUUAUGUGAUAUUGGCAUAAAUUUCUCAUAGGAUUUGAUUAGAUUAGUAUUCUAUUUUACCUCAUAAAUAGGUUAUGUAGUGGUGAACCAACACUUGAAAAAAAACAAUGGGGUUUAUCGUUCUUUUUCUUUGCAUCUUGAUAAAUAGCUUUAGGUUCUUCUAUGUGCUCCUUUUUUCUUCCUUUUAUUUUCCUCCUUUUUCCCUGCCGUGUUACUCGUAUUUCUUUCUUGCUCUCUUGGCCUUCACUGCUAAUCACUGAGAAACAGUGAACCAUCAAUUUGAAAGAGUAUACUGGUGCUCUGCAAAACGUUAGUGCUAUAUAUAGGUUGAAUGGAAAAAAAAUAACUACAAUGUUAAGUUUGAACUUAUUUAAAAACAAAAAGGGAAACUUGGUCAUCUUCUCGGAACAUGACCUAAGCUCGAAGAAAAUGUUUUGGUUCAUGAGAUGGAGCAGACUCUGAUUAUGUUGUGGCUAUGGUUCUUGAAACCUGAAAAUCUUUGAUUUCUACAAAAGUGCUAUUGGAGUCAGUUCAGGGAGCUUAUUUGAAGGCUUUUUAUGAUACCCAAGCUUAUAGGACGAAGGUGAAUCAAUAAGUAACCGGGUAUGUCAAACUGCUUUGAAACUUGUGGUAAGAAUUUGAUUACAAAAGGGUUAUUGAGAUGAAAUGUCCAGAACAUGUUCUCAAAACUUUCGUGGAAAAUGAUCGUCGGUGUGGUUUUCUUGCUGGUCUUAAACCUGAAUUUGACCAAGUCAGAAUUCAGAUUCAUGAGAGGGAGAAACCACCACCACUAGAAGAAGCAAUCUCUCUAAUUCGUGUAGAAUAGAGUUGGUCGAAUUGACAUUGUCGGUAUGUGUGGAAACACCAUUAUUAGAAAAAGACAAUCUCUAAUUCGUGUAGAAGAGAUUCAAAGGAGUAUAAUACUCGAACUUUAGAAUCUAGAAAAUUAGGCCUUGAUCGCAAAAAAGUGAGCUACCACACAUGCUAGUGUAAGCCUAAAAUGAAGGGUGACCUUAGACUUCGGGUUCUAAAAGUUUGGACCUUAGCCUCUUUGGUUAAAACCCUAUGGAACAUUUAUGCUUAAAAGGGGUUUAUUGCAUUUAGAACCCAUGUUUACUCUGACUGUCAAAAAAACUGUGUUUUACAUAUUAGCAGAACACCACUUAUGAUUCAAUUUUAUUAGCAAACCCUUAAAAACGCACAAUGUAGAGGGUUGUGUGCUUAAAAGAAUGGUUGUUUUUUGCUAAUAUUUAUAACACUGAGAGGUUUUUAGCAAUUUAGUAUAACCUAUGUAGCACAUAAACUUCAACUUCUUAAUGUUUCCGCGUUUCGGACACGUUUCGUGUCGGACACUUGAAGACAUCUGAUGGACACCAUAUGGUCCAUUUUAUAUAUAUUUAUCUAAAAACUUAUAUAUGUUUACAUAUCAUAUUUAUAAAUAUACCCUUAUAAUUUUAAUAUUUACACGUCUCUCCCAAGCUCCCGUAUCCCCAUUUUUGUGAUAUGCAGUUUCUCGUGUCCGUUUUCCCGUAUCACCGUUUCCGUGUCCGUGCUACAUAGAGUAUAACACAUGGGUACUAAUUGCAAUGGACUGUUUAAAAAUAUCCACUUUGGACUAUGUUAACCUCUGUCGGUUUUACUGGAAUGGGUAACUUAACCUUUAUAUGUUCUGAAUCAUCUCACUGGCUGGAGCGGGCGCAUAAGGCAAGGAACGGUUUGAUGGAAUUGGGGAGAAGGGGAGUUAGGUGUGUUGAGGCUGUUGGUAAGCACCUUGCACUUAUGACCUAUGGUUUUGUGUCAAGCGGAGGGGUAUUGGGGAAUCAAUAACUAUUCCCAAUGAAGAAAAAAGGUGUUUUGGACCGUUGGUUAGGGUUGGCUCAUCUAACCUCUGCUCGUGACCAAUAUAGAGUGGCACUCGACUAGUUCCAUUGUGCUGAUGGGUGAUAUGUUUCUUUGGGCUGAUUCUUCGUAUGCUAUGUUUAGACUUGGAAUUUAUUUUUCCACCCCGAAGGUUAUGUCACUGAGGAAAAAAAAAAAUCAUGUUUUAUUAUGUUAGGUUGGAUUCAACAACAUCUAGUCUCUUGUUUCACUGUUUGCUUGGGCGCCUGUGCUUUGACAUCUAGUCCCUUAGUGUUUCAUGAGACAAUUUUUUUAUAACCCCUUUAUGUUUUGUUCUAUGAUUUGCUGUGAUGUUUUGACGGUUUGAACUCUGUUUUAUUGCCCGGGUAUGCCCGUAGUAUAUGUAUUUGAUUUUUGAUAUAUGUAUAUUCACAUUUUCAUGACAAGAGAGCAACUCUGUCUGGGAGCCUCUCUGAGAGCAAAAAUAAUUGGUGGAUAGGGAAAAACUAUGUUGCACUAUUGUAAAAAAGCAAGGCAUACAAAAGAGAGUUGCUGGAAAUUGAAUGACAAAUCGUCGAGCAAGAUUGUAAAAAUUGCGUGGCCUUAACAAAGAUUCCAACCGCAUGUACAUUUAAUGGAUGGAAAAACAAGAAGAAAAAGUAUGGUGGUCAUUUAACAUGGUAUUAGAGCUGGACAAAAUGGAAGGUCAGUUAACAUGGUAUUAGAGCUAGACCAAAUGAAAGGUCAUGUGUUUGAAUCUGACAGCCAUCAUUUGUGCAUGGUUUAAAAAUGCAAUAUUCCUUUACGCGAUGGGCUGCACGUGAGAGGCAUGUUGGAGAUAUAAAUAUUAAAUGAUUCAUUUCAUUAACAAGUGAUAUACUAAAAUUUGUCUUCUCUCAAUCUACAACUCAUUAAAAACAUUCAUUACUCUCGAUUCAUUUUCAAAAUUACCCCGAAAUGGGUGAAAAUUUGCCUUGAAAACAUUUCCGAACAUAACCUUAGACCUAUGAAAUAUCUUGAGAAAAGAUCUAGUACAUUGUAAGGAAUAUUUUUAUGGUCAAGAGACAUUUUUUAAGUGUAAAAAUGAAAUAAAAAGGAAUAUUGUAAGGGUCUUAUGAUUUUUAGCUCAUCUCCGCCAUCUCAAUCGGCAACUUGGCAACUUAAGCACUAUGAUAAAAAUUCUUUCCUUGCAUGGUGAUCUUGAAAAAUAAGUUUAUUGGAGUAUCCAACCAAGUUUUGAAGGUGAAGGUACGUUUAGGUGCAAAGAACGAAUGACUUUUAUCCACUAAAGCAAUCUCCGAUUGCCUAGUUUGGAAGAUUUGCUAAAGUAAUGAAGGCAACAAGAUACAAAGUCAAGGAGAUCAAAUAAUUGGCUACAAAUGAUUUGCUAUAGGCGGCGACAACUCUUUUGGUAUAUGUUGUUGAUAUCAUUGUCCCAAGAAAUGAUGAGAAGGUGAAAAGGGGAAAGAGAAUCUAAAACAAUGGUAAUCUGAAAAUUUGAAGCUACGUCGGCAAAAUAUUGUAUUGGAAUUAAAGUUUCAUACACAAAAAAUGUAAUUUUUAUCUCACAAACAAAAUUAUGUGAAGGAUAGGAAACAAUAAAAUGGGGUUGCAAAUCGAUACCUACAUCAAUCAAGCUAUAUAAGGAUUUGGGGGAAGAACAAGAAGAGCUAGUUGUUGAUAGGGAGAAUUAGCACAAAUUGAUAGGAAACUCAAUUAUCUUGCUCGUAAUUGAUACGACAUAGCUAACUUGGUAAGCGUGACCAGUCGGUUCAAACAUGUUCCAAGAGAUCCACCCUUAAAAGGACUUGCCAUAUACUUUGCUACAUUUCGUGGUUUGCAUGAAGAAGUAAAAAAUAGUAUAUCGUGGCCAUAUCAAGUGUUGAAUUUGAGUUCAAUUUGAGUUCAAAGCGACUGCACUAUGUGAAUUAUUAUGUCUAGAACUCGCCCGAGAAGCAAGUGGGAUGUUUCUGUGACGUACACCGUAACAACCUUUGCUCAUCAUUCAUCAUAAAAUGAUAGACGAAGCAUAUUGAGAUUGACCGACAAUUUGUGAAAGAGAAGUUGGAAGGAGGUCUUAUCUGCAUGUCAUAUAUGCUUCCAGAUAGCUAAUUAGCACGUGUGUUGGUCGAGGGACUCAAUUAUUCAUGAAAUUAUUUCCAAGCUGGGAAUUGAAGAUUUGAUUUGAUUAGAUUACUUUCUUUUCCUAGAAUAUAUUAUCUGGUGGUGCUUAGUUUAACCAAAAUCUCUCAAAAGAAUAGUUGAAAAAGGUUAAGGGAGCAGUUAUAUAAGCUGUGCAGAUCCAUAUGUGUGUAUAAUUGUUAAAUAGUUAUCGAAGAAUGUGUAUUUUUGUACUAUGGUUUUCCUUGCAACCCCCUUUUGUCAGUUAACUGUAAUUUUUCACAUUCUUCAUUACAGUUCGUAAUUCUUUGGCUUAACAAGUGUGUAUUUGGUUUCUUCUUGUUGCAAUUUGCAGUCUUGCAUAAAAGUUGCUCUUGAUUUUGUUUCGCCUGAAAAUCUUGGAGAGUGCAUCCGCUUGACCGAGGAGUUUCGUAUUCUUCCUCAGAACCACAGAGCUAAGGAAGACAAACUAGAGGUAUUUUUUUUUUAUUUUUUUUUGGUAUUGUUUACUUCAUAGUUCGAUUGUUGGAAGAUGGAUUAAAAAGGUCUGCUGAGUCUUUUGAAUGCUGAACUUUUAAACUCAGCUUGGUGUUGAUUGGGAUCUGCAAGAGUUGAAUCGGUUGGCUGAGUAAUUGACAUACAAUUUCUAUCAUGACAUUAUUACUAUAUUUCCUUAUAUUUGGCGCCAUCUAGUAACUUAGGCCUCGUUUGGUUGCCAAAAUAAGAUUAAAUAAUCUAAUGAAAACCCAAUUAUUUUAUCGGACUUUGGGACGUCCAACUAAAAAACUCCCUAAAAGACGAGAUAAGGCAAGAUAAGCCAUGAUAACGACCUGACAAUUUAUUAGGGAUACCAAACAUCAAACAAAGUCCAAUUAUUUAGUUAAUCAUGGCUAAUCUCCCCAACCAAACGAGGCCUAAUUAGAGAAUAGAAGAUGACAAAUAAAGUCAAUAGUGAUAUAUAGCAGUGUGAACAAGCUGACUUUAGAGCUUUGACUAAUGGAAUUUUGUGAAGUAAUAUAGUUGAGUCGUCUAAUAAAAUCACACAGUCCCUAUCCAACAUAAAAACAAAAUAUUGGAAGUUGGUUGGAUUUUUAUUCGAAAAGAAGAUUGUCAACUAGUGUGUGUGCAUGACCUACAUACGUACUUACAAAGAGCGUAUCUAAUUAAGCGUUGAAGAUCUAAUAAUCAGGUUGGAUGAAUAAUUAUUUUUGUUACAUCUCCUUAUACGUCCUCGACACAUAAUGUAACGCUUAAACCGGAUAUUAAAUUUUUUGGUCUCGAGUUGUGAUGGAGUGAAAAUUUGCUUUUCUAUGUGCAGCCAACGUUGCUUGUAGAUUUUUCUGUUAUGGAACUCGUAUGCUAUCUCGGCAUCUGAAUUGAAUGCCACGGAUGAGUAGUUAAGAUAAAUUGAUUAACUAAAUAAUGCUCGUGUUGUUGGAUUAAUUGCAACAGGUAAAGAAGAUGGCUAUCCAUGCAAUAAAUCACGCGGUGACCGGUCUCGAGGAUCUUAUACUGUGAGUGUUACUUGCAUUAUGUCCUUUUGACUUCUCGUUUAUUCUAGUAAACUGACAUUUAAAAGACAAUUUUUUUUUUAAAUAAAUUCAGAGCUGUAGCACAAGAAGCAAAGGAGCCAGUGUGUGGGACGGAUUAAAGCUUAUGCCAACAAACGAAAGAUGAAGAUUUGCGUGCUUAUUUUGUAAUCCGUCUUAUUCUGUACUUCUUCUCUGUAAAUUGCAAUACUUCUGUACGGUUCCUUUUGUAGAGACCUUGUUGAUGUGCGAUGUUUUCUCUCCAGUGACAUCAUGCUAGUGACAUCAUGCUUUUAAUUUGUUAUUACAAGACACAAGUUGAAUGUGACUAUGGGAAGCAUGGAAUUUAUAAUUUUCAUUUUUUUUUUUAAUGAAGAAACUGGUUAUAUGUGCACUAGGUGUUUGUAUGUUCAUGCUUGGCAUAUUUGGAAAUUAAACAAAAUUAAUGCUCGUUCUUGUUCCCUUGUCGACGGGUUUCCAAGUGACAAAACCUACUAGAACUAAAUGACAGUCUCAACUAAGCUUUUGUUACACAUCCUUCAUAGAGUUCACAUCAAAAUCGCCCCUCCACAUGAAUUUUGAAAUCUGCACCAAGUAAUAUCCAAAUUGCAUUAAUAAUUUUUUAUCUUGCAUUAAUAUCUUUGUUUUAGCAUCUAUCAUUCUUCUUACUUUUUUAUUUCAUUCGGAAAACUCGUUUGUCUUUUUUUUUUUUUUUUUUUUUUUUCAUUUUUUAUUUUAACAUUUUUUACACUAAUAUGAAAAAACUAUACCUUUUAACAACGCAAUUUGCAAUACCUCUUCUGUCCAAUAGUGCCGCUAUGGUUUUUCCGGUGUCUACACGUGAAGCUCUCAUGUUCUCUACCCAAUUUCCUUUUCUCCCCGGUUUAUGGCUCCCAUUCUCGGACCGGCCAUGAGGACCUCUAGGACAUAUCUAGAGAUCUUUUGGACGGUUUGGAGGACCCCCCCGAUUUCUGGCGACAUACAUUUUCAUAACAAUUUAUAAAAACUGGAGGUCCUAAAACAUUGAUUUUUUCGGAAGGUCAAGCUUGUGCUUUGUCCUCUUUUGGCUUUGGCUCACCCAUGUUUCCUCUCAAUGUCUACAAUUCUUAGUUUUUGUUUUCAUUUCGAUUUCUCUAUGUCAAAUUUAUGUAUAAAAAAAAAUUCCCAUUCGGUUUAUCUUUGUUAAAUUUAUAACUUUUUUUCUUUUCAUUUUGGUUUCAAAUUGUUAAAUUUAUAUAGUUUUUUUUUGGUUUGUUUUCUCUUUCUAAAUUCAAUCUCUAAUACUUAGAGUGGCACAUAGGAUAUUUUAAGAUUUUUGUUCCAAAACCAUCUCCUUUGCAAAUCUUUAAAUGAUGAGAGGCAAUGAGCUGUCACUUGUGAUUUUAGAGAUUCUUAAGAUGACACUCUGAAAUUGGAGUGUCAUCUUGAGGAUCUCAAAAGUGUCAACUCAUCAUUUAAUACAAUUUUUCUUUUAUUUUUUAUUAAAAAAAUUAAGAAAAUUCAAUUAUCUUCAAACCAUAAAUGGAUUACCAUAGCUUACUCUAAAUCUCUAAUUCCACAUGCGGGAGGCAUAAACCCUAAUCAACGUCUGAUAUCUCAUCAAAGGAGAACAAAUGAUUGUUUAUGAAUUAUUUUGCUCUAAAAUAUAUUUAUAAACAUAUGUCUGACAUUACAACUAUUUGAGAGGCGAACUAUGGAGUGAGAGGAGAACAAAGAUUGUAAUGGAGAACAAAGGUCACAAAGGAUUUGAGAGGAAUUCAUAAACUCUAUCUUAUCCCACCUUCUUCUACACUAUUUUAUUAGAGUUAUAUGUUUCUCGAGGAUUAGACUUACGGGGAAAAAACCUAGUUAUUUAUUUAAUUUAUUUAACGAUAAUUUUCCUCAAACUUUAAUACAUUAAAUUCAUGUGAUUCCUAUGACCUAAAACAAAACAAAUGAAACCAACGCGUGAUUUAUAUAAAUUGCUUGUUUGUAUAAAUUAAAUUAAUAGUUUUAAUAUUAAAUUUAAAUCUUAAUAAUAAAUUACAACUAAGAAAACAUUUUGAGUCUUGCGUGUUGCAGUGGAGAAGAUUUUGCAGUAGAAAAUCUCAAUCUUGCCACAUAAGAAAGAGAAUUUUUUUUAAGAUUAACAUUUGGUACUUGACACCUAGAAUUUUUAGAUUAUUUUUUUAAUUAGCAAUGUA
rnacentral:lncRNA from 1 species